rnacentral:lncRNA from 1 species
GCCUAUUCUGGCUGACGACGACCUUGCUAUGAUGGUGGCUGACAACGACCAUACUAUGGUGGUGGCGGAUGACGACCUUGCUAUGGUGGUGGCUGACGAUGACUCUACUAUGGUGAUGGUGGACGACGACCUUGCUAUGGUGGCUGACGACGACCUUGCGAUUGUGGUGCCUAAUGAUGACCUCGCAAUGUUGGUGCUUGACAAUGACCUCCUGAUGGUGGUGGCUCCUGCAAUCCCACAGCUUGGUGACAGGACCAUGUCAAUUGUGGUAGAGGAGUACAUCCACGUUGGGAUUCGCCACUCUGAGCGCAUCAGGUUGAUGAAGGAGAAGAACGAGGAGAACAAGUGAAGAUGUUAAGAAAUGAAGUGGCAAUGUUAAGCAUGUUAGGUUUAAGCUUAUUAGUGUAAUCUGAACAUGUCAAUGUUAAGUAUGUCAGGUUUAAUUUUGUGCAUGCUCACGGAUGCCAUAUGACAGUGUCAUCUAAACAUGUCAGUUUCUUAAUUAUGAAUAUUCAGUUUGGUAAUUGAUGGGAAUUGACAUUUUUAUGCAUGCUCAUGGAUGAAAGAUAAUAUUAUGGGUUUUUGUGCAUGCUCAUGUAUGAAACAAUAUAAGUUUCAUUUUUUGAAUGCUAAAAACAUGACUCAAACCCUAGCCACGGACGGCCGCCGUGACAAAAUCGGCCGGUUUUUGAGAACACCAUAAAAAAUUGAAAAAAAAUCAAAAAAAUGGGAGACCUCCGCGUCACAUCACCAAAUGUUGUCUACCAACUAGCAAAAAUACUAAACUUGCAAUAUCGGUGUUUUUUGAAAAGGUGUUCUCAAAAGUGACCUAGCAUGAACGAAGAUUCAUGGCUUUCAAGGAAAACUAUCAAUGAUAUGGCCGCAUUCGUUGAAUAGUUUGUGAUAAUAUCCCCACAUUUGGCGCAUGCCUCCGUCUUGUCAUGGCAAACAAUGUUGCCAAAGCUAGGUUCCAACUUGUUUCAGAAAAAAAAGCUAUUAUCAUUUUUUGAAUGCUAAAAACAUGCGUUUUUGUGAAGCGGCUACAAGGAGGGUCACCCAAAACGGCGCCAUUCCAUGUCUAUCUCAAAGUAGACCCUACUACCUCUUGAGCACUGCGUUGGUUUUCCCUUGAAGAAGAAAGGGUGAUGCACUAGAGUAGCGUAUGUGUUUCCCUUAGUUUUUUUGAGAACCAAGGUAUCAAUCCAGUAGGAGACCAUGCGCUAGUCACCUCGUACCUACACACACAAAUACGAACCUCGCAACCAACGCGAUAAAGGGGUUUUCAAUCCCUUCACGACCACUUGCAAGAGUGAGAUCUGAUAGAGAUAAUAAUAAUAAUAAGAUAAAUAUCUUUGGUAUUUUUAUGAUAUAGAUUGAAAGUAAAGAUUGCAAAAUAAAGUAGAUGGAAAACUUCUAUGAUGGAGAAUAGACCCGGGGGCCAUAGGUUUCACUAGUGGCUACUCUCAGGAAACAUAGGUUUCACUCGGAUCGAGCACCGCAAGAUUGAACCCAAAGCUAAGCACUUCUCCCAUUGCAAGAAAUAUCAAUCUAGUAGGCCAAACCAAACUGAUAAUUCGAAGAGACUUGCAAAGAUAAACCAAUCAUACAUAAAAGAAUUCAGAGAUGAUUCAAAUAUUGUUCAUAGAUAGACUUUAUCAUAAACCCACAAUUCAUCGGAUCUCGACAAACACAACGCAAAAGAAGAUUACAUCGAAUAGAUAUCCAAGAGAAUCGAGGAGAACUUUGUAUUGAGAUCCAAAGAGAGAGAAGAAGCCAUCUAGCUACUAGCUAUGGACCCAGAGAUCUGAAGUAAACUACCACUACAAAAAAUACACUUCCGUGAUGAUACGUGUUUGUCAUAGUAGGUCACAUUUUCUGUCAUGCAUGUACAUCCAUGACAAUUUUAUGAUAGAAUCAAGAUAGUCAUACAUGUGUUGUCGUCGAAGUGUUCCAUGACAUUACCAAAAUUAUCAUCACGGAAGUGUCCACUUCCAUGACGAUAAAUCACGCGUCACAGAAGUGCUUUCUUCAAGGGUGACCGACACGUGGCAUCCACCAUAAUGGAAUGUCGUUAAGCUAUCGGGUCCGGUUUUGGAUCCGAUAACCUGUUAACAGCCCCAACCAAUGGGGAUUUUCCACGUGUAAAAUCAUCAUUGGAUGGAGGGAACACGUGUCGGCUCACCGUUGGGACAUAUGUCAUCAACUCAUUGGACCCAAAGCGCCUAUGAUACGUCGACACGUGGCAUGGCCCAAUAGAGGCCCAUUCCUGUGAAAAGGCCGGUCCAUUUGACUUGGUCAAAAGGUGGCGGGCGGGCCCAUGGCGAGCCUGUUAACGGCAUGUUCGCAUAUAGCCCAUUUACAGCCCGCUAACCCAAGGCCCGUUUACGGCCUAUCCGAAUUAGGCCCAGUAGCUUCAUCUGGGACGUCCAAUAUAAUUCCAGCCCAUUUUUACUUCUGGCCCUUGUAUGGCCCAUGACAUCUUUCGGCCCAUAUGAGACCCUUAGUAACCCUCAGCCCAUUAACGACCCAUGGUAAAACUGGCCCGUAAUGAACAAUGUAGCACUUUACACCCAUUAACGACCCAUUAUACGGUUGGGACGUUACUAGCCCAUGUUAUCUUUCUGCCUUCUCAGGGCCCAUUUAUUCUUGGGCUCAUUUACAGCAUUCGUUUACUUAUGGCCCAUUACAGGCCUUUUCUGCUUGUGGGCCAAAUUCAGCUCGUGGAUACAGUCGAACCGUUUGUGGCCCGUUAAUCCGUUGGGCCAUUUUCAUAGCAUCAUCAAAUACGUCCGAUUAACGGCCCGUUAUGGUCAACCCAUAAAAAGUACGAUUUCCACUCUAGCCCGUUUAUGACCCCUUAUACGGCCCGUACAAGGCCCAUAGAUGAGACAGCUCGUAGAAGGCCCAUUGACCCGACGGCCCGUAGAAGGCCCAUUGAUCUGACAGCCCAUAGAAGGCCCAUGGAUCCGACAGCUGAUAGAAGGCCCGUAGAAGGCCCAUUGACCCGGCGGCCCAUAGAAGGCCCAUUGAUCCGACGGCCCAUAGAAGGCCCAUGGAUCCAACAGCCGAUAGAAGGCCCACGGAUCCGACAGCCCAUAGAAGGCCCACGAAUCCGACAGCCAUAGAAGGCCAAGGAUCGUCCGUCCCGUAGAUGGCCCAUGGAACGUACGGCCUGUGGAGAGCCAUGGUCACUACAACGUUUGGGCGAGUUAGCCCCCAUUUGAGCGAUAAAGCAUAUUCAAAGAAUUAUCCUACUCUAUACUAUCACCUCUAAAAAACAUACACUAUAAAAUAAAGAGACUGAGGCAUAGCUGAUUAUACCCACUGGGCAUUAUGGUUCGGCACUAGUGAUAAUAAAGCAUACACAAACAACAAAUUACAUACACUGGGCAAAUAUAACUCAUACAUCAUGGACGCGCAUCAACAUAACUUACCAUUUGAACUAUAAUCUCUUCAGAAAAUAGGAUUGGCUGGAUUUAGAUAGCACAAAUUUCAGUCUACAAAAUCUCUAAUUCCUUCGUUGUUACCUCAGUGUCUUGUUUCAUUUUUGACUCCUACAUCUAAUACAUGCAUGUCCAGUCUCAACUUGUUGAUUGUAUGUUCAGAAGCAUGUACACGUUGUCUUGCCACCUCUAGUUGAUGCUCGAGAACAUCAGCACAUUCCAAUUCCAAUCCAUAAUCAUUCGGUAACGGCCAUGCCAUACUGCUCGUAGAUCUUUGUGUUGAUGUCACUUCAUCCUGAAAUGUUUCUAUAAGUACACAUGACUAGGGCAAAAAUAUAGUUACAACAGUGAAGCGAGCAAGACAGACUAUUUUGUACAUGGCAAAACAAGACUAACAAUAAUGUUACACGUCAUGAAGCAUAAGCAGGUGAUAUUUUCAAAAUGAUAAAAAAGGUAGUCUGUGCAGCCUGCAUACAAAAAUCUCUCUUAGCUCACCAGAGGAGUAUGAUGAUGGGGCCAAAUCCCAAACACAAACAAGUUACAAAUUUAAACAACACGUUGCGUAGAAGUAAGCAAGCAGUUGGCCAUUCUGUAGCUCAAUUGAAGUCUUAGGGAGAAUAAUGAACAACAGAGGAUUUCAUACAAACAUACUACAACAAGCAAAACUAUGCAAUCAUUAGCCUAGUAUGAACUAUAUUGCGAGCCUCAAUCAAUAAUACUUGGUUAAUAGACUUCAAAGCUUUAGGCACACUUAGGCAGAGUAAUUAAAUGAUAAGGCCUUUAAUUAUGUCAACUAAUAGUUAUACAAGUACACACCAUCAGGAAUCAUUCUUUGGGAAUGCCAUUAAGUGAGGACAAAUAAAGCAAUUGAAAAGAGCAAAUUAACUAUGCCUGAAACAAACAAGGAAUUGAACUGUUGAGUUGGAUACAGUGACUUACCUUAACAGGUUGAAGAGGCUCAGUGCAACUCCUACUUCUCUUGCAAUGCUCCUUCCUAACAUCUUGUACUUGGAAAUCCUCAAUAUUAUUGAGGGAGUCCCGGAUUAGGGGGUCUCCAGACAGCCGGACUAUCUCCAUUGGCCGGACUGUUAGACUAUGAAGAUACAAGAUUGAAGACUUCGUCUCGUGUCCGGAUGGGACUCUACUUGGCAUGGAAGGCAAGCUAGGCAAUACGGAUAUGGAUAUCUCCUCCUUUGUAACCGACCUUGUGUAACCCUAACCCUCUCCGAUGUCUAUUAAACCGAAGGGUUUUAGUCCGUAGGACAACAACCAUUACAGACAAUCAUACCAUAGGCUAGCUUCUAGGGUUUAGCCUGUCUGAUCUCGUGGUAGAUCUACUCUUGUACUACCCAUAUCAUCAAUAUCAAUCAAGCAGGACGUAGGGUUUUACUUCCAUUAAGAGGGCCCGAACCUGGGUAAAACAUCGUGUCCCCUGCCUCCUGUUACCAUCCGGCCUAGACACACAGUUCGGGACCCCCUACCCGAGAUCCGCCGGUUUUGACACCGACAUUGGUGCUUUCAUUGAGAGUUCCUCUGUGUCGUCGCCGUUAGGCUUGAUGGCUCCUACUAUCAUCGAUAGUGAUGCGGUCCAGGGUGAGACUUUUCUCCCCGGACAGAUCUUCAUAUUCGACGGCUUUGCACUGCUGGCUAAUUCGCUUGGCCAUCUGGAGCAGAUUGAAAGCUACGCCCCUGGCCGUCAGGUCAGAUUUGGAAGUUUGAACUACACGGCCGACAUCCGCGGAGACUUGAUCUUCGACGGAUCCAAGCCACAGCCGGGCACGCCACACUGUCGCGAUGGGUAUGACCUAGCUCUGCCGCCGAACAGUACCCCAGAGGCUGCGCCCGCAUCAGCUCUGACCCUUAGCUCAGAGCCAACUGCGCCAGUUGAGGAUGGGUGGUUAGACACUGCCUCAGGGGCUGCAGUCUCAACGGCGAUCGAGCCGAACACCAGCCUAACCCUCUGCGCAGCCCGUGACUCCAAGGUGCCAGACUCUUUUCCGGACUCCGAACCAUCCACGCCCCUGCCAAUCGAAUCCGAUUGGGCGCCGAUCAUGGAAUUCACCGCCGCGGAUAUCUUUCAGCACUUGCCCUUUGGAGACAUUAUGAAUUCACUAAGGUCUCUCUCUUUUUUAGGAGAGCCUUGGCCGGAUUAUGGCCAACUGGAUUGGGAUGCGGACGACGAAGAAAUUCGACGCCCGCCCACCACCCACUUCGUAGCCACUGUCGAUGAUUUAACUGACAUGCUUGACUUCGACUCCGAAGACAUCGACGGUAUGGACGACGAUGUAGGAGACGAACAUGAACCAGCACCUAUAGGGCACUGGAAAUGCACCUCGUCAUAUGACAUAUACAUGGUGGAUACACCCAAAGAAGGCAAUGGCGACGGGAUAGCGGAGGAUGACUCCUCCAAGAAGCAACCCAAACACCGACGUCAGCGGCGCCGCUCUAAGUCCCACCAAAGCAAAAGUGGUGAUACCGGCACAGGAGAUAAUAACACUCCGGAUAGUGCCGAAGAAAACAACAAACCCCUCCAGCAAGAUUUAGAGCAGGAAUAUGGAGGAGCCAGCUCUCCUGAGAGAGCGGCAGACGGAGAGGAGGAGGAUGACAAUAACAUGCCCCCCUCUUAAGACGAGGCAAGCCUCGGCGACGAUGAAUUCGCUGUACCAGAGGAUCCCCUCGAACAAGAGCGCUUCAAGCGCCGGCUUAUGGCCAUGGCAAAUAGCCUGAAGAAAAAGCAGCAGCAGCUUCAAGCUGAUCAAGAUCUGCUAGCUGACAAAUGGACCGAAGUCCUCGCGGCCGAGGAAUAUAAACUCGAGCGCCCCUCCAAGAGUUACCCAAGGCGCAGCUUACUACCCCGACUGGAGGAAGAAGCGUAUGAUACGGCUGAUCGGCCACCUCGUGGCCGCGAUAGAGAGGCAUUCCCACCAAAAGCUCAGCCUCCACCCCAACGCCAUUCAAAUAUAAAGGCAUGGGGAGAUACGCCAGACCUGCGAGACAUAUUGGAGGACAAGGCAAAUCAUUCAAUAUCGAUCUACAGAUCACCAGGGCGGACCACUCUGCGAGACGACAAACGUCAUGCCGGAUACAGUAAAAGCAAAUCCGGCCGGGCUGAACACAGCGGGCAAGACCCAUUCGAGCUGCAUCGCGAUACAGCCCAAUACAGAGGCGCCACACACCCCUUAUGCUUCACAGACGAAGUAAUGGAACAUCAAUUCCCAGAAGGUUUCAAACCUGUAAAUAUUGAAACAUACGACGACACAACAGAUCGCGCAGUAUGGAUUGAGGACUUCCUCCUCCACAUCCACAUGGCCCACGGCGAUGACUUACACGCCAACAAAUACCUCCCACUAAAGCUCAAAGGACCUGCGCGGCAUUGGCUUAACAGCUUGCCAGCGGACUCCAUUAGCUAUUGGGAAGAUCUUGAAGCCGCAUUCCUCAACAACUUUCAGGGCACUUAUGUGCGACCACCAGACUCCAAUGAUUUGAGCCACAUAAUUCAGCAGCCAGAAGAGUUGGCCAGGCAAUUCUGGACUCGGUUCCUUACAAUGAAAAAUCAAAUUGUCGACUGUCCAGAUGGGGAGGCCUUAGCAGCUUUCAAGCACAACAUCCGAGAUGAGUGGCUAGCCCGGCACCUUGGUCAGGAAAAGCCGAAAUCUAUGGCAUCUCUCACGACGCUCAUGACCCGCUUUUGUGCGGGAGAAGACAGCUGGCUGGCUCACAGUAAUAACAUAUCAAAGAACCAUGGUACCUCAGAUACCAAGGACGGCAAUAGCAGGUCCCGUCGCAACAAGCAUAAGCGCCGCAUUAACAGCAAAAAUACCGAGGAUACGAUAGUCAAUGCCGGAUUCCAAGGCUCUAAACCCGGUCAGCGGAAAAAGCCAUUCAAACAAAGUACGCCGGGUCCGUCCAGCUUGGGCCAUAUACUCGAUCGCUCGUGUCAAAUACACGGCACCCCAGACAAGCCAGCCAAUCACACCAACAGGGAUUGUUGGGUGUUCAAGCAGGCAGGCAAGUUAAUUGCCGAAAACAAGGACAAGGGUCCGCAUACCGAUGACUAAGAGGAGACUCCGCAGUGGCACAGUGGAGGACAGAAGAGGUUUCCCCACAAGUGCGGACGGUGAACAUGAUAUAUGCAACCCACAUCCCCAAGAGGGAGCGGAAGCGUGCGCUCAGGGACGUAUAUGCGUUGGAGCCAGUCGCCCCAAAGUUCAACCCUUGGUCCUCCUGUCCGAUCACCUUCGAUCGCAGGGACCACCCCACUAGUAUCCAUCAUGGCGGAUUCGCCGCACUGGUCCUAGACCCAAUCAUCGAAGGAUUUCACCUCACUAGAGUCCUUAUGGACGGCGGCAGCAGCCCGAACCUGCUUUAUCAGGACACAGUGUGCAAAAUGGGUAUAGACCCCUCAAGGAUCAAACCCACAAAAACGACCUUUAAGGGCGUCAUCCCAGGUGUAGAGGCCCAUUGCACAUGCUCAAUUACACUGGAAGUGGUCUUCGGAUUCCCGGAUAACUUCCGAAGCGAAGAGUUAAUCUUCGAUAUAGUCCCGUUCCGCAGUGGUUAUCACGCGCUGCUCGGGCGAACCGCAUUUGCUAGAUUCAAUGCGGUACUGCAUUAUGCAUACCUCAAGCUCAAGAUGUCAGGACCUCGCGGAGUUAUUACAGUCAAUGGAAAUACAGAGCGCUCUCUCCGAACAAAGGAGCACACCACAGCCCUCGCAGCAGAAACGCAAAGCAGCCUCUCAAGGCAAUCAACCAGUUCGGCACUUCACAGCCCGGACACCUUCAAGCGCGCUCGGGGCAAUCAGCAAAUAGACCGCCUGGCACGAUCUGCGUGUGCGUAGCAAUGCGGAGGCCACCCCAAUCCCAGCCUAGUAGUGAAACUCGUGUCGCGCGUACAUAAUUACGCAUUUACCAUGGGCACAGGUGGGGAGGGGGGCACAACUACGGCACGCCCCAAGACACAGCCUAAACCGCACUAGGGGCUUCCCGUUCGGUUACUUUUCUUUUUCUUUCAGGACCUUAAUCUCUGGUAACACUAUCCGGCAGCACUAUUGCCAAACACAUGAUGCAGCAACCAAGGAGCCAGAUAGCUACGUUAUACCACGGAAUUCCUAGGUUGAUUACAGUAACGAGUGAAAUAUUCAAUUUAACAUCAUUCCUCAGCUUGCCCUUGGAAGGGGCAUAGUCCUACUCUUUGUUUAUCGCACUAUCUGUAUCACUCUGCUUUAACGUAAUUUUUUAAUAAACCAUGCAUGACAUUACGACUAUUAUUGCAUUCUUGUUAUAUAUAUAUAUAUAUAUAUAUAUGUGUGUGUGUGUGUGUGUGUGUGUGUGUGUGUUCAUUAAUGACACCUUGCAACCGUACACUAUGGUACGGCCAGUACACCAGGGGCUUACGUACCCCACAAUGCGGUGUGAAAAGUGCGAACACUUUCACAAGUGCGGCACCCCGAACUUAUAGCAUUAUAUGCAUCAGCUCCGAAUCAUGUCUUUGGUCAAAUGUUGGGUUUGCCCGGCUCCUAUGUUUUGGUACCUUAUGUUCCGCUCUAUCGGCUAAGGUAGCGCUAGGAGAACUACUGCGAUGGUGCCCCGGUUCUGUCGGGCUUAGCACCUCAGUAGAGAAAGCAAAAAACUAACUGUCAUGAUAAGGUGAGGGACUAGUCACUGUUCGGCGAGGUUUUUUGAGUCCCUAAAGAGUUAUGCCUCUUAGGGCGAGGGGCCGGCCAUGUCCGGCUUGCAGGCAUGUAAUGCGCCCCGAAUUCGGCCUUCUGAAUACCAGGGGCUUCGCUGAAAUUUAAAAUUAUAGAAUUCUAUGGCUAAGUGAGAGUGAUAAAGCAUUAUUAGUCCAGUUGCCUUGUUCGUUGUGCUGAGCACCUCCCUCAAAGGACCCAAACAUGGGAACAAGAGUGCUCAGGUUUAUCCCAAACACCCCAGCACUCGUGGCAUGGGGGCAGAAGACGAGGACUAGCCAUCUCUCAGAUUGGAUAAAUAGACAAACAGAAGGUAAUAUUUUAAAUUCCAACAAGCAUUGCAUAGCGCAUAUGAAACAAGUUUUCAUACAUACAGGAUAAAACAAGCAAGUCUCAUUCAAAUAUUACAUCUUUUGAACACUCGUCCGCGAUGAGACGGGCACCCGGCAGAACACCCUCAUAGUACAUCUCGGGGUGACGGUGCUCCUUGCCCUCUGGCGGCCCCUCCUUGAUUAGCUUCACGGCGUCUAGCUUGAUCCACUACAAUUUCACACAGGCGAAAGCCCGGCGUGCACCUUCAAUGCAGACAGAUCGCUUGACGACCUCUAGCCGCAGGCAGGCAUCCACAAGCCGCCUCGCCAGGCCGAAGAAGCUAUUCGGAAGGGCGUCGCCAGGCCAUAGCCGAACUAUAAAGCUCUUCAUGGCCUGAUCGGCCGUCUUAUGUAGCUCGACCAUCUGCUUCAGCUGGUCGCUCAUUGGCACCGGAUGCUCGGCCUCAGCAUACUGAGACCAGAACAUAUUCUCCGUCAAGCUUCUGUCCUCGGCCUGGUAAAAUUGUGCGGCAUCGGACACACCGCGGGGCAAAUCUGCGAAUGCUCCUGAAGAGCUCCGGAUCCGGGUAAGUAAUCGGUAAUUUAGUUUUACAUGCUUGCUUUGCAUAUAGAAAGCCUUACCCGCCGCUAUCUUCUUCACCGCGUCGAUCUCUUGGAGGGACUUUUGGGCUUCGGCCUUGGCACUUUUUAGACUAUUGAGGGCCGCGGCAAGCUCAGACUCCCGCAUCUUGGAGUCAAGCUCCAACGCCUCGUGCUUCGCCACAAGAGCCUGGAGCUCUUGCUGCACCUCGCCCACUCGAGCCUCGUGCUUCUCUCGCUCGGUGUGCUCCUUGGCCGCUGUAUCUUUGGCCUUCGUUAGCGCUUUCUUUAGGGUCACCACCUCGAUCGUGGCCCCUGGCAAACAUACGAUGAUCCUGUCAUUUUGCAAUCGCGUCCUCUUUUAUGUAUAUACAUAAGACACGGUAUUACUUACCCUUGUUCUCCUCGAGCUGCCUCUUGGCAAGGCCGAGCUCUUUCCUGGACCCUUCGAGGUCCUGCUUCAGUACGGCGAUCUCCGUAGUUAGUGCGGCGGAUGCCAGUAGCGAAGCCUGCAUAUGCAUAUUGACAUACUUAUAUUAGACUCAUGCGAUAUUAUUUGAUCCUCUGUUCGGCUUUUCUUUGUGAACACCGAACAAAGCAUCAGGUUCUAAUGUCUAUGCGGUAAUAUUUCUACUACAUUUUAAAACACUUACCUCGAAGCCUGUUAGAUGGCUGGCACAAGCUUCAGUCAAUCCGCUCUUGGCGGACUGAAUCCUCUGGAUCACCGCACUCAUGAUAGUGCGGUGCUCCUCGUCGAUGGAAGCGCUGCGAAGCGCUUCCAGCAGAUUGUCCGGCGCCUCUGGAUGGACAGAGGUCACCGGCACAGGCGUCUUGCCCCUCUUAGAAGGAGGCCGCCUGCCCGAGCUUGGAACCGCUGGAGGUUCCGGCGCAGUGUUCGGCUGAGGGCCGAACCCGAAGCUCUCAGGGGCCCCGUCCCCUCAGCUCCCGGAGUCCGGAAGGGCGCCUUGAGGCGCCUUCGGGACUGUCUCCCCUUGAUCCGGUGCCUCUUGAGACAGCACCUCGACAUUGUCGGCAGGAUGAGGGGAUGUGGUGGUCGGGACUGCAUCGCUAUCCAUGUCCGACAAGCCCAAGGAGCCGUCCGAUGAUACAUCGAUACUGGCUCGUGGCGGCCUGCAUAAUUGCUUUUGGCGUUAGGGAAAGCAGUGCGACAAAGGAAUCCUAUGAGUUACUCUGGUAUCUGAAUACUUAUGAUCUCCCCGGGGGCUUGACCCUGGGCAACCACUCGUCUUCGCCUUCGUCGGCGGCGGUGGAACCGUCCGGAAGGAGAGUCCUUCCCUUCUUGGACCCUCCGGCCUCCCCGGUUGGGGCGGCCUUCCUUUUCUUGUCUCCCCCAGUCGGUAGGGGAGCAUCUUCUUCUUCUUCUUCUUCCUUGUCUUCGGGGGAAGAGUGCGCCGCAGAUUCAUCGCAUGGUGAGUUCGACGACGCCUGGCAUCGGGAACUCUUUCGGGUUCCCUUGGCCUUCUUGGUCUUCUCCGGCACCGUAUAAGGGGCCGAAGUCAACAUCUUCGCCAGAAGAGCGUCUGCGGGGCCUUCGGGCAAAGAAGCCGGACAGUCGAUCUGUCCGACCAUCUUCUGCCAGUCCUGUUAAAGGUACGGGAGUUUAGAUCCCGCAUAGAGUCAAUCUAUAUAAAAAAUAAGUAUCCUGUGAAAGGUAAAGCAGCUUACCGCACUGGCUUGGCGCUUCGCGCUGAAUCCACGAUCCUCAAUAAUAGCGGGGCACAUCGGCACUUUUGAACAGUACCCUCCAGGCGUCUUCAUGAGUCGUGUCGAAGAGCCUGUUCAGAGUUCGGUGCUGCACCGGAUUGAACUCCCACAAGUUGAACUCCCGUUGUUGGCACGGGAGUAUCCGGCGGAUGAGCAUAACAUGGACUAUGUUGACAAGCUUGAGCUUCUUGUCCACCAUGUUUUGAAUACAUGUUUGGAGUCUAGUCAGCUCUUUCAAACUACCCCAGGACAGGCCCUUCUCUUUCCAGGAGGUGAGCCGCGUGGGGAUGCCAGAUCAGAACUCGGGGGGCCGCUGCCCAUGCAGGGUCGCGCGGCUCGGUGAUAUAGAACCACCCCGAUUGCCACCCCUUUAUGGUUUCCACAAAGGAGCCCUCAUGCCAUGUUACGUGACCUUUGGCUUGACAUUGAAGGUCUUGAGCCAUAAGCCGAAGUGGGGCUUGAUGAGGAGGAAGGCCUCGCACAUGACGAUAAACACCGAGAUGUUGAGGAUGAAGUUCAGGGCCAGAUCGUGGAAAUCCAGGUCAUAAUAAAACAUGUGCCCCCAGACAAAGGGGUGGAGAGGGAAUCCCAGUCCGUGGAGGAAAUUGGUGAGGAAUACUACCCUCUCAUGGGGCCUGGGGGUGGGGAUGAGCUGCCCCUCAUCUGGGAGUCGGUGCGCGAUGUCGUCGGGCAGGUAUCUGGCUCUCCUCAGUUUCUUGAUGUCUCCCUCCGUGACGGAGGAGACCAUCCACCUGCCUCCCGCUCUGGACAUGAUUGGAGAAGGUCGAGGUGGGAAGUGCAGACUUGGGCGCUAGAGCACGAGUUUGCGAAAACGGAUGGGUAAGGGAGGAAGAAGGCGUGGAUAGAAAGGUGAAUCCUUAUCCCUUUAUAUGGGCAGAUGAAAUUAAGAGUCCCCACUUGCCUGGUAAAACUAGCUUAUCCCCCAAGCACCAUAAUUGAUGGCGCUGUUGGGUUACCCACGCCCAUGUUGAUGAGAAUCCCGUAAUAAGGGGACACGAUCUCUACUUUGACAAGACGUGUCGAAAAACUGCCUCGCGUUAUGUGCGGGGCUGGUUAAAAGAAACGGUUCGAAUAAUCACCAGGCCAUGACGUAACAUCAUGCUGCCAAAACAAGCCAGCAAAUUAGAUCUGCGAAAAUAUUAUUCUCUCUACGGUGGAAUGUGGAACUUAUUUUGCAGGGUCGGACACUAUCCUCGUAUUCAAAUUCUUCUGUGAUGUAUUCGGAGAAGGAACCCGCCUUGCAAUGCCAAAGACAAUACUGCGCGUCGGACUCAUCGUCAUUGAAGCCUGGUUCAGGGGCUACUAAGGGAGUCCUGGAUUAGGGGGUCUCUGGACAGCCAGACUAUGUGCAUUGGCCGGGCUGUUAGACUAUGAAGAUACAAGAUUGAAGACUUCAUCUCGUGUCCGGAUGGGACUCUACUUGGCGUGGAAGGCAAGCUAGGCAAUACGGAUAUGGAUAUCUCCUCCUUUGUAACCGACCUUGUGUAACCCUAACCCUCUCCGGUGUCUAUAUAAACCGAAGGGUUUUAGUCCGUAGGACAACAACCAUAACAUACAAUCAUACCAUAGGCUAUCUUCUAGGGUUUAGCCUCUUUGAUCUUGUGGUAGAUCUACUCUUGUACUACCCAUAUCAUCAAUAUCAAUCAAGCAGGACGUAGGGUUUUACCUCCAUUAAGAGGGCCCGAACCUGUGUAAAACAUCGUAUCCCCUGGCUCCUGUUACCAUCCGGCCUAGACGCACAGUUCGGGACCCCCUACCCGAGAUCCGCCGGUUUUGACACCGACACUUAUCUUCAUUGCACCCCCUCUGCAAGGUGACACAAACUAGUUACUCGUCUCCUUGGAAGAUAAAUAUGCAUACUUUCCAGUCUGUGAACACAAAAGGGUGGGAUUAUAGCAAAACAACACCACAUAAUGAAACAUGCCGCAUCUCUUGCACUUGCACACAAUGAAAUGAGCAUUUACUAUGUUUGCACUAUGUAAAAACUAGGCAUACCUUCGAACUGGAUCUCCAGGUACUCUUGGAGAGCCUACUUUAGUGUACAGCCAAACCUUUAUGUCACCAAUGAGUUAGAAAAGGCCCCACUACAGCAACCCUUAGUGUUUAAAUCGUUGACAAGCUUUGUUAGAGUGUUAGGUCAAGAACAACAAGUAAUCAAAGCAAACAGUCCUAGUAUGGUUGGCUGAUGCAAACAAGCAAUUGAACAGAUGUGUGAGAAAAUCUUACAUAUCAAGAAAAGAAGCAAAGAAGGAGGCUUAAAGACCAUCACUUGACUGACCAGAUUUAAGGGGCAUUUAAACAUCAUGUGCAACAUAUGAACUAACAUAAACAUUGCAUAUUCCAGAUUCUACAAUGGAAUGCACAUGUAUUAGGUUAUGCCAUGUAUGAUGAUGCCUAAAUGUACACUAUAGCAGGCAGGAGUGAUUCAUCAUUGCACGCACAAUUGAAUUGCAGGUUAAGGGCUAGUUCUAUUCCGGCUUUUCAGGGCAUAUUGUCAAAAUAAGUCAUAAAGGAUGUAAAGAAGUCAUUUUUGAGUUAUGGACUUGGGCUUAACUAAUUUCUCUUUGGAGGGGGGUGUUUCGGGUAGAACCUCGCUAAAAAUUGAAGGGAAGGGGAAUAGUGAAAUGACUCUGUUGUCUGCCUAUAUUACACUCAAAAUGCAACUGGUGACGCCCGCGUCACACCUCACCCUCAAGUAAAAACAAACACGCAAGCGUUCGUUGCCCUGCCCGCUUGCAUCUCCUCUCCCCUUUCCCUAUACCUCGAUCCCCUGCUUGCAACACUUGGGUUCCGCCAGCAAGCCGUCGCCAUUGGUCCCAUCCGCUCUGGUCCUCGAUGAUGCUCUGUCCAGCUAGGCUACAUGGCCGGCGGGUAGGGGCAAAUCUCCCUAGCUGCUCCUCCCUCUGGUGCCACCCCUCAUUCUCAUGGUCUCCAGCAGCUGCUCCAAUGUGGUUUGUCCAACGCACUACUCCGGCAGGCACUGCACAACUACGGCUGAUGCCACACUGCGGCAGAAGGCACCUUAUUCCCCCUCCCCACCUCCCAAGUCGUGGCCUUGAGGUGUUGUUGAAGGAUGAGCUCAUCCAACAAGGUGAGGGUCUCCUCUGAUUUUUUGCCAAAUUUUCAUUCUGAUCCACUAUACGAUGAAUUGCUAUGAGCUGCUUCUGUUGUUUCUAUAUGAUGCAUUGCUAUGAGUUGCUCCUGCUGCUGCUAUAUGAUGAAUUGCUAUGAGCUGCUGCUAUUAUAUGAUGAAUUGCUAUGAGCUUCUGCUAUAUGAUGAAUUGCUAUGAGCUGUUGCUGUUAUAUGAUGAGUUGCUAUAAGCUGCUCCUGCUACUGCUGUAUGAUGAAUUGCUAUGAGCUGCUCCUGCUGAUGCUAUAUGAUGAAUUGCUAUGAGCUGCUCCAGCUGCUGCUAUAUGAUGAAUUGCUAUGAGUUGCUCCUGCUGCUGCUAUAUGAUGAAUUGAUAUGAGCUACUCCUGCUGCUGCUAUAUGAUGAAUUGCUAUGAGGUGCUGCUGGUAUAUGAUGAAUUGCACACUGCUGCUGCUCCUGUAUGAUGAGUUGCUAUGAGCUGCUGCUGCUAUAUGAUGCUUUAAGGUGGUGCUGCAAUAUGAUAGUAACCAGCCCCUUGGACCAUCGAAUUUCAAUAAAUAAUUGUUAUUCAUUUAAAUGUGGGUCAUGUGUUUUUUGUUUAAAUUAGGCAAUGGGAUCUCUAUGGAAAACAUUGACCAAAGUAGAUUGUGCCAAGUAGAUGGUAUCUUUGUAUUUACAUUUUGAGCAAAUAGUGAUGGCCUGUUUUCCUCUCAUAUUAAUUACUGCACUGGGUUCAAUUUGUGAUGUUUGCAAGUCAAAUUAAUUUUCAUAUGGGCAGCAAAAUGAAAAAAUAUAAUGCAAUCUAGACUUUUCACUAAUCAUACCAAAGAUAAGAUAAAAACGCAAUGAAAAGUACUGGUUGGCUUAUUACAUGGAGCUUAUAUUCACAGGUGCUUAUUUUCUUAGGAUAACUUGUAAUAAUUGUCCCUAGGAAACUUGGCCAAUAGAACUGACAUAUAAAUAACAUGUCACGAUGAUUGCAAUGGAGGAGUGACGUACCAUAGCACACUGUAUAGGCUCACCGUUGUCUCUCCUUUUUUGCGAUGUUCCAUGAAAUUGCCACAUACAUCUUGUACUUUUUCAUUAUGUAACACAAUCUUCAAGUUGGCACGGCUAAUUUCAGACAUCUCUACAUGAUUGUACAUUGCAUAUCCCUUGCACAUAUUUAAACCACCAAUUAAUGAUUGUGUGCUUAUCAUAAACUAGCCAUGACUCUGUGUGAUGGACUAGCAGGCACUCUAAGGGAGCCUAAUGUAGUGUACUGGAAUUCCUACAUGCCACCUACGAUUUUGUGUAAUGUACUGCCUCUGUUCCUAAAUAUAUGUCUAUGUAGAGAUUCCAGUAUGGACCACAUAUAGAUGUAUAUAGAUGCAUUUUCGAGUGUAGAUUCACUCAUUUUGCUCCGUAUGUAGCCUAUAGUGGAAUCUCUAGAAAGACGUAUAUUUAGGAACGGAGGUACGAGGUAGUAUCAUGUAUGACAUCUACAUAUCUAAUUUUUCAGCCAGUAGUAGAAAUCAUUCUCUGCACAAAGGGAUUACUGGUCGAAAAUCCUAGCAAAGCACGCUGGCAGGCACAGAACAAUACAAGAGAGAGAGAGAGACACGCUUACAAGAUCAUAGCAAUGCCUCGGUCUAGGAACUUGGUUGGCCAAGCUGUUAGAUCCAAAAGAAACAUCAUCCUUGUAGUUUUUGCCCGCUGCAUAACAGGUAACAGCGACCUGUUAGUAUAUUUGGAGUACAUCGGGCGGGUGAUGCUGGACGGGUUUAAAGGUGACAAGUACCUAGGUCAUGGCGGGUGCUUGCCAUCUUGCCAGACGGUGGGAAUCAGGUUAGAAAUGUCAAGGGUGAUGACGCUGCGCUGGCUGUCGGGGUCCGGUAAGGAGAUCUAGAACCAUCGAGUAGGGUGUUUGUCGAGCGGCUCCGGUAGGGUGGACUACGGUGUGGGCGAAGUCGAUCCAUGGCCGUGGACGAGGGCGUAGGUGAAGCUGCUCUGGUGGUUGGGUUAAGGAUGGUGUCGAUGAUGCGGAUCUACGGCCGUGGACGGGGUGUCAGAAUCUGCUCCAGUAGGUUGGAUUAGGGUGCGAGGAAGCGGACCUGAGGCCGUGGACUUGUGAGUUAGCAAAGCGGCCCCGGUAGGGUUGAAAAUGGUAUAGGCGAAGCUACUCCGAUGGGGUUGAUGAUGUUGUCGGCGAAGCGGCUCUGGUAGGGUUGAGGAACGUGUCGGCGAAGAGGAUCAGAGGCCGUCGAUGGGGGCGUCAGUGGGGCGGUUCCGAGGGGGUGUGGACGAAGCGUCUCCGGUGGGGAGUAUGAAUGAGCCACUGCAGAUGCGCUGCGGUUGACGAGAGUACCGGCGAAGCAGAUUUGGCGCGGUGGAUAAGGCCGGCUCUGAAUGGGCUGUGGUACAGUGGUUGAUGAGCAGUCUACUUGUUUCUAGGGGAGGUGGGUGGGGUAGAUGCGGUCGUAGAAGCAGAUACGUCGAGGUGGACGCCGUUGGCAGUGAAUGGGCUCUGGUACGCCAGUGGAUGAGCAGACUAGGGUUUCGAGAGGGGGGAGAAAGGCCGAUGAAGUACGAAUAGCGUGAUGUGAGAUGCUCUUGUGAUGUGGAGUUAGUCGUUUUUGCGGGAGGAGUAGAGGAAAUGUGGGUGCCGUGUAGUGGGGGGAACCGGAAGUUACCAAAGCAGCCCCGACCUAUUAUGUAGAUGAGGGCAGUAUUGUAACUGUUGGUCUCCGUGCACCAUGGACAAAAGGGGAAUUUCGCAUGCUAAAGACUAAGGUGGCGGAUAUUUUAGAAGGAGGCGGGAGAUUUUGCCGCCCGCAGGAUUGUUCGUAUCCAGUUUCAACUAAUUUCGGACCAUGCUAGCGGGAAGGUCAUGCGAGACUGUGUACACGAGGCAUGCGUCAAUAGUUAAUAACUAGUGUGUCCACCCCCAGAAAAAAAGACAAUAACUCGGGAUGAUGCGCCAAUAACUUGGACGUUGACAUGGGUGCGGCCAAUCGUACGGGUGUAGUGGCGUGUUCACAAAAAAAGGGAUCAAACGCUCAGCCUAUGUAUUUCUCGUGUAAAUAGAUAAUUUAGUUCAAUUGGUUAUUUUCUUUAAACAUAAUGUAUUGACGUGUUAGUGUAGAGGCGCACAAAAAGAAAUGGAUAUUGUAGUCCGCUACUUAAAGGUGUUACCUCAUAUGAUUACAUAGCCUCCAUUUCAUAAAAAUUGUGUACCCGUUGAAUUCAUAUAUGAAUAUUACAUAUAUUACUUCAUAAUAUCCUUAAAUCAUCCAAGACUAAUGAUUUUGAAUGCAAGAGUAACAAUGGUGCAUGUACAUGAUAGCUACAUUGGGUGUUUGAAGAAACAUGACUGUAACUUUGGCAUGCACAACUGAAAAGGUUUAUUUCAAUAGAAAAAACUGUGAUAUGUGAGUGUCCAAUAUUUAUAGCAUUGAAUUGACAUUGUACCUUUGGCCAUGAUACGAAGUAGAUAUUGAUUUAUGUUCAAGCGAUGCACGUCCACGAUCGCUAGAUCGUGAUACGUGAAUGAAUUGUGCAAUCUCUCUCACACGCAUACAUAUCUCAUUUCCUUGUGGUCAUCGGAAUCACACGCGCGCACUUCGUGUAUUUCUCUCCCUCCGUCAAGGUUAGAAUUCGUCUUUCUACCCCGUCCUACAAGUCUCUCACACAGAAACACACACGCUCUCUCUCUCUGUCGGACACACCCACCCCUUUAAUUCCGCCCACCCACAGCCACUAAUGUCUCAAAUUAUAGUAAUGUCUCUCACACAUAUGCCUAAGGUUAACUCGAGUUCCGGAACCAUAUGAAUACAUACAAUGGGAUUCCAACAGAGCACCUUUUGUUUUGAGAUUUCGCUCUCUCUCUCUCUCUCCCACACAUUCAUUCUCGCUUCAUUUUUUCCGACACUUGCAUGCACACAAUUUUGUUUAUCUUCGUGAUGCUUUAAGUAUGCCUCGCACAAAUGCUAUCUACCUAGCCCUGGAUAUAGCUAGCUAUGUGUCACACAAACUUCUUCUCCCUACUAGCAAGAUGCCCAUGCGUUGCACCGAACUUCAAGAUGCAUUUGUAUGAGUAGUUUAUCUUGUGGGAGAAAAGGAUGAACGAGGGAAUGCCUUAUUUGCAAACACACCCACACCCACACAACCACACCCACACACACUUCCCAACACCGAAGGAGUAGGGUGACACCUCGAUCUUGAUACUAAUCUAUCGACUGGCUUCUCUCUCAAACACACACACACACUACCCGACACCGAAGGAGUAGGGCGGCAACUCGAUCUUGAUAGUAAUCUAUCUACUCCUCUUUAAAACACACACACACACACAUACACACACACUCGCUAGUUGUGCCUCUAUGCCUACUGCGCACACUCUCGAUACAUAUUUUUCGCCCCCCCCACCCCAACAAUGACAGCAGAAGGGUGACAACUCAAUCUGGUCGUAAUUUGUCAAUUGGUUUCUCUCUCAGACAUUGUGUCUCUGUGUGUCGCUCAGUAGCCCCCUCGAUAUGUAGACUUCUCGCACGCGCACAGCUAUAGUGACAAUGACACUGAACCCAGUGUGCCUCGUUUUUACCGGCCUCAUAUGAUAGUUUUCACCCUGUUUUCUGUUAAUUAACAAGGAAACAUUUUCUUUGUUACUACUAGUGAAUCCGAAAUCAUUCGGGGCAUACGUAAAAUAUAUCACUUCAACCCAAUUAUCGCAGUAACUAUUUUAAAAGAAACUAACUAGAUGCACGUGCGUUGCACGGAACAUCAAGAUGCAUUUGUAUGAGUAGUUUAUCUUGUGAGAGAAAAGGAUGAACGAGGGAAGGUCGUAUUUGCGAACGUGGAGAGGGUUGUGGGUAUAUUUUUGCAAAAUUGUCAUAGUUUUCUUCCUAUCCAUUAGAUAUAAAUCCGAUGGCCUACAUUGUAGGAUGGCACGCACACCAUCAUCACCAACUCUGUUUUCUACUCCCUUCGUUCCUAAAUAUUUGUAUUUUUAGAGAUUUCAACAAGUGACUACAUAUGGAGCAAAAUGAGUGAAUCUACACUCCAAAAUAUGUCUACAUACACAUCCGUAUGUGGUAGUCCAUUUGAAAUCUAAAAAAGACAAAUAUUUAGGAACGGAUGGAGUAUAAGAGUAGACAUGGAGAUAUAUCAGCAGCAUGGUCUACAACAAAAAUGUGCUGGACUGGUUAGCGCCGGAUGCUCGCAACGGGAUGGCAUGAGUUCAAAUUUUGUCUUUAACUUUAGAUUUUUAUAUUAUAUAUUACUUAUUUAAUAUAUACUUCUUUCGCUACUGUACCGACAGUGGAACCCACAAAGUACUUAGAAUACAAGAUUAAGGAUGGACUUGUUUCUUUUUAACUUUUUGUACGAAGUUGUAGCCACCCUGCAAGUCACAUGUACACUGUACAUGCAAUUAACUUUUUAUAGAGGGACAAUCAUACACGCAAUUAAGUCAAAUGGAUUGGAUGUCACUCUAUUAUUUCCAGCAUAAGAGCAUCUCCAAUGGCAGCCGGCAAAUUUCCUCCCGUUUCCUUCCAUGGAGGAUGACAUCAAACGCCAGCGGCAUUCAUAUUCAUAACUCUAACCAACCAGAUGAAAUUUGCGCAAACACUGACUGAUUUCAUAUAAGCAUGAAGGAUUUCGUAUAAAAAAGCCAGAUCUUCAUGUAAACAUGAUAGAUUUCAUUACAUUUACAUGAACUAAGCGGUGCCAAUCCGGCUAUCUUGGUAUAAUUAAUACUCCCUCCGUCCGAAAAUACUUGUCCUAGAAAUGGAUGUAUCUAGACUUAUUUAAGUUAUAGAUACAUACAAUUUAUCCAUUCUUAGAACAAAAAUUUCCCGCCACCUGGAGAGGGAGUACAUAAUCUAAAUGGCUGCCCGCGGAUCCCUUUGUCUUCCUCAUGUCCUGCAGACACUUUGUGGGGUUGACAAAGGUCCUCGGAAGAGACUAAGAAGCAAAGAAACCACCUGAAUGCACAGUCAUCGCCUCGGCGGUGGCCUUCAUGGGACCCAAGUGGCGGCGGCCUCCCGCGUUCAACUUCUCCUCGAUGAUGGCGGCGGACACGGAGAAGCCGGCCACCGACUCAUGGCUGUCCAUGCAACUGGCUUCUGUCUCUGCCUGCAUGGCGCUGCCGCAGGCAUGGGAGGCGCGCCCACAGACACGGGAGGCGUGGUACGACGCAGCAGCGACGAUGCCUGUACCGUUGUGCUCGCCGCCAUGCCGGCGUGGAGAAACUCACCACUCCUCAUCGAGUUGAACUGGAGUGGCAAGUUGCUGAACCACACGCCUGCUUGGGGCGGCAACUGGCUCUGUUAGGCCAAGCGAGGUUGGUGAAGCACCGAGCGGCCUCGCCCAUAUCCGGAGGGCUUGGCGGGCCACCCAGCCAGGUAAUAUGCCGGAAAACGGCUCCUCGGAAGCCAUCGGAAGAGUGGAGAAAAUGGUGAAGGCCGAGAUGGGGGAGCGGCGGAGGGGUGCGAUUCUUUCCCGUUGGCUGUCUGGCCUCGUGUAAAUAGAGGGCAGACGGUAGGAGCUUGGCCGGCGUUUGGCCUUGUUUAAACUGAGGGCGGACGGGAGGAGCUCGGCCGGUGUUGCGUUUAAUUUCGGCCCGCUCAUGAACGAACGUGUGGCCGGAGUAGGUUUCUCGGUUUGCAUGCAGGUUUAACGGAGGGGUUUGAUGGAGGCGAGGAGGCUUGUUCAGCCGGGCGUGCAGCGGGCGGCGCAGUACUAUUCGAUUUGACAGCGGGCGGCGCAGUUCUCGAUACGGCUUUAAUGCAGACGAGCGAGGGAUUAGCGGUUCCCGAAAUUUUGAACGGCCAAUGCAUCCUCCUUCAAUUAAUGCAUGAGGGAAGUAAUGGGAGGAGGACCGGGAAAAGAGGCUGCAUGAUGUGAAUGCAACGCAGUUUACCCUCAUAUAAAGGCGCCACUCCAUUCCAAUGCAUCUCCACAUCGUACGCACCUAAGCAUUUGACUAAGCACCUAAACUAAGCGCAAAAGAGCUUAGUCCAGACCCAUGGCGGCGAUGCGCGCGAGAGGCCAGCGGCUGUGCCAGAUGGUCCACGACGUCGGCCUGCGGCAUGGCACCGAGGAUCGUCUCUAGACGGUGUUGGAGACCGGCUGGUGGAUGGCCAUCGUCGACGCCAACUACGACUCUCACUUGGACCAGAUGAUCGUUGCCACCACCAACAAGUUCACUGUCCUCAAGAAGCUCGCGGUCGACAUCGCCGUACUCCUCCAGCCCAUGCGCCCGGGCUCCACAUUGCUUGCCAUCGUAAUCGGCCUCCAUGGCCGGAACCUCUUUCAAGCACUGGUGGCCCUGCGACUGCCCACCAACGCCAUGAAGAAUGUCCAGCUGGAGGUCGCGCUCGCCGCAAGGCGCCUCGCCCUGCAAGAAUUCGUCGACAUACACAUCCACGUGUACGAGCAAAUCAUGUACAUAGGUAUCUACAAGGCCAGUGAGGAUGCUACGACAUUGGCCUUCCUCAACCGCCUGGAAGCCUUGGAUACCUUUGCUGAGAAGCACCUCGACCUCGCCACAAAAGCCGCCGCUCCUUAGUCUCCGGUCGGUGGCCCGGUGCACUAAGUUAAGGAGGAGGAGGUCAUACGUUCAUGGAUGCAUCUUUGUUCUUGCCUUGUAUAACCACCACUGCGAUCACAUCAUCAUCGUGGCUUUAAUUCUUAUUUUGAUGUUGCAUUCUCGUUCCAGUCAAUACCAACAUGUGCGAUCCCUUUGCUUAAUUAUAUGCAUCACUGUAACUAGUACUCCAUCCAUCAAUUUAUAAGUUGUGCUUACCUUUUCCAUCAACUUCGUGCAACGCACGGGCAUCUUGCUAGAAACACUAGAACAUGUCGGACCGCGUGUGACCAAACCAAUGACGCGCCAACCUAGCUACUACGUACCCUGCUUAUCUGGCGGAAAUAGCCCCGCCCUAGCAUUUCUAAUCGUUAUUUCUAUCUAUCGAUCGUGCCAAGGAGCAGAACCAAAAUGUUUCUCUACUCCUACUCCUAUAAAAGACUCAAUUGGUAAUGGUGGUGUGUCCGCCAUCCGUCGUUUCUGACCAUUAGAUCUGCAUCUAAUUGCUAUGAGGUAAGUUGUGGCAUUUUUGCAACAAUAGCACACUUCUCUGCUCCAAUUUGCAGAAAACCCCUUAUUAACUUGAAAGCAACCACAUCCCUCCCUUACCUCAUCAAAAUAGCCUGAGAAAUAUAUUUUGAGUGAAAAGUACUCCCUCCAUUCCUAAAUAUUUGUCUUUCUAGAGAUUUCAAUAAGUGACUACAUAUGGAGCAAAAUGAGUGAAUCUACACUUCAAAAUAUGUCUGUAUAAUCCGUAUGUGAUAGUCCAUUUGAAAUAUCUAAAAAGUCAAAUAUUUAGGAAUAGAGGGAGUAAUAUAUUAGGAGUAUAUCAAAACAAGAGUUAUUUCUUUCAAGUUUGUGAACAAGUACUACUAUUCUACUACUUUGGAUCCGUCCCAAUGCACGGGCACAUUGCUAGUAAAAGGAAAGGGCCUGCCGCGUUCGCCUCACACUCCCCCACACAUGCCCGGGAAUCGGGAGUACUCCACGGCCCGUCCAACACGACACAUAGCUUAGGGAAGGCGUGUUGCCUAGCAUUUUGACUUUCAUGUGCGACCACAGUUGAGCAAACUGACUAUUGGCAAACCGCACCCCCCCGCCGCCGGGUUGGAAAAUAGAAAUGAGGGGAAGAUCUAGUUGUAGCACGGAAGCCAAGAAAUUUUGUGUCAGAUGGGGCUUGUUGAUACAGUAGGAGCAUUCCGUACUACUCUUCUCCUACUAGUACCAAGUUUUUAGUAAUCCUACUAUACAAAUAGUACUACCACUAUACAACUAGCAGGUACGUGCACGACACAACAUCGUAGGAACAAAAAAUGGGAAGAUAUUGUUUUGGGUGAUUUAUCUUUUUUUUUGUCAACGUAGUAUGAAUAAUAUGAUGUGGGGGGGGGGGCAUCCAUGAAGCUUAUGUUAGAGAAAAAUAAAUAGAUAAUGUGUUUAGAGUGCACUCCACUAAACAGAUAUACUUUGGAUCCAUUCCAAUGGGCCAACACAUCUAUAUCUAUACCCCCUAUAUAGUGUGUGAAUAAAUUUGAAAGUUGGUCGUUGGAUGAAGCCAAUCUGAUGGUACAAAGAUGGCAAAUCUGAGCACUACUGGCUGUUGGAUAUCAUCUACAUUCCACCAGAUUAUGCCACAUGUAGAAUCUAGAAGACUCCAUGGUUGAACUUCAUUCAUGACUAACUUUGCCACAACUAAGCUUAGGCCAAGUGUGUAUGCCACAAAAAAUGUUGCUAACAAAAUGGCCACCACAAGUGUGGCAAGAUUUGACAACAAGUUGAGUCUAUGACAUGUGGACCAUGUAGCUAGAAAAGUGUGGCAAGCCACAAGUGUAGCAAUGAACCAAACACAUGUGGGCACGCCUAAGCUUAGGCGUGGCAACCUUAGGCUGCAAACCAAACCAUAACUUUGAAUGUUGGUCGUUGGAUGAAGCCAAUUCGACGGUACAAAGAUGGAAAAUCCGAGUACUACUGGCCGUUGGAUAUCAUCUACAUUCCACCAGAUUUUGCCACAUGUAGAAUCUAGAAGACUCCACAUGUACAAGCAUAAUGCACAAACCACAAUAAUCUCAUGCGUGCAAUGCACAUGUACCUUACUAGUAGUUGGUAGUAGUAAGAAACAAAUUCUAGGUUUGGCACGAGCUCGUACUGUAGGAGCACCACAAGGCCUGUCGCAGGAGUUACAUUUCCCUCUUAAGGCCCACGGGACCGAACUUCAGUGGCUUAGUGCCCGGUCUAUUAGUCAAUGACAUGCGGACCUUAAAUGCGGCUAGCCCACAUGUCAUUCUCAUGGUGGUGGUGUGGUUCGCGACUCUCUCGUUCGAGAAGAACCGGCCAGUGGUGGCGUGGCCAUGGCGAGGGUGCCAUAGUUGGGCAUCGGGGCGUUACGAGGCGUACAUGGCCACACCGGCGGGUAAUACCUGUAGUACAGAAGUACUGCAGCUGAGGAUUGAUGCCUGGGACGAAAUGUGUCACAGCCGCUGGAUGAAAAUUAGAUGGUGCGGGACGUGUGGUGUCAUGGUUUCAUGCGGCGUCGUGGGAAUCGCGUGUGGUUGUUGUAGAAACUUGAUGCUCGCCGCAUUUAAGGUGGCCCACAUGUCAUGUAGACAAAGGUAGAGGGGCGAUGCGGCCGAGAGGGGUGAGACGCUCGUCGCGUGACGUGGUGCCGUGGGUUGGAGCGGUGUCGUGGGAAUCGCGAGUGGCAGUGGAUGAAACGUGAUGGUCGCUGUAGUUGAACUUCCAUGGACAAGCUGUCAUGUCUACGGACACAUGCAUUGCAUAUCGAUCACUAGAAGGAGUAGUAGAGAAAGCUAGGCAGAUAAAUAGUUCCUUAUAGUCAAGCGGACCCACGCUACUACUUGUUCCAAAGACAUGCACACCAUCGAAAUAGUCCAUCUAUAUCAAUAUACAUAGAGAGGGAAUAUUUUUUACAAGAGAGGAAAUAAUUCAUCCAUCCAUAAUGCCCUGCUGCUGGUGCUUCUUCUUCUUCUUCUUCUUCUUGUUGUUCUCAUUUUCUGUGGGAGACAGCUUUGCAACAAGCUCUCUAGACCUUGCAGUUAUCUCGAAGCUCACACGGGCAUCGAGGGCAGCAUAUUUUAUCCGCUCGUACGUCAAGGGAUAAUUCGCCCGUCCAGACGACCUUAAUGCCAGCGUCUCGUCACCCUUCUGAAGAUUUGUUCCUAUCACAAAAUUUGCUAUGUCGAAUAGGGAUGGUGUCAGUUUAUCACAAUCUUCCACAGGAAUUUUUAUUCUGGUUUAUAGGUCAGCGAUGCUUUUCAAAUCAAGGUUGUACGGCUCCAACUUUUGUUUGUCCCCUGCGAUGGCUGCCCCACAGAAGGAUAUGUCAUCCCGAGAUAAGAAAUCAUGAAGCUCACCUGGUAUGGAGGGCGCGUGUAUGAUGUCGUACACCAAAACAUCAUCUUCGAGGCACAGUGGAAGGACAGCGGCGUGUUGGAUCUUCCCAGUGGCACGCUCCGUGUACUCUGCAUCGAGACUGAUGACAUUCAUCUCCACCUUUUGGAGGGAGUUGGAUACAUUGUUGAUCCACUUCUGAACAACCCUUGGGUGGUCAGUGACUGUGGCAACUAUGCUCAACGAGCCUUCGACGAGGACAUGUUGGAUGCUAAAAACCUGCAUCUCAAUCUCUUUCACCAUUUGGAACCGCUGGAUUGGAGGGCUAUGGUUUGGAGAAUUAGGAUUAGAUGGCUAAUCUAAGUGAAGAAGAUGGUUAUUUAUAGGGGCUUGAGAAUUACUACAGGAGGAUGUGAAGUGGUUAAAACAAUGUGAAUGCAGUGUGGUUUGGAUGCAAAUGAAGAUCAAGGAGUAGUGAAAAAGCCGAGGAAAACGGUUUCUGAUGGAGAAGUAAAUGGGAGAAGUUAUGCGCAUGCAUGAGGAGAGGUGCGGUGGUUUGACUGCUGCAUGCAAUGGAUUGGACGAGCUCUUCGGUUGCCUUUUCUCUUUCCCACACGCACAGAGUGGCCAACUUGCAUGCUGCCGUUUAUUGGCUGGUGUCAGGCUGCAGCUGCUCAUGCGUACGCUAAUUAAUGUUGUGAAUGAGGGGCAUGGAGGGAAAUGGGCGCAUGCAAAAGGGUAUAUACGCAGACUAAUUAGAGAAAUACUGAAAAAAGUUAUGCGCAGACAAAAGAGGACCGGAGGGAGUACUACUCAUGUUCCUGCUAUGUUUAAGGAAUAUGCGAUUAUCCUCAAAAAAGAAAAGUCCUUCUUCGCGCUUCCGCAUGCAUGAGAAUUUGGUUCUGCUCGCAAUAAGGAUGAUAGCUGGAGGAUGAAUAAACCCAGAGGCAUGCUAGCAUGUGAGUGUACUCAUGUUCCUACUACUCCUACUAGUAGGAGUAGUACAACUGUGGUACACUUGAUGGUCAAAAUACUAUUAUUCAUUUGGUCCUCACAGUGAAGUGACAAGACCCUGCGCCUAAGGUGACACCAGUCCAGGCGGCGUGUCCGGGUUACCAAAGUCAGCCUCACCUUGUGCACUAUGCAGCCACUGUCACCGCCGCUGUAUAGCAUGCCUAGCCUCGUAUCCCUCUCCCCUAGCACCACCCCAUCUCCAUCUCCAUCUCGCCAGAGAUCCUAAGGUCACUCUUCAUUAUCUCACUGUGCCCCCGCAUACCCUCACCUCGCUCACCUCCCCCAGUACCACUGUUCCCUCACUAGCCGCUCCAGCACCGAAAGCCUUCUCCCCCCUAAAUCAAGCCCCCCAACCACCUUCCCAACUCCACCAUGGCCGAACGCGAACUGCGCAGGAUCCAUAUGAGCCACGAUUGGAGCAAUCUUCCCAGUGACGUCCUCGACCUCUGUUGUUCGUGUAUGGAUACGUUGAAUGCACUGCGGCUGGCUGCAUGUUCGAGGGGCAUGCACACAACCAUCAUCGAAGCGAGGCCAAAACUUUUCAAGACACCCUGAUUGCUGCUAUCUGGUCUUGCGAGAUUGGAUCACCAUGAUACGGAGGCGUACAUGAUGCCCCUCGACUUCAAUUUGAUCUCCAUUAGCUGAAACUUCUUUGCAGGUAUGUAGUGGGUCGCCGUACAUCAUUUCCCUUGACUUCAAUCCGAUCACCAUCGCCCGAAACUUCUUGGCAGGUAUGUACUGGGUCGGCAUGAACUCCCACUGGAUGGCUGCCUUCAGAGAAGACGGUAAAAAGUUGGUGCUCAUGAACUUCUAGACCUCCCAUGAGAUUAUCCUUCAUCUAUUGGAUUAUAUAGAGUUUUACCAUCGCGGUCCUAGUCAUCUAGAUUACCACGUCACUUGGACGGACCUUGUUUUGCAGAAGAUUGUAUUCUGCGAAGUGCCCACAAGACAUGCGAAUUACGCAGAAUUCAAGCUAAUUGCCUUGUUCGACCGCGGACUCGCCUAUAUUUACGCUGUUGCCUUCUUUAGCUGGAGACAACUCAGCUCGCAGUGGAUCAUCGUCAAAGCUGAUACACACUUCUAUGAUGCUAUUAAACACAAUGGCAUCAUCUAAUCGAUCGACAAAGCAGAUGGCACCACAUAUUGCUAGGACGGCGCGUGUAAGUUGUUUUCGUCUCAUGUUAAUGAUGAUGCCAUGACACUAUUUGAACUUUUUGUGAUGAUUGGCAUAUCCCCGUUUGAGAAGAAUUUGAGUAGAACUAUGGAAAUGUAUUAGAGACACCAUAAAUCAGCUAUAUUUGGAAUGAGUUAAUUCAUGCGAUUGUGAUCAUGUCAUUACAGCCAAUUUGUACCCCUGAAUAAUCAAACGGUUAGGAAUAUAUGGAUAUUCUCCUUAUUUUACAGUAAUCUAUAUACUACUACUAAAUAUGAGUCUGUAUCAAUGGCCAUGUUAGUUUCCUCAUUUUCAUGAUGUAGAAACAUGCACCACACUGUUGGUUUCAUCUAACCAUUCAUUAGGGACGUAAAUGUGCAUAUGGAGAACUCUAUAUUUGGAAGUAGUGAAAUCCUGUAAUGCUUACCAUGUGUACAUACCUAUAUUCACCCUUCAGCAAUCAAUGGCUAGAAUAAUAUCCUCACAAAAUUUUUGCCCAUAGAACACGAGUAUAUAACAAUGCAUGGUCUGUUAGUUACGUUGAAGAAUUUAUUUGUGAGGAUAGAACAUGAUUCCAUAACAUGCAUGACAUGGUAGUUUCCUGUGAAGAAUCGAUUGCGAGAUAACAUGAGUAUAACCAUGCAUGGCACUUCUAUAUUUUCGAACCCAGUAUACAUUUCCCUGUAUUUUCCUACCAGUUCCAACAUGGACAUAUCAAUGCUGAUCUUACAUUAACAAUGCUGAUCUUACAUUAACAAUGAUGUUUCUUGCACUAUCCUACUCAUACUCUGAACAAUGCUGAUCUUACAUUAACAAUGCCUGUCCUUUUUGAUAUGAUGUAGUGCCCUACAGUUACUGCCCUUUAUAAUCACACCACCUUUGCCAAAAACAGGGAAGCACAACUGGUUCCUCGCUCGAUCAAACGACAGCAAAAGACUGAUGAUCAUUCAGACACAUGAGCCGGAAAAGUUAUAUUGCAAAAACCCCACUGUAUACAAGCACUGUGAAAUACGUGAGUAUCCGGACAGUGCUUGUUAUGUCUAUGAGCAGGAUACUAGCUUGUUGGGGCCUUCAGGAUUUUUUAGUUGGAGGUGGGUAAACAUCCUUGGUUCAAACUCUCUGUUUCUCAGACUCAAUUAUCCGAUUAACCAGGAGAUCACCGUUGGCAAGGACCUUGAUGGCAGAGAGGCUUUGUUUGCUAUGGAAAAAUGUGUCUACACGGUGAGCCCUAGGAGUUCGGGAGAAAACUCCCCUAAUUGUCAACGAUACAGCCUGCAACCAAAAGAAGGUGAGAAUGAUAAAGGCAUCAGGAUUAACUUUGAUCCUUGGAUGUCUCAAUUACGACAGGCAGUGAUGUGGUUCAAGCCUUCAGGUUGAUAGGUAAUUAGGUUGUUGCGUCGAAAGGGUGGAGAACUGGUGUCUCCGGAUCAUUGGUCGCUGAAGCGGGGCUGCAAAUUAUGAUGGUGUUGGAUCAUCUCUUCGAAUGACUUUGUUGUCUUUGUUGCUUGUUCUGGAUGGGUAGUUCUUUCUUUUGUUAUGCAUAUUCCUUGUCAUUUGGUCAUCCUCGUCUAUGUCACUCUUGCUAUGUAAUAGUUGGCUCUCUUUAGAAUGGCAUUCUCGUCUGUAUCACGAGAGUCUGAGUGCUGCACAUGGUUGCGUUUUGGUGGUGUAGCAAGACUUCUUAUGAACUAUCAUGUCUUGUUGUUUAUGUUAGUAGUAGUCACUAGUCAGUGUUUGAAUGUUGUAUAUAUCGUUGUUUCCAACUGUUUAUUGUCUCGAACUACUGGUGGGCUAAAUGAGGGCAUCACCAUUCUCCAGUGUUCAGAGUGUAUCUCCUUUUUUCCAGUUAUAUAAUUUGAGCUCAGUGUCUUUUCGAUGAUGUCACUUGUUUGGGCAGUGAGGUGUCGUUGAAUAUGGACCGAGUAGUAACACAAUGCCAAAUAGGUCAAUUAUGACUCUCAGGCCGGGCUCUCAAAAGAUCCUAAAAAAAGGUCGGGCUCUCCAAAAAAGAAAGAAUAAGGACUCUUAGGCGGGACAUGUGGGCGCCACCCACUACAAGAAAUAUGUCAACUAGUGACCUUCUGUCAGUGACCCUGGAAGAAUUGGUCAUAGAUCUAUGACCAUUUCAGACCAAUUGGUCAAAAGCUGUUCGGGGGGCUCCAAACCCUAAACUAUAAUGACUAUUUUGGUCAAAAAGGUCAUAAUUUCCUGACACGAAAUGGUCAUAAAGCAGAUAGCACUGGUCUGUUGGCUUAUUUCUAGCUGAUCAUGACCAAUAUAGAUGGUCAUAACCUUGUAAAUUGUGGUGGGUUGCUAUGACUAGGCGCCACCUCAUCAGUUUUGCCUAUAUGUCAUGUCCAUGUGGCAGAUUUUGCCCUAGGUUGUGAAGCAACCUAUAUUUCUGUCAUUCCCAAAAUUCGCAAAACAAUCUCAUAAAUUCUUUGGGUCAUAUCUUCAUCAAAUAUGUAAAAAUCCUUCCUUGCCUAGUUCAAAACUAAUUCAACAAUAUUCAUUUUCCUAUUCUGUUCACAACAUCACUUUAUGAAGGAAGUGCUAUUUAUAUCUUCUUGAUUGCCCUCGGAAUUUUUGGGCACUCUUUCCUAUCCAAAUCAUUACGGCAUGACAAAAUUCAGCUCCAUUUGCCUAGCAAAUCUUCCUCGGCAAAUUUCCAAAGUUUUUGUCCACCUAGAAGCAUUGUGAAGGAAGUACCUUUUUUAUAUAUCGAAAUGACAUGAAAUUUAUACAGUUCCUUGAUAUUCCCAAAUUAUCACCCUCCUCCAAAUUGCAGCUCAGUAAAAUCAUCUAUGUGAGCCCAGGUUCAAUUUAUAUUUUAUGGCCAAAUUGGCACGUCGCAAAGCAACUGUUAUAUAGACCCCUCCUAUUACCCUCAAACUUUUCGGGCACUCUUCCAUACCCAAAUCAUUGCCACAUGAUAAUAUUCAGCUCAAUUUUCCUAGUAAAUCUUUCUCAGGAAAUUUCCAAAGUUUCUACCUCGAGAGAAGCUUUAUGAAGUAAGUACUAGCUAGGCUUACCCAAAUGAUCUGAAAAUUUACCAGCGCAUGACCAUACCUAUGUGACUUACCUACACCAAUUUUUAGCUCAUUUCAUUCAUCCAAUCUCUCUCACUAGUUUUCCCAAGUUUCUGUCCAUAGAAGAGCAUUGUGAAGGAAGUACUACUUUGCCAUGUACAAAUGGUAUCAAUUUUCUACAAUGCUUUCCUAGGCCCAAAUAACCAUGCUCCACCAAAUUUCAGCUCAAUCUAUUCAUUAUUUUGAGCCCAGCUUCAACAUUCAUAUUUUUGUCCAGCGUGGUACUUUGCAAAGCAAGUACCACCUAGGAUCCUCCUUUUGAGCUAAAAAUUUGUGAAGACAUUCUCCUUAGUAGAUGAUCAUCCUCGGCCAAAACUCACGCCCAUUGGCCAUGUGCAUUUCCCGUACCGCUAAUCAAACACAUGGCUGCUAAUUCAUCGCUGAGCAUAGGUCAGUCUCCACGUGAGAUUCUUCUAUUGUAAUUUUGUUCCUAGCACCUACCCGAGGAGUGCCCAACCCACAAGACAUGCCUAGGCCUCCCAGAAAGCAUGUCAACACCAAGGUCACGCGGUGACCAUGCGGCGGGCAUGCGAGUUUACGCGCUUUGGAGUUGGGGCCCUAGGCCACAUCCAAACCUCGACGUAUCGCCACCAAACCAUGUAUUUAUGAUUAAAUAGAUAAUUAUGUAACUAUAAAUGAUUUUCGGAAAAAAGAAAGAGCAAACAAUAAGGUAGAUGCAGUUCAAAAUUGACCCGCUUCCUACUGAAUCGGCAGAAAUUUGUCUUUUUCACAAGUGGUGGAUCAAAACUUUUGACACCAAACCAUUUUGUCAAUUAUGCAUUAAAUAUGGCCUAAUAUUCUAUAAAAAUGAUUUGGUCCAAUUUUGCAACAAAUAUAUGGUAGGUCUUUCACAAAAAGAACUCAAUUCGGGCACUCGGAAAAUGGAAAAUGAAUUUUCCGUGUAAAGAAAAUAAAAAGUCCCUUAGGCAACAUUGUUUGCCAUUCCAAUAUGCACCCUUGUGCAUAAUAUGAGAUCAUUUGAACAAACUAUGCCAUGAAUGUGGCCAUAAGAUUGAUCAUUUGGCUUGAAAGCCAUUGAAUCUUCACGCAUGAUAGCUCAUUUCCGAGAACACUUUUUUAAAAUAAUUGCCGUAUUACAAUUUUAUUAUUUUUCCUAGAAACUUGAUCACAUAUAAUGACACAAUGCGAAGGUUUUCCAAAUUUUUGAUUUUUUUUAAAUUUUUUAUGCCCGUUUCAAAAUGCGAUCAAAACGGCAGGUUUGACCGUUCCUAGCUAGUGGUUGAAUCUUGGAAAACUUUUGAUGUUUCUCCGAUUAAAUAGAUACUUAUGUAUCUAGAAAUGAUUUUUUGAAAAAAUAAAGAGCAAACUAUGAGGUAGUUGCAGUUCAAAUUGGACCCGCUUCCUACUGAAUCGGCGGGAAUUUGUCUUUUUCACCAGAGGUGGAUCAAGGCUUUUGACACCCAAUCAUUUGGUCAAUUGUGAAUAAAAUAUGGCCUAGUAUUUUAGAAAAAUGAUUUGGUCCAAUUUUGCAACAAAUAUAUGGUAGGUCCUUCACAAAAAGAACUCAAUUCGGACACUCAGAAAAUGGAAAAAGAAUUUUCCGUGCAAAGAAAAUAAAAAGUCCCUUAGGCAACAUUGUUUGCCUUUCCAAUAUGCACCCUUGUGCAUAAUAUGAGAUCAUUUGAACAUACUAUGCCAUGAAUGUGGCCAUAAGUUUGAUCAUUUGGCUUGAAAGCCAUGAAUCUUCACGGAUGAUAGCUCAUUUCUGAGAACACUUUUUAAAAAUAAUUACCCUAUUACAAGUUUAUUAUUUUUCCUGGAAACUUGGUCACAUAUUAUGACACAAUGCGAAGGUUUUCCAUUUUUUUUGAUUUUUUUGAAUUUUUUAAGCCCGUUUCAAAAUGCGGUCAAAACGACCGGCUUGACCGUUCCUAGCUAGUGGUUGAAUCUUGGGAUUUUUUGGUGUUUUUAUGAUUAAAGAGAUACUUUUGUACCUAAAAAUUAUUUUUGGGAAAAAUAUAGAGCAAACUAUGAGGCAGGUGCCGUUCAAAUUUGACCCGCUUGUAAUUGAAUCGGCAGAAAUUUGUCUUUUUCACCAGAGGUGGAUCAAAACUUGUGACACGCAACCAUUUGGUCAAUUGUGCAUUAAAUAUGUCCUAGUAUUUUAUAAAAUUGAUUUGGUCCAAAUUUGCAACAAUUAUUUGGUCGGUUCUUCACAAAAAAAACCUCAUUUUGGGCACUUGAAAAUUGGAAAAUGAUUUUUUCGUCCAAAGAAAAUGAAAAUUUCCUUAGGCAACAUUGGUUUCCAUUCCAAUAUGCACCCAUGUGCACAAUAUGAGAUCAUUUCAACAAACUAUGCCAUGUAUGUGGCCAUAAGAUUGAUCAUUUGGCUUGAAAGCCAUUGAUCUCCACACAUGAUAGCUCGUUUCCAAGAAGACUUUUUAAAAAUAAUUAUCGUAUUACAAGUUUAUUAUUUUUCCUAGUAACUCGGCCACAUAUAAUGACACAAUGGGAAGGGUUUCCAUUUUUUUGAAUUUGUUUGAAUUUUUUAUGCCUGUUUCAAAAUGCGGUCAAAACGGCAAAAUAAAUGGUUGUGAUUUUCUAAUCCAUCAAAUAAACGGUUAGAGUUUUCUUUUUUCUGUAAUAGAUAGAUAUGAGGUGUGGAAGGAAACAUCUUGACAUUAUUUUUUUAGUUAAUUGUACAUAAAUUGUGGACUAAUAUUUUUGAAAAAAAGGAUGUGGCCCAUUUUUACAACACAGAUUUGUAGUCUUUUAUUUAAAAGUCGGUGAUUUGGGUACAAAAUUUAAAGAUUCCAUUGCCAGACAACUAGCCAAUGAGAAGAGAGGAACCACGUUCACGCGGAUCGCCCAGUUGGACACGAUCUGAGCCAUCCAUUACGCACACAUCGACGGUGAAGCUUCUCCCGAGAAACCCAAACCCUAACCCACCCACCCACCCACCCUCAUCCUUUCCCCUUCUCCAGAUCCGAUCGAGACACCCCGCCACCCCCGCCUUCCUCCCCCUCCCACGAUUCCCACCGCCACUGCCCCGGCCCCCGCCCCCCAUUCUCUAGAUCCGAUCGAGAUACCCACCACCACCGCACCAUUCAUCCCCCACGUCCACCAGUCCACGCACAGCCAUGGCAUUCCCCAGCCUCCUUCUCGGCUAUGGCGUCAUGGCAGGCUUUCUCGCCGGCGCGCGCAUGUUGCUUCGAUGCACGCCGCUCCGUCGAGCUGGCCGGACCGUGGCGCGCGCGUGGUCUACUUACGGUUUGCGGUUGCGACGCUACACGCCGGCCACGGGUCUCCAGCAAUCAGGAUGGCGAUGAUGUCAAUGGGAUCCUCGGGUCUCCUGGAGCGCGUUUCCCUCGCUCCCUCUCCCACGCCUCCCCUCCCUCGAUCGUGGUUCCUAAUAGACACGCUCCUCUCCUCUCAUUGGGUGGCAUGCAGGGCUUGCGUGGGAGCAGCGCACGGAGGAGGCCUUGGAGGAGAAGUGGGAGGAGCCCGAGCGUCCUCGCGCGCCCGGCCCGUGGCACGAACACCACAGCCCGCGCCUCAGAGCUGCAGCAUCUGCUUCGGCGACUUCGUCUUUGGCAUCUUGCCGGCCACGCUCGUCGGCGUCGUCAUAGCGCCCCCUCCAGAUCAGCUAGGGUUCGGCAAAUGAGGUCACUCCCUUGGGAUUCCGACCGUGAUUUCUAGAUUCUGGCCUUGGGAUUUGUCAAAUGUUCCAAGUUCAGUUUUCACUAGAAAUACUGCUGGUCGUAAGUACAGCAGUGCAAGCUAUUCAAUAAUGGCAAAUCUGCUAGUUAUUAGCCUUCUCUGGUUAACUAGUUAUUUGAGGGACAGUAGGGCGAUAAAUUACUAUAAAAUGCUUAAAAUGUGAAGCCUGUAACAUUUGACAAGCAUAAUAUACUAAUAUACUAUACAUUACUAGUAGAAUACUUUUACCCUCAUUACAGUGCAAGCAAUUCAAUAGCAAGGAACGCAAUUAUUUAACCAUCUCUGACUAAUCAGACAUUUAAAAAGCAUUACUUAUUAGGGGAGGGGUGGGUCUAUUACUGUGCAACACUUGAAUUCUUAGCACUGGCUAAGCAUAAUAUAUUUGUACUAAUUCGUGUGUUUUCUGCUAUCUUUGAGAAUAUAAAAGAGCUCAAGUGCUUCAGUUGUCCUUGAUGUCUGUUGUUUGAUUUGUCAAACCCCAAGUUCAAUUUUCACUAGGAAUACCGUUGCUCUUGUCAGCAUGCACGGACCAACUGGUGAACUGAAGAGCUUGUUCUUGUUGUUGCUGCUGUUGUUGCAGGACAUGAAGCAGUGUAGCAGCAGCCAGUUUGCAAGGAUGCUCAAGAUUGUUGUCUGGUGCCUCACAUCUCCUGAAAAGCACUUCAUCACCCUGCGAGCCCGCUGGUGGCUGCACUGCAUCACGUGCAGCCGCGAGUGCGACGCCAGGCUCGUUGUGCCCAUGGGGGAACAGAUGAGACCAUCGGAUUCUGCCGUCGUCGUUGGUGUAUCGCAUAUUUUUUCAAUUUCCUGGUGUUGUUCUGUUGGCUUGUCUCAGUAGGAUUCAGUUUGGUGAGGGUUGACAUGAUUGGUGAUGUUGUAUUAUUGUGUCUGUUUGACUUGAGUUGUUGUACAGUUAGGGUCGCUUGUCGUGUCAGGGUGUCUGACUGCAAUCUUUGGCUUUCCUGAUGCUAAAUUCUAGAUACUGGGUAAGGUAGGAUGAUACUUCAUGGAGAAACAACUGUAUACAAAUUCUAUCAUUGUGUUGUGCUAGUGCUAUCAUUCUGAUUCAGUAGCAAAUUAUGAAAAGGGAUACAGUCCAUGCUUUAUUGUAACACAUGGAUAUCUCACUUGGUAUCUUGUGCUAGUGCUGCUCCCUAUGAUGGAGUAGAAUGAUACUUUGUGGCAUAGAUUCUCUGUCUCUGUUCAAGAACGAUCCGCAUUUGGCUGAUUGGUGCUUAACCAGAUUGAAUGUAUCACCAAAUAAUUGUGUAAUGAGUAGGUUUGCUAGGAGAAGUACCAUUCCCAUUUUAUGGAGUCCCUCUGUUCAUAGGCUGAGCAGCUCUGUUCCAAUGUGUGAUGAGUUAGAUUGCCAUUUAUGCAUAGUACCAGCUCGACUGUGCAAUCCCUUUCUUAUUUAUUUUCCUGAAUGUCUUGAACUGUCGAACAUUCUUCUUUAAUUUGUUGCAUGCUCCAUUAGUCGUUUAUACUUGAAACCUGGCCUGUCAUUUUUAGUAAAUAUUACAUCAUCAAAGUUGUUUUAUGCAUGCUGCUCGUAACUGUAUGCUCACUCCUAACAGUUUUAUUACUUGUUGUAUGCAGGCUAAUUGGAGCCUACAAUCAGGCUAUUUUUUCCUUUAAACGCCUAUUUUUUGAUAUCAGGUGCUCCUUGAGCUGUCUAAGAACAAGCAAACCAUCAUUUCACCAUCUUCGGCCAACCCAGGGUAUUUCAUCUCUUUGGCCUCUUCCAGCACUGUCUUCUUUGUUCCUGACUAUAAACAUUGAUGCAUGUGCCCUAUUCUAAAGUGGAACAUCAUUUGCUUGUAGCUUGUACUUGUACUGUCCAUCAUUUGCAAAAUAUAUCUCCGUGUUGCUAUUAUGAGAAUGUGAUAUGCAUUGUUUCUUGUUAAAUCUAAAGUUUUGCAGCAAUUUUUCCUCAUUAUGAGAAUUUUAUAUUCACGGAUUCACUUGAUUAUGUUUUUAACUUAUCAUAAUUUAUUAUUUGCAGAUGCUGGCCUUCAAUCUUCAGAAGUUGGAGCUCUAGGAAGAAGAAUCCUGAAGAAAAUCCACACCCAGCAAUGCGAUUAGCUCACUGGACUAGUUAUUUGUUUAUUUAGUUGUAUUUUAGCUAAAUACCAUAUUUGUACUAUUAUCUCACUGUUACCAGAUUUGUAUUUUAGCUAAAAACCAGAUUUGUAUUGGUUACCAGCAAUGCGUUUUAGCUCACGGAACUAGUUAUCUGUAUCAUUGUAAUUUACUUUGCUUGUAUGUUGUAUGAAAUAUUAUGCCUUAUUGGCUCUUUUUGAAUCAAGUUAUCUAAUUGCACAAAUAUAAAACUAACGUGUGGUACAGAAAGAGUGAUCCUGGCGACCUACUUUAAAAUGAGAAAGAAAUAAAAGAAAACUGACAAGUGGGCUGGAAAAACACCGAGGCCCAAAAAAUGUAUACUGUAAAAGGCUGGCCCAAAAGAAUAAAUGGCUGUUGGGCUUGGUCCAUGAAGCUAACAAAAAAUUCAUAGGGAAAAAAUAUAAAUGGGCUGAAUUAAUGGGCUUGGCCCAUGUAAAACACUGAAUGGACCGGGCUGAUUCUUGUGCCACAUCAGAUUGCCACGUCGGAUGCCUACUUGGCCUGGGGAGGCUGCUAGUGACCAAAACGAAACAGUAGGCAUAUUUUGGUCGUAAACGUCUACAACCUUCUCAUAGAGAAGGUCGUUAACUUCAGUUUACGACCACCAGCUUUUGACCAUCUAUUUUUGGUCACAAAAAGGUCACAAAUGGAAAAUAAUGACCAUUAAGUGACCAAUAGUCAAGGUCACAAGUUGACAUAUUUCUUGUAAUGACCGGUGUUUUCGUGCGCUUGCGCGUCGAGAGCAUAUUGGCGCAUGUUCAAAAUUCAAGGUACCUUUUCAUCCCCAAUCUCCCGCCCCUCCCCCACCUCUGGAAUCUCAAUUCCUACUCUAGUUCCCCCAAAUCCCCCUCCUGUACUGCAUGUACUCAAGCUCACUAUCAUGUCACCGGUCAACGCGGAUCUCCAAGCCGGAGAUCCUGUGGUCCGUCCUGCCUUCGGUCGCUGCAUGCUGUCGCUCAACAGUGGCAUGGUGGCGCUUGACGACCAGUUUGCCGGCAAAGUGCUGAUGGUAACCAUCAACAGCGAUCGGCCUCCCGUCUCGCCGGACGACCUUGUCAAAGCUCUUGGCAUUGCGCACGGCAUCCAAAUAAGUGACUUGCUCGUCGAAGUCUGUACACCACCGGCUGAUUUCUUCGUCAGGUUCCAGACAACUUUCAACUGCAGUCGUGUGUUCGAAUCUUCCCGGUGUUUGUUCUGCGAUGGUGCACUGGUGAGCUUUGAUCGGUGGCACCCAAGAUGGGGAUCGGUGCCCUCUGAGCUUGAGUUUGAAACAAAGCUUACCUUCCACGGCAUGCCUCGAUGUGCUUGGAACAGGGAGUCCAUGAAUGAGCUUAUCAACGACCUUGGAGGUGAGCUCGUAAGUAUGUUUGUUCCUCUAGACAGCUGGGCUCUGACGGUUAUGGCAUGGAUGAAGAAGCUGUCCACCAUACUGAAGGUGAUUGGUGUUGAGAUACCGGUGCAGGAACAGGGGUUGUACUAUUCUUUGCAAACAAGGCCGCCGCGGACCACGUUAGGGAUGUACGUGUAUCGACUGUUCGUGCAUGUCGAAGAAGUGGUCAAUCCAUCAAUCGAAGUCCUGCCGCCGCCGCUGGUGCCAGGGUCCGUCGACGACGUCCAUUAUAGGAGUCAACGUCAUACUUUCCCCGUGUUGCUCGGAACGAUGGACGGCACAUGGCCUACUCCAUCGCGCGGCGGAGGCCACUGCUUCUUUGGGAAAAGAGGCAGGGCUGGCUGCCUGGAUGUGCUUUAAUUUGAGGUAACAACUGAAUCUUUUCAGAUACUAGUUAAAUCCGAGCUAUGGGUGUGAAGCAUUGAUGUGCCAGUACAUUUGUUUGUGACCUGUUCUAAUUUUGUACCUGGACUUUUUUUAGAAAGGGUUGUACGUCAACUUAAUGUGCUAGCAGAACUUAUUGUGUUGUCUGUCUGUUUUCUUUGCACAUCAUUCAAGAUAUUUCCCUGUCAUUGAUAAACCAUUAUGUAUGAGUUCGUUGGUUUCAACAUAGCCCUAGCCAUAGCGAUCCACUGCUUCCAUCCUGAUUGUGCUAUGAUGUUCUAUAUGAUUGUGUCAACUAUAUAAGUUUUUACGGAGCAUCAGCAAUGCAUAUGGCUGAAAGAUGUAUUUACGAGCAUCGACCGAUGCCUCUCUCUCUCACACACACACACACACACGCACACACGCACAAGUGGGACCUGUUAAAUUAUUUCUUUGCUUGUGACAUCCUUUAAAUAGGUUCCACUGUAAUCUAACUUUCUCUUAAGUUAUUAAUUAAGCUCGAUGACUUCAAAAAGUUGUAUAGACGCCUUGUUUGGGCCUUUCCGGCGUUGCUGAAUGUGGCUGAGUAGCCAUGUUAGGUUCUACUGUAGUACAGAGGCCUUUUUUCAACAUCAGCAACGCAACUGGUCCGACAGUUGUACACAAUAUCUGGGUCAACUUGUUAAUCUCCGCCCCGCUGGGUUACAAACUUUCCUAGGAUGUAUGCACUAGGCUUAACAAGAAAAUGGACUUUAAGAAAUAAUAAAUGGGAUGUAACUAUAAUAACUGGGCAGUGACUAUAAAAAAUGCACCAAGCGCGUAAUUAGUUUAAAAAAUAUAUUAUUUUCGGAAUUUGAAAAUUUUAAUUUCAUUACUUGUUGCGCGCGCAAUAUUUCGUUGGAUUUUAACGUAAUACAACUUUAUUUUGAUAUUAUAUUUAAUCUGACUAGAAAUUUCGGAUAAAAAUAUUUCGGAUCCCAUAAAAAUGUGGGAUUUUUUUUAAUUCUAUUUUGAGCGGUUGGUUGAAAUUAUUAAUCGUUGUCCUAGCUAGAAAAUGGGUUGUACUUUUAACAAACUGUAAAUGGGCCGUAGUAAAUUCCAUUAGAAUAAAAAAUGGGUUGUACAUUCUUACAAAUCGCAAAUGGGCUAUAUGUUCUCUGCCAAACACUUGUGGGCCUUCUAAGUUGACGCGUCCCCUAAAAAAACUAAGUUGACGUGUAUGCAAGGCUUUGUCAACAACACACGGUUCUAGCAGCUAUGGCCGUUGGAUGUCCAUCCAACGGAUGUGUUGCUUCUUCUUCAAUCUCGGAUAUUCUUGCUUCAGCCGCCCAAAAAAUGAUUCCUCCCCCUGACAUCUGGGGCGCACCGUUUCAGAGGCUGACCUGUGGGCCUACUAAGUUGACGCGUACCAAGGGCAUUGUCAACUUAGUCAAUAUAAACGAUUCUAGCUGCAGUGACCGUACGAUGUCUAUCCAACGGCCGUAGUGCUUCUUCAACCUCUGGUCUUCUUGCUCCAGCCGCCCAAAGUAGCGUCGGUCAUGCCGCGUGCUCCUGCCUCCCGUGGCCGGUUGUGAUGCCAUAGAGGCCUCACCGCCCCCUACUACUCCCACCGCUGGCCAGGCCAUCCCUCUACUCACCCACACCCCCUGUUAUUCCACGGCGACGGCAGCCUCACACCACAGUCGAACCAGUGAACCCUCAUACUCCUCUCCGCGCGGGCUUCCGCUGCCGCGUCUUCCCCGGCUCAGCGUCGUCCCCUUCCUAGGCCUCGUCGUCAACGUGGUCAACAAAUGGCUUCCAUCGGACAUGGACUGUACGUGGAGAGGCUGAUAGCUGGGUCCACGACGGCAACAAGGAAGUGCCUCCUUAUUACACGGAAAAUAAUUAUUCCUCCACCUAACAGCAGGGACCCACCGGACGGGCCGCCGUAUUUCGCGAAAAAAAUGUUUCCCCCUAACUGCUGGGACCCACCGGACGGGCCACCGUAUUGCGCGAAAAAAACUUUCCCCCCACUGUCAGCUCGGACCCACGGAAGUGCCUCCUUAUUACGCACAAAAAAAUGAAUACUCCCCCUACUGGUUUGGACCCACCUUGGUGGGAGGCUGACGUGCGGGCCUACUUAGUUGACGGGGACGGAGUGCUUUGCCAACUUAGUCAGUAUGAACAAUUCUAGCUCCAGUGACCGUAUGAUGUCCAUCCAACGGCCGUAGUGCUUCUUCAACCUCUGCUUUUGUUGCUCCAGCCGCCCAAAGCAGCGCCGGUUGUGCCGCAUGCUCCUGCCUCUCGUGGUCGGCUGUGCUGCCGCGGAGGCCUCACCACCCCCUACUAUUCCCACCACUAGCCAGGCCAUCCCUCUACUCACCCACACCCCCUGUUAUUCUGCGGCGACGACAGCCUCACACCGCAGUGAGCCAGUGAACCAAAGUACUCCUCUACGCAUGGGCAUCCACUGCCGCAUCGUCCCCUUCCUAGGCCUCACCAUCGUCCAUCGGCCUGGUGCUCUCGGCGCGGCAUGGUCAAUGUGGUCAAGGAACGGCUUCCAUCGGACGUGGACUGUACGUGGAGAGGCUGACAGCUGGGUCCACAGCUGCAGCAAGGAAGUGCCUCCUUAUUAUGCGCAAAAUAAUUAUUCCUCCACCUGAUAGCGGGGACCCAUCGGACGGGCCACCGUAUUUCAUGAAAAAAACGUUUACCCCUGACUGCUGGGACCCACCAGCUACAUCUUCGCAUGCAAGGAAGUGCGUCCGGGCAAAAAAAAAGAUUUGCCCCCUGACUGCUGGGACCCACCAGCUACAUAAUCGCAUGCAAGGAACUGCCUGACAGUCGGGACCCACCUGGUCGAAUGUAACGCCCUUGAUGCGGCUAUAUCUCCCACGUGUCGAAGCACGACUUAGAGGCAUAACCGCAUUGAAAGCAAUGUUGCAAGUGAGGUAAUCUUCACACAACCCAUGUAAUACAUAAGGGAAAGAGAUACAUAGUUGGCUUACAAUCGCCACUUCACACAAUUACAUGAAUAAAGCAUUACAUCAUCCAGAUACAAUCAAGGUCCGACUAUGGAACCAAAAUAAAAGAAGAACCCCAAAUGCGACAGAGGUCCCCGAUCGACCCCAACUGGGCUCCACUACUGAUCAACUAGAACGAAACAACACAAAGGGCAAGAUCUUCAUCGAGCUCCUCCUUGAGCUUGGUUGUGUCAUCUGUACGGUAACAUAGGCACCUGCAAACUGGUUUUGGAAGUAUCUGUGAGCCACGGGGACUCAGCAAUCUUGCACCCGCGAGAUCAAGACUAUUUAAGCUUAUAGGAAGGAUGGAGUAAUGAGGUGGAGCUGCAGCAAGUGACUAGCAUAUAUGGUGGCUACAAUCGCAAAAGAGAGCGAGAAGAGAGGGCAAAGCACGGUCGAUAAAAGUAUGAUCAAGAAGUGAUCCUAUAGCAAACUACGUCAAGCAUAACUCCAACACCGUGUUCACUUCCCGGACUCCGCCAAGAAGAGACCAUCACGGUUACACACGCGGUUGAUGUAUUUUAAAUAAGGUCAACCUCGGGUUUUCUACAACCGGACGUUAACAAAUUCCCAUCUGCCCAUAACCGCGGGCACGGCUUUCGAAAGAUAAUACCCUGCAGGGGUGUCCCAACUUAGCCCAUCACAAGCUCUCACGGUCAACGAAGGAAUAGACCUCCACCCGAGACGUUCCGAUCAGACUCGGUAUCCCGGUACAACAAGACAUUUCGACAGGGUAAAACUAAACCAGCAACACCGCCCGAAUGUGCCGACAAAUCCCGAUAGGAGCUGCACAUAUCUCUUUCUCAGGGCACACUCAGAUGAGCAAUCCGUACAACUAAAACCAAACCUCGAGUUUCCCCGAGGGGGCGCUGCACAGGGCUCUAGUUCGGACCAACACUCAAAGGAGCACUGGCCCGGGGGGGGGGGGUUAGAAUAAAGAUGACCCUUGAGUCUGCAGAACCCAAGGGAAGGUGGUAGGUUGUUAGUGCAAAUGGUAAAACCAAUAUUGGGCAUUGCUGGAAGAGCUUUACUUAAGGCGAACUGUCAAGGGGUUCCCAUUAUAGCCCAACCGUGCAAGGAAUGCAAAAUCCGGGAACAUAACACCGAUAUGACGGAAACUAGGGCAGCAAGAGUGGAACAAAACACCAGGCAUAAGGCCGAGCCUUCCACCCUUUACCAAGUAUAUAGAUGCAUUAAUUAAAUAAGAUAUAUUGUGAUAUCCCAACAAGUAAACAUGUUCCAACAAGGAACAACAUCUCCAUGUUCCAACAAGGAACAAACUUCAAUCUUCACCUGCAACUAACAACGCUAUAAGAGGGGCUAAGCAAAGCGGUAACAUAGCCAAACAACGGUUUGCUAGGACAUGGUGGGUUAGAGGUUUGACAUGGCAAUUUGGGAGGCUGACAAGCAAAUGGUAGGCAUCGUAGCAUUGGCAUGGCAAAAGAGUGAGCAAACUAGCAUAGCAAAGAUAGUAGUGAUUUCGAGGGUAUGAUCAUCUUGCCUGAGAUCCCGCAAGGAAGAAGAACGAAUCCAAGAAGAAGACAAACGGUCGAAGUCGAACGAAUCCUCACAACUCCGGAACGAAACCGAAGCUAACGAGAGAAGCAACCCGGAAAGAAACAAACAACAUAGUAAACACACAAGCAUAAACAAGUCAUGAUGCACAAACAAGUAGGAUGCAUGUCCGGUUUAAUGAGGCAUGGCAUGGCAAAGUGCAACAAACAAUACUACAAGUUAAGUGGAGCUCAAUAUGCAACGAGGUGCAUGUUGACGGAACACCACAUCAAUUAUUUAGUUAUCUCUCAUUUAAGCUACCCAACAAUAUUAACUGUUGUUAAACAUGGCAAGAGGUGAAGCAUAAUAUAAACUAUACCAUCUAAACAAUUUAAAUGGGGCCGGAUAUAAAAACAACAAAUCCGGUAAAUCCCCAUAUGCAUUUAGCAAUUAAUGCAACAACAAGUUUAAACAUUUUAAUUGUUGUUAUCAUGAUGCGGAUGACAUAUACAAGUUUUAUGCAAUUUUGUGAAAACGAUAACAUGAACAUGUUAUGAAGCAUUUGUCACCAUGGCGGAAGGAAAAACGUGCCACGGCGGCGAAACAAAAAUGGUGCCACGGCAACAUAUCCGAAAAUGAUGCCACGGCAACAUAUCGGUUCCGGUAGCUCACGGAGAUACCGGUGCAAAAGGAGGCGUGCGGAUGCGUGCAUGGAUGGUGGGGUGAUCCUGGAUUCCGGGUGUCCCACAUAAUGGUGGCAUGGCUUACGGCGAACGUGCAAGGAACAAUUCGGACAUGGUGCAAACACGGGCAUCUCAUACAACGGGCAUUCGGUCCACGGCGGUCGUUUCGGGUUAUACCUUCGAAGCGUUCAAACGAGACGGUUCGCAUUCGGAGCGGUGUAGAGGAAGUAGGCGUUCACGGGACGUCGUCGGAAGUAGUUGUUCACGUGGCGAUGGUAGUGGAAGUAGUUGUUCAUGUCCCGUGGAUGUUCGGGGCCCACGGGGUCUUCGAGGGUCGACGGUAGAGGUACUUGACGGACCAUGUAUUCGAACUCGGCGCAUCCGAAGGGGUACUUGACGAAAUCCACCUUGGAUGUAGUCGUACACGGCGUCGGUAGAGGAACUUGGCGGUCCAUGUACUCAAACUUGGCGCGUCCAAAGGGGAUGACCGGCUGGGCUGCUACUCCGGUUGGCGUGGCAGCGAGCCAAAGGAGCUCGUGCUCCUUGGCAACGAGAGGCUCGGGGCAUGAGCAGGGUCGAAGUGGGCCGAGGCAGGGGGCGAUCUGCGUGGUUGGCUGAUGGUAGCCGCGGCCAUGGAGGUCAACAAGCGUGGCCAUGCGGUCAUCCUCCUGCUCGAGGUAGAGGAUGCAGGGGCGACGACCACGCCGGACUUGAGGACGGGGACGGCGAGGGGAGGCGGAGGCAGAGAUGGUCCGGCACGGAGAAGUCGCAGGCGAGGUGCGGGCGAGCUCGUGCUCGAGUGCCUGAAGACGAUGACGCGGCGGCAGAGAAGCGGGCGGUGGUGCUGGAAGAAGGCAGCGGCGGCGGACUGGGCGCAGGAGGUGGCACGACGGACGACGAGGAGGCCGACGGGGCUCCGGCCUGGCUCUCUCCUCCGGCGAGGGCGGAGCGCGGGAGCAAGGGGAGGCAGUGGCGACGAGCUCGAGGAGCUGCUGCCCUUGAGCGCUUAGGCGACGGGGACGGCUGUCGCCGGUGGAGGGAGGAGGCGACGGGGUCGCGCGCGAGGGAGAAAGAAGGGCGAGGUGGAGGCGCACCGGAGGAGAAGGGGAAGAUCGAGGAGAGGGGGCGAGGGGAUCGGGCGCAGGGAGCUCGAUGGGGAACGAGGGAAAGGGGGUCGAGAGGAUGGAGUCUCUCCUGAGCGGCGGCGCGAGGGAACGAGAGGGAGCGAUCGAGAAGAGGGGGUCGGGCUAGGGUUAGGAUUAGAUGGGCUAGGCCUAGGCGCAGAAGGGCCUUGGAGGCAGGCUGCUGGGCUACUUCUCUCACUACUACAAGAAAGAAAAAAAAACAGAGAUGAGAAAGAAAAGAAAAAGAGGUUAAAGGUGGAGCUUGAGCAGGAGGGUAUUUUCCCGGACUCAUAAAAAUGAGCUCGUUCCAAGAAAAAUAGAAGUGGGCAUGAUCGAAAGAUUAAAUUCAAACUCAUUUGAUUUAAAUUCAAAUGAUUUGAAUAGGAAGUGAGGUUUGGGAAGGUCCAAAAAUGUUUGGAUUUUUGGUGGAGCUCCGGAAAAUGAUGAAAUAAAUACGGGCAAGGUUGGAGAACAAGAAUUGAGAUAACAACGGCAUGGAGAAUUAUUUGCAAGUGUGUUAUGGUGAUUUCCAAAAAAUGAAAUAUUUAUUAUAGCUCCCUAAUAAUAGUAGGAGACUUUGAAUAUGUUUUAAAGAGAAAUCACCAUGUGAAUAUCCCUCGAUUUAAAUAGAUCAACGACCUAUGCAAUUUAUUUAGUUGAGGUUUUAAAAAUUAAUGAUAUGAUGGCAUGAUGACAUGAUGCAAUGCAAAAAUAAAAGGGGCAGACACAAAUGAAACACAUGGCGAAACCCGGAAUAGCUGGAAGUCUUCUGGAGCAUCGGUCUCGGGGUGUUACAACACUCCACCACUACAAGAGGAUCUCGUCCCGAGAUCUAGGAUGGCACCGGAGAGAAAUGGAAGAGGAAGAGAAGAGGUAAAACUAAGUUGCUUCUUUGACCAAUGAGUGAAACCAAAGAACCUUGAGAGGUUGAACAAAUUGAAAGAAAGAAUACAAAGGAGAUGAACGAGAUUGCAAACAAUCCAUUAGAAAGAGGAACAAGGAACAUUACGAGAACUUGAAAGUUGCAAAGACAUGAAUCAAGAGUUUAAUGGACAAGAUAGAAUUCGAAACCACUCCGGUUAAAACAAGAUGAGAGGGGAAGAAUUCGGGCAGUACUCCGGUUGAACAUGGAAGGAAUAGAACAUGAACUUGAGAAGAUGGGAUGUUACUUGAUGAAAUCAACAACACACUGCCUCCGGAACUAUUGAAAGAAUGACACAAUGGGUAAGAAGGAUUUCAGACAGCUCUCCAGUUGAGGAAGGAGGGAAAACUUGAUAAGAUUAGAGAACUCGAAUGAAAACACGACACUCCGGUUAAAUGGAUAAGCAAGAAAAGAACACGAUCCUCACAAAUCGAGAUGGUGAGUGAAAAGAGCAACGUCACAAUGCCUCCGAAAGAAAUAAUAGAAGAUAUAUCAUUGGAAUAACAGAAUGGAGAAGAAAAUGCCAACUUCUGCCACAAAAGAGUUUGGAAAGCAUCCUUGCAAAGAAGAAUUGAACGGAGUUGUUGGAAAAUCAACAACGAAAAGCACAAGCUUGUAGUGGGCUUAUGGAAAACAUCUCAAAAUUAUGAGGUGACAACCGUCCACUAACGGAAACAAUUGCUUGCUUGAGAUCAACGAAGAGAUGAAAACUUCUUCCACCAAGAUGAUAAAGAGAUAACUUGGAUCAUUGGCAAGCACCACAAAUAGCAACAUUCCCAAUGGAAGGCUUUUAGGUGAAAUAUGACACAAGAUAACUCCAACAACGAGGUUGAUGGAUUUAAAAAUAACUCAUUAUUAACAACAUGUGAAUCAUGGAACAUGAACUCAAAUUAUCAAGAAUGACAUAAUACCACCUCCAAAAUAUGGUAGAAAGAAUUGCACUUCGGAAUGCAAGAUGAAGAAUGCUUGAACUACUCAAAACAAAACAUGCGUUGAGCACCAUGUUUAUUUUAGAGUAUAGCUUGGUGGAUCUUAACUUCGAGAGAAAUCUUGAAGAACAAUUGAAGAAUGAAAGGAAACCUUGACGAAGCAUCAUGUAGAGCCUCCAUGAAGAACUCCGGUUAGAAAAUGAUGAUAAAAGAAAGAGAAGUUGAAAACACAAGGUGAAGCCUUGCAAUGAUUUAGAUGGAUCUCCGUGAUAAUUAGAGCUUGGAACUCCGGGAAAAAGAGAAGAUGAAACAAAUGAAACCGAGAAUUUUAAGGGCCUCCGGAAUAAAGAAUUAGUCACUUGGAUGAACAAGAAUAAGAAUUAUGUUAUGCUUAUCCUUCACCAAUUAAAUUGACGACAAUCAACGGAUUUGGCAUACUACUUAUUCUCGUAGAAAGGAUUAAAAGAGAUAUAGCGUAAACUUGAGAAGGUCUUCAACGAACCACCGUAGGAUUGGAACAACAAAUGAAUUGAUAUGAUGAACAAGGAAGAGAGAUCUUGAAAGAACCACCGUAAGAAUUGAAAAUGAUCGAAGUAGGGGUGCAUCACCGGUAAGAAUUAGCAAAUGAACGAAGGUGCUUGAGACAAACUAGAUACAUGAGAACAAAGAGAUCAAGAACUGAUUAGAGGAUAUUCGAUAGAUGCACCGGCAAGAUAGGAGAAUGAUAACUGACGGCUGAGAAUGAAUAAACCUGAAUUGAUGGACUCCGGAUGACAAACUGAGAAGACUCUUGAAUAUCUCCUGAUGGGUGAAAAAGAUUCUCAUAAUCGAAAACAAUUAUGAGAGGAUGGCAACAAGCUAGCACCAUGAAUCUUGAAGAGAAUAGAGCAAAAUUAAAGAGAAACUCUUCUUCGGUCUUCAAAUGAUGAGAAUGACAACGAGAAACACCACCAAGAAUUAUUGAGGCACACCGGAAGAAUCAAAAGCGAAGAGGUUGAGCCAACUAUGAAAAGAAUUUGAAAGAUCUUGGAGAAAAGCAUUUGACUAAUGAUAACUUAUUCUUACGUCAAACAUGGAGAAGAAUUUAGGAUAGAUCUGGGAAAAUAGAAGAGUCAGGUAAGAUCCUGGGAAAAGACCUGUGGGUUAGGGCCCACUCAAAAGAAACACCGUUGAACAAUUUGAAGAGAGAUAAUGCACCGGUUGAAAUAAAAGACUUGAAUGAGAGAACAUCCUCGAAAGAUCUUGAAUGAAUGCAUAGUGGAAACACGAAUCUUCGAGAUAUCUUGAGCAUUCCAGAAUAAUUGAAUAGCGAGAGAUGGAUGAUUAAGAGGUGCACCGGCAUAAGAAAAGCAUUGGAAAAAAAAAGAAAAGGAGUAUGCUUAAUACCAAAGCUUGAAUUAAAUCCACUGGAGAAGAAAAGAACGAGGAAUGAUGAACUUGAAGCUCCAUUAGAAUCUUCAUGUGAAUCACCGGAUAAGAACAUUGACGGAAAAGAAUGGAGAAACUUCCCAUCAAUAAAAUGGAUACUUGAAGAAGAAAUCUUAGUCCUUGAAGAAAAACAAAAGGGAGGGAGGGUGGGAAAAACAAAGGAAACUUGGAGACGGAUGAAACAAACACCGUUGAGAAGAAGUGAUAAAUGAUCUUGCAAAUGUUGACGUGAACGGAUCCACUUGAGGAGAGACACACCGGUUAAAAAAAAGGAUUGACAAGACAGACUCGAUGAUCAAGAAGGAUUAGUAUUCACAUAGGAAUAUGAGAACACCAUUUGGAAAAGGUAUGGAAUCAACAUUUGACUUCGAAGCAACUCGAAUACCACAACCCAAAACAAAACAAAGGAUUGGCUUGCAAAAUAAGCCAGAACAAACAUAUGAUAGAGAUUUCGUCCGAAGUUUUCGUGGUGGGGCCUACACGGGCUCGAUCGUACAGCACCAUCAUGUACAAGGCAGUGCACAUGACAUACGAAGCGUCCCCGAGUCGGCAUAGCCAAGGACUCUUUAAGACACAACGAGACCACUGUAAAAUCGACCAUGAAUAGGCGGACCACUAGACGUCGAACCCCAAUUUCAUAUCAUACAUCCAUCGGAAAGAUAUCCUAAGAGCAACUUGAAUUCCCACCUAUGAAACUCCCGAAAUUUUUAGGUUAUGCAAUCAGGUGUUGGGGAUACAGGGGAAGCAUAAUAUCUCACCCAAAACUAACAAAUCCUACAUCUAGCUGUAUCCAUCCUUCAACACAUAACCAAGAAACCUUCGGAAAUCGUCUACCUCAACCUUCGAAAAGCAUCCGUUAUACAAGUCAUGGCAAUACUCCCGUACUCACCUCAGUACUGGGUUAUCGGGGUUAUCUCACCAACAACUGCAUAAAAGAGAUUUUCGAUGUCGGCGUACUAAACUCAGGUAUUCCAGAACUGCAACGAUAAAAUUAUGACGACAACACCUCAGAGCUCAACUCCCCGGGACACUUCCACUAAACCCCUGACAGGAGGCACCAAGACAAUGUUCUCAUCAUAAAACCAUCGGACCGAUUCCAAGAUACCCGCGUGAUCCUAAAAUUUUUUUUAGUGAAAUUUGAGAAGAGAAGAGUCAAAACUCUACGUCAGGAUGCCUUACCAGAGCGAUGAAGAGAUUGGGGAGUAAAAAGAAUUCCUAACUCUCCGAUAUAUAUAAUCCUAAAUAACUCAAAAUAUUUUUCUAGACACAACUCGGCCGCUAAAAACGAUCAAGCAAUGGGGCUCCUAAGGUCGGGGAAGGCUCUGAUUACCAACUUGUAACGCCCUCGAUGCGGCUAUAUCUCCCACGUGUCGAAGCACGACUUAGAGGCAUAACCGCAUUGAAAGCAAUGUCGCAAGUGAGGUAAUCUUCACACAACCCAUGUAAUACAUAAGGGAAAGAGAUACAUAGUUGGCUUACAAUCGCCACUUCACACAAUUACAUGAAUAAAGCAUUACAUCAUCCAGAUACAAUCAAGGUCCAACUAUGGAACAAAAAUAAAAGAAGAACCCCAAAUGCGACAAAGGUCCCCGAUAGACCCCAACUGGGCUCCACUACUGAUCAACUAGAACGAAACAACACAAAGGGCAAGAUCUUCAUCGAGCUCCUCCUUGAGCUUCGUUGCGUCAUCUGCACGGUAACAUAGGCACCUGCAAACUGGUUUUGGAAGUAUCUGUGAGCCACGGGGACUCAGCAAUCUCGCACCCGCGAGAUCAAGACUAUUUAAGCUUAUAGGAAGGAUGGAGUAAUGAGGUGGAGCUGCAGCAAGCGACUAGCAUAUAUGGUGGCUACAAUCGCAAAAGAGAGCGAGAAGAGAGGGCAAAGCACGGUCGAUAAAAGUAUGAUCAAGAAGUGAUCCUAUAGCAACCUACGUCAAGCAUAACUCCAACACCGUGUUCACUUCCCGGACUCCGCCGAGAAGAGACCAUCACGGUUACACACGCGGUUGAUGUAUUUUAAAUAAGGUCAACUUUGGGUUUUCUACAACCGGACGUUAACAAAUUCCCAUCUGCCCAUAACCGCGGGCACGGCUUUCGAAAGAUAAUACCCUGCAGGGGUGUCCCAACUUAGCCCAUCACAAGCUCUCACGGUCAACGAAGGAAUAGACCUCCACCCGAGACGUUCCGAUCAGACUCGGUAUCCCGGUACAACAAGACAUUUCGACAGGGUAAAACUAAACCAGCAACACCGCCCGAAUGUGCCGACAAAUCCCGAUAGGAGCUGCACAUAUCUCUUUCUCAGGGCACACUCAGAUGAGCAAUCCGUACAACUAAAACCAAACCUCGAGUUUCCCCGAGGGGGCGCUGCACAGGGCUCUAGUUCGGACCAACACUCAGAGGAGCACUGGCCCGAGGGGGGUUAGAAUAAAGAUGACCCUUGAGUCUGCAGAACCCAAGGGAAGGUGGUAGGUUGUUAGUGCAAAUGGUAAAACCAAUGUUGGGCAUUGCUGGAAGAGCUUUACUUAAGGCGAACUGUCAAGGGGUUCCCAUUAUAGCCCAACCGUGUAAGGAACGCAAAAUCCGGGAACAUAAUACCGAUAUGAUGGAAACUAGGGCGGCAAGAGUGGAACAAAACACCAGGCAUAAGGCCGAGCCUUCCACCCUUUACCAAGUAUAUAGAUGCAUUAAUUAAAUAAGAUAUAUUGUGAUAUCCCAACAAGUAAACAUGUUCCAACAAGGAACAACAUCUCCAUGUUCCAACAAGGAACAAACUUCAAUCUUCACCUGCAACUAACAACGCUAUAAGAGGGGCUAAGCAAAGCGGUAACAUAGCCAAACAACGGUUUGCUAGGACAUGGUGGGUUAGAGGUUUGACAUGGCAAUUUGGGAGGCUGACAAGCAAAUGGUAGGCAUCGUAGCAUUGGCAUGGCAAAAGAGCGAGCAAACUAGCAUAGCAAAGAUAGUAGUGAUUUCGAGGGUAUGAUCAUCUUGCCUGAGAUCCCGCAAGGAAGAAGAACGAAUCCAAGAAGAAGACAAACGGUCGAAGUCGAACGAAUCCUCACAACUCCGGAACGAAACCGAAGCUAACGAGAGAAGCAACCCGGAAAGAAACAAACAACAUAGUAAGCACACAAGCAUAAACAAGUCAUGAUGCACAAACAAGUAUGAUGCAUGUCCGGUUUAAUGAGGCAUGGCAUGGCAAAGUGCAACAAACAAUACGACAAGUUAAGUGGAGCUCAAUAUGCAACGAGGUGCAUGUUGACGGAACACCACAUCAAUUAUUUAGUUAUCUCUCAUUUAAGCUACCCAACAAUAUUAACUGUUGUUAAACAUGGCAAGAGGUGAAGCAUAAUAUAAACUAUACCAUCUAAACAAUUUAAAUGGGGCCGGAUAUAAAAACAACAAAUCCAGUAAAUCCCCAUAUGCAUUUAGCAAUUAAUGCAACAACAAGUUUAAACAUUUUAAAUGUUGUUAUGAAAACGAUAACAUGAACAAGUUAUGAAGCAUUUGUCACCAUGGCGGAAGGAAAAAGGUGCUACGGCGGCGAAACAAAAAUGGUGCCACGGCAACCUAUCCGAAAAUGAUGCCACGACAACAUAUCGGUUCCGGUAGCUCACGGAGAUACCGGUGCAAAAGGAGGCGUGCGGAUGCGUGCAUGGAUGGUGGGGUGAUCCUGGAUUCCUGGUGUCCCACAUAAUGGUGGCAUGGCUUACGGCGAACGUGCAAGGAACAAUUCGGACAUGGUGCAAACACGGGCAUCUCAUACAACGGGCAUUCGGUCCACGGCGGUCGUUUCGGGUUAUACCUUCGAAGCGUUCAAACGAGACGGUUCGCAUUCGGAGCGGUGUAGAGGAAGUAGGCGUUCACGGGACGUCGUCGGAAGUAGUUGUUCACGUGGCGACGGUAGUGGAAGUAGUUGUUCAUGUCCCGUGGAUGUUCGGGGCCCACGGGGUCUUCGAGGGUCGACGAUAGAGGUACUUGACGGACCAUGUAGUCGAACUUGGCGCAUCCGAAGGGGUACUUGACGAAAUCCACCUCGGAUGUAGUCGUACACGGCGUCGGUAGAGGAACUUGGCGGUCCAUGUACUCAAACUUGGCGCGUCCAAAGGGGAUGACCGGCUGGGCUGCUACUCCGGUUGGCGUGGCAGCGAGGCAAAGGAGCUCGUGCUCCUUGGCAACAAGAGGCUCGGGGCAUGAGCAGGGUCGAAGAGGGACGAGGCAGGGGGCGAGCUGCAUGGUUGGCUGAUGGUAGCCGCGGCCAUGGAAGUCAACGAGCGUGGCCAUGCGGUCAUCCUCCUGCUCGAGGCAGAGGAUGCAGGGGCGACGACCACGCCGGACUUGAGGACGGGGACGGCGAGGAGAGGCGGAGGCAGAGAUGGUCCGGCACGGAGAAGUCGCAGGCGAGGUGCGGGCGAGCUCGUGCUCGAGUGCCUGAAGAUGAUGACGCGGCGGCAGAGAAGCGGGCGGUGGCGCUGGAAGAAGGCAGCGGCGGCGGACUGGGCGCAGGAGAUGGCACGACGGACGACGAGGAGGCCGACGGGGCUCCGGCCUGGCUCUCUCCUCCGGCGAGGGCGGAGCGCGGGAGCAAGGGGAGGCAGUGGCGACGAGCUCGAGGAGCUGCUGCCCUUGAGCGCUCGGGCGACGGGGACGGCUGGCGCCGGUGGAGGGAGGAGGCGACGGGGUCGCGCGCGAGGGAGAAAGAAGGGCGAGGUGGAGGCGCACCGGAGGGGAAGGGGAAGAUCGAGGAGAGGGGGCGAGGGGAUCGGGCGCAAGGAGCUCGAUGGGGAACGAGGGAAAGGGGGUCGAGAGGAUGGAGUCUCCCCUGAGCGGCGGCGCGAGGGAACGAGAGGGAGCGAUCGAGAAGAGGGGGUCGGGCUAGGGUUAGGAUUAGAUGGGCUAGGCCUAGGCGCAGAAGGGCCUUGGAGGCAGGCUGCUGGGCUACUUCUCUCACUACUACAAGAAAGGAAAAAAAACAGAGAUGAGAAAGAAAAGAAAAAGAGGUUAAAGGUGGAGCUUGAGCAGGAGGGUAUUUUCUCGGACUCAUAAAAAUGAGCUCGUUCCAAGAAAAAUAGAAGUGGGCAUGAUCGAAAGAUUAAAUUCAAACUCAUUUGAUUUAAAUUCAAAUGAUUUGAAUAGGAAGUGAGGUUUGGGAAGGUCCAAAAAUGUUUGGAUUUUUGGUGGAGCUCCGGAAAAUGAUGAAAUAAAUACGGGCAAGGUUGGAGAACAAGAAUUGAGAUAACAACGGCAUGGAGAAUUAUUUGCAAGUGUGUUAUGGUGAUUUCCAAAAAAUGAAAUAUUUAUUAUAGCUCCCUAAUAAUAGUAGGAGACUUUGAAUAUGUUUUAAAGAGAAAUCACCAUGUGAAUAUCCCUCGAUUUAAAUAGAGCAAUGACCUAUGCAAUUUAUUUAGUUGAGGUUUUAAAAAUUAAUGAUAUGAUGGCAUGAUGACAUGAUGCAAUGCAAAAAUAAAAGGGGCAGACACAAAUGAAACACAUGGCGAAACCUGGAAUAGCUGGAAGUCUUCUGGAGCGUCGGUCUCAGGGCGUUACAUCGAAGCAUACGUAGCAUUGUCAUUCUGGUCGCGAACGUGUACGUACAUACUGGUCGAUGUAGAGGCCCUCACGUGUCGUAGCGGAGGCGUGCAUGUAGCAUGUACACGUACGUACAUCGGCUAGGGUGCAAGAAAGUAAAUACGACCACGUACGUACGUAUAGGCGGGGUCUCGAACGCCUACUCGCGCAUACGUAUGGCCAAGGCUCGUGUACCUUGGCUGGGUCGGAACGGAGAAACAGCGUCAUCGUCGUGUUCAUGGGGAGCCAACCGGCUGGGUCGGAAUGGAAUGCAUCGUCGUGUUCAUCGGGAGGGCUUGGACGGAAUAGCCAAUGGAAACGAGGCUUGGCGUACCGUAGAACGGAGGAAACGGCCUUGUGUUCGACCGGCCACGUUCGAAAUGGGAUCGUGUUCAUCAGGAGGGGUCUGGCGUACCGCAAAAUGGAGGAAACAGACCUCCUACUGUUAAAACGGGGGUCAUGUUGAUCGGGAGGGGUGUGGCGUACCGAAAAUGGAGGAAACGAACUUGUUGGAGCGCUACGGUCAAAACGGUGGUCCUAUUCAUCUCCACCGUCGACCCCCUCUAGCCUCCAUGGGCUACUGUUCAUCCACCGUCGACCUCUUCCAGCCUCCACCUGUGACUGUUCAUCCCCGGGCUCCUGUUCAUCUAGCCUCCACUGCGCGCUACUCCACCGGCUACUGUUCAACCAGCCCUCUCCACUGGCUCCUGUUCAACCACCCCUCCAUGGGCUACUGUUCAUCCUGCCCUCCACCGUCUACUGUUCAUCCUGCCCUCCACGGGGUGGUCCUGUUCAUCCUGCCCUCCACGGGGUCCUAUUCAUCCAGCCCCAACCGGCUCGAUCGAUCAGGGUCCUGUUCAUACAGGGGCAACACCACGGGGUCCUGUUCAUCCACCCCCACCAGGAACUGUUCANNNNNNNNNNNNNNNNNNNNNNNNNNNNNNNNNNNNNNNNNNNNNNNNNNNNNNNNNNNNNNNNNNNNNNNNNNNNNNNNNNNNNNNNNNNNNNNNNNNNNNNNNNNNNNNNNNNNNNNNNNNNNNNNNNNNNNNNNNNNNNNNNNNNNNNNNNNNNNNNNNNNNNNNNNNNNNNNNNNNNNNNNNNNNNNNNNNCCAGCAACGCUCACUAUUCAUCUAGAGGCAGCAUCGAUCGACUUCAGUUAGCACCAGUAGCAAAGGCAUCGCUCGAUCGGGUUCAAUUAACAUCCAUUGAUCGAUCGCUCGGGUUUAGUAACGCGUAGCCUACAGUGCAAUCACUCGGGUUUAGUUAGAUCCCAACGCCUCGCACCCACGCGCGUGCGCAUACAAGAGAAACACGCAUCGCUCGGCCCCGACCACCCACCGUAACCAGGAACACCCCGAUAUUUUCCUCGCCCUCGAUUCUACCACGGUUUUUUCCGUCAUGGACGGCCCAAAGAAUGUCAUGUAGCUGCGUCUCCGGCACGCCCAGGAAAAAAAGCCCAUUUUCUGUCAUGAUUUUUUGUCAUAGAAGUAGGACCCCACCACAUCUACGAUGAUACCGGGUUUUGUCACAAUUAUCGUCAUAGAAGUGUCAUAGGUAUGAUAGAAAAAAAAUUGUUCGGCCCAAAAUGUCAUGGAUGUGUCUUUUUUUUGUAGUGUACUCACACAUCAUCGGAGGGGCCAUGGAGUUGAUGUAGAGGCCCUCCGUGUUCAAUGCCACCUCCGGCGGAGCUCGAAAAAGGCCCCAAGAUGGGGUCUCUUCGGUACAGAAGGUUGCGGUGGUGGAAAUAGGGUUUCGUGGUGCUCCUGGAUAUUUGAGGGGUAUAUGGAUAUAUAUAGGAGGAAGAAGUACGUCAGUGGAGCAAUGAGGGGCCCACGAGGGUGGAGGGCGUGCCCUGGGGGGUGGGCACGCCCCCUGCCUCGUGGCCGCCUCGUUGAUUGCUUGCCGUCCACCUUUCUUCCAAAAAUAACGCUCCUGAAGGUUUUUGUCGGAUGUGGGGCCAUGGCUAACCCUUAAGGUUCGAACACUGGGGUGCGCUCGAAGUCUUUCCCUCCUACCGAUCUACGCUCUAGCUCGCUAAGAUCUUGCGGACGAACUCGACGAACUCGCAACACAGAAAGACACAGGGUUUAUACUGGUUUGGGCCACCGUUGUGGUGUAAUACCCUACUUCAGUGUGGUGGUGGUGGAUUGCCUCUUGGGCUGAUGAUGAACAAUACAAGGGAAGAACAUCCUCCUGAGGUUGAGGUGUUCUUGCGCGUAUGAACUUGUGGUGUGUCUCUGGGUCUGAUCCACCCUCACUAUGGUGGUGGCUAGUCCUAUUUAUAGAGGCCCUGGUCCACUUCCCAAAUAUCGAGCGGGAAGGGAGCCAACAAUGGCGGGAUAAUUUGAAGGGGGAUAGCUAGUACAAGCUAUCCUCACAAAAGGUAGUCCGCGCCUGUGAAAGGCUCUAGGGUGACGCCGUCUUGGGCUCCACGAUGAACUCCGCCUUGUCGUCCGCCUCGUUUUGGUCUUGUUGUAGAGAAACGGAAGCCUUUGCCUGAGGCCUCGGUACUCCGCGGCUGCGCUUGCCUCCUUUGCACCAAAGGGGAAACAAGGACGCUGCGCGCGCUGGCGCCCGCCUGGCGCCGUUCGUCAUGGCUCACGUCACGACGGCCUUGUGAGGUUUGCCCUGCCUUGAUAUCUCCGCUCCUCGUGAGCCUGCCUAGCUAGGCCACUCCAUAGGAGGUCUUCUGUUGUCCGCCUCGCAAAGCUUGGCCCCUCGCGAGGGACUCGGGUGUCUUGUUGGUGAAGAUGGGCCUUACGGCCUGCUGCUUGACCAUGCCGCGGGCCACAGGCAGGCAUGUUUGGGGACCCCCAUUCCCAGAACACCGACAGUAGCCCCCGGGCCCAAGGUGCACGCGAGCUUGGCUUCGCGGUGAAGCCAAGGGUCAAGUUCGGAGCACCGCGAGCCCCAAAAGCCUGCGGCCUCGGUUGACGCGUGGCGGUUGAUUGGACGUGGGCGUCUCCGCUUCCCCAUGCUGCCUCAAUGACUGCAUGAUUUGACAAGUCCCUGCGACAUGCAAGGGAAUCCAUCAUUACCUGUGAUCAUGGGAGGUGCCGGUUGGCCUUCUCUUGCUAUAAAUGAGGGAGGGCGGAGCCCCCGUCGCCUAUCUCUUCCUCGCUUGCUUGCUUCUUCUUUGCUUCAUUGCUUGAAGUGCCUCCGAUGGCGCCACGUAGGAAGUUCUCUGCCGCCGAGAAGGGGAAGGCCCCUCGCGAGGGCCCCGGUUCCCCGGCGCCCAAGUGCGGUCGCAACCGUCCGCACAAGCACGUUGCGACCCCCGCCGUGGCCCACUUUCGAGGCGGCGCCGUGGCACGCGGAGGGGACCGUCCGAACCAUGGUGGUCUAGCCGACGAGGGGAGGCGCGCGAUGGUGGCGCGGCCUCCCUGCCCGCGCUUCCAUUCAGCGGAGGUGUCGCCGGAGUUCGUUGUCUGGUCGGAGAACCCGGCCGGCAACUGGCUCCAACUUCCGCGCUUUCUUGUCGAUGAACUGCCGGCCCCUGGUCCAGGUGGGCUCUAGUUGCAGGCGGAUGGUUGCUGCAGCAAGGCCUCCUGGGUCGUGGUCGAGACUUCCGCCGCGGGCAACAUAUCCCUGGCCCCCGGCUGGCAGACGUUCGCCCGCGCGCGCGGCCUGGGCAGGCGGUGCACGCUCCACUUCAAAUAUGACGGUGGGUCGACCCUCUAUGUGAGGGUGUUCGGGGAAGAUGGUCGUCGUGCCGGGUGCUGCCCCAAGACGAACGAUGGUGAGGAGGUGCUCGGCCUUGGUGAUGGUCGCGACGAGGAUGAGGGCGAGCCUGGCCUCAGCGGCGACCGCGUCUCUUCCAUCUACGACGGCUCUUCCUCCAGUGACAGCUCCAGCAGAAGUGGCUACGACCAGCCGUCGUGCCGCCGCGCCCGCUUCGAGGGAGGCAGCGGGUCAUCUCGUUGGCCCGCCUUCGUGAAGCGUGAGGAGGGGUCUGGCUAGGCUCGAGGCGUCGCUAAGGGCCUUCCUCCGUGGAUUGUUAAAAUGCCGCUUUGUUUAGCUUUUUCCUUUUUCCCUGCAUUAGAAAAUGAAACCAAUAUGGGCCCAGAGGGGCGUGUAUCAAACUAUGGUUCUAUGUUAAUGCAACGUGCGUGCUAUUCCCAUGUCGUGCUGUUAUUUUGCGCAAAAGAUAACUUAACCUGGCGCAUUUGGGAUGCCCUUUCCUUCACGAGGUGUCUGCGUUUGCUCAGAAGCUGCAAAAAAAUUGUUAGGGGAUGCGCUAGAGGAUUUUCCGUUCACCCAAACCUUGAAUUGGCACUUUGCAUCGCGGUACCCGAGGUGCACGGAUUAGGAGAGAUGCGCCAGCUUCCAGGCUCAAACGAGGGUGACUCGUGAGAAAGCAGACAGAAGAAAAUCGCUCGCGUACGCAGCUGCCUAGCCCCCUCGGGAGGUAUGCGAGAGAGAGAUCGCGAGCAAACCAGAGCCGGAAAACGCAGUAAAAGGCGAAGGAACCAAAUCAGCAUGGAACGCCAAAGGCAAACUUGAUUAAUGAGAAGAGAGCCAACUUCGGAAAGCAAAUGAAAAGCCGCGUCCGGCACCUAAUCUAGUCUUCAAGUCUUCUCACCAACGCGGAGCAAAGUGUUGUCCACUAGGCAUGGGAGGGAGCCGCAGGGCCUGAGGCCAGCACCCCUGAGACUCCGGGGUGUGUACAACCCCAACUCAUUAUUACGUGAGAGUGUCACGGGCGGCGAUUCCUCACAGGCACCGGGCCUUCUUCACAGGCUCUGGGCCUUUCUUCACAGGCUCUCAGCCUUGCUUCAUAGGUAGAACCUCCAGAGGUGCUGGAUGUUCCAGGAGUUUUGGAUAGGAGUCCCUUCUUGCGUCUCCAGGCGCAUCACGCGAGGCCUGGAGAUGUGGACGACCCUGAAUGGGCCCUCCCACAUGGGUGAAAGCUUGAGCAACACUACCCUGGAGAGGACCCGCCUCAGGACCAGGUCACCAGUCUCGAGCGUCCUGGAUCGAAUGGUGCGGCAGUGGUAAUGCCGCAGCGCUUGCUAGUACCUUGCCACCCUUAAUGCAGCUUCGCGACGACGUUCCUCCCCCAGCACGAGAUCCAUCCCCCGCAUGGCGUCCUGCUGCGUUUCGUCGAACGCCAGAACCCGCGCGGAGUGAUGCCUGACCUCGUGAGGGAGGACUGCUUCAGCUCCGUAGACGAGGAAGAACAGAGUCUCGCCCGUUGGCUUGGUAGCGGUGGUACGGAUGGACCACAUCACAGACUAGAGCUCAUCAUGCCAGCCCCUGCCGUAGGCCUCCAGCUUCUUCUCGAAGGUCCUGGUCUUGAGGCCCCUCAGGACCUCAGCACUGGGGCGCUUAGCCUGACCAUUGCUCCUGGGGUGGGCCACCAAAGCGUAGCAGAUCUGCGUUCCAAGGUUAGCAUAGUAGGUUCUAAAGAGGCUACUAGUAAACUGCGAGCCGUUAUCUGUGAUGAUGCGAUUGGGGACCCCGAAGCGGCUCAAGAGGCCCUUGAUGAACUUGACAGCAGAGCCGGCUCGAAUGGUUCAGACGGCUUUGUAACGCCCUCGAUGCGGCUAUAUCCCCUACGUGUCGAAGCACGACUUCGAGGCAUAACCGCAUUGAAAGCAAUGUCGCAGGUGAGGUAAACUUCGCAAAUAAUCCAUGUAAUGUAAAUAAAAGAGGAAAAGAUACAUAGUUGGCUUACACUCGCCACGUCACACGAAUACAUAAAUAGCAUUACAUUCAUCCAAAACACUCAUGGUCCGACUAAGGUACCAAAAUAAAUAUCAACCCCCAAAUGCGACAAAGUCCCCGAUCGCCCCAACUAGGCACCACUACUGAUCAUCUGGAAAAGACACAUAGUAACGGCGAGAAUCUUCAUCAAACUCCCACUUGAGCUCAAGCGCAUCGUCUGGAGCGGUAUCAUCGGUCCCUGCAUCUGGUUUUGGAAGUAAACUAUGUGUCACGGGGACUCAGCAAUCUCACAACCUCGCGAUCAAGACUAUUUAAGCUUUUAGGUAAGACAAGGUAUGAUGUGGAGCUGCAGCAAGCGACUAGCAUAUAUGGUGGCUAACAUACGCAAAUGAGAGCGUGAAGAGAAGGCAAAAGCAUGGUCGAACAACUAUGAUCAAGAAGUGAUCCUAGAACAACCUACGUCAAGCCUUACUCCAACACCGUGUUCACUUCCCGGACUCCGCCGAGAAGAGACCAUCACGGUUACACACGCGGUUGGUGCAUUUUAAUUAAAUUAAGUUUCCAUCUGCCCAUUAACAAAUUCCCAUCUGCCCAUAACCGCGGACACAACUUCUGAAAGUUCAAAUCCCUACAGGGGAGUCCCAACUUGCCCAUCACAAGCUCUCAUGGUCAACGAAGGAUAUUCCUUCUCCCAAGACAAUCCGAUCAGACUCGGCAUCCCGGUUACAAGACAUCCUCGACAAUGGUAAAACAAUUCUAGCAACACCGCCCGAAUGUGCCGACAAAUCCCGAUAGGAGCUGCACAUAUCUCGUUCUCAGGGCACACUCAGAUGAGCCAGACGUUGGGUAGGCCAGCCCAGAGUUGCCCGUGGUAUCCCCGGACAUCGCUCAGUUGGACCAACACUUAGAGAAGCACUGGCCCGGGGGGGUUAAAAUAAAGAUGACCCUUGAGUCUGCGAAACCCAAGGGAAAAAGGCUAGGUGGCGAAUGGUAAAACCAAUGUUGGGCAUUGCUAGAAGAGCUUUAUUCAAGGCGAACUGUCAAGGGGUUCCCAUUAUAACCCAACUGUGUAAGGAACACAAAAAUCCGGGAACAUAACACCGAUAUGACGGAAACUAGGGCGGCAAGAGUGGAACAAAACACUAGGCAUAAGGCCAAGCCUUCCACCCUUUACCAAGUAUAUAGGUGCAUUAAGAUAAACAAGAUGAUAUGGUGAUAUCCCUACAAUAAACAAUGUUCCAACAAGGACGAUCUCCAAUCUUCACCUGCAACUUGCAACGCUAUAAGAGGGGCUGAGCAAAGCGGUAACAUAGCCAAAGAACGGUUUGCUAGGACAUGGUGGGUUAGAGGUUUGACAUGGCAAUUUGGGAAGCAUGAUAAGGAAGUGGUGGGUAUCGUAGCAUAGGCAUAGCCAAAGAGCGAGCAUCUAGCAAGCAAAGAUAGAAGUGAUUUCGAGGGUAUGGUCAUCUUGCCUGCAAAGUUCUCAGGGUUGACUUGAUCCUCGUAAGCGAACUCAACGGGCUCCUCGUUCACGAACUCGUCUCCCGGCUCUACCCAAACAAUAACAACAAGCAAACGGAACACAAUCAACCAUGUGCAAUGCUCAAGCAACAUGAUGCAAACAUGGUAUGAUAUGCGGGAUGCGGUAUGUGAUGCAUAGGCAUGAUUUGCAAAGGAAUGAUUGAACCUGAUCUCAACAUGGAAAUCCAAGAGUGCCACUGGAAAGGUGAGUUUAUUUCGGUUGAAAUCGAUAUAAAGAUCACCGGAGUCGGAUGCACGGUUUGGAAAUGGCAAGCAAAACAAAUAUGGCACCGGCCUGCGAUAAUCAGCAAGUAACCAACUAAAUGCAUCAAGAUAUAUAUGCUACACCACUCAAACCUGGCAACAAAAUACAUGUCAGGGAUCCACUCAUGAUGCUUGACAAAAGAUGAAAACUGAUCUACGGAUAAUUCAUCCAUUAACAGAUUCAAACAAGCAUGUCAAAAGAGCAAAUCAUAACAGGUUUCAUACUUCGUGAAAUUAACACAAGCCUGGAAUUUAUCAUGAGGAAGCAAUCUAUGGAGCAUGAAAACUACAUGCUAAAGGCACUUAACAUGGCAAAUCAAGGCAUGGCAUAAAGCUAAUCAAAUCACUUAACAAAAGUCCCUUAGUGACCUUGAGUCAAAAGGGAUCAGAAAAUACCAUUGCAAGCAUGUGAACAUGGCAAAAACAUAAACAGAUUCAGACUUAGUGAAAGACUGGAGCAUGCAAAACAGAUUAGCAAGUAGGCAUGUUUACGAGCUCGAUGCACUCACUACAGAGCAUGGCAUGACAAACUAAGCAUACACCCAUGAAGAAUACAUGACAUAGAAGCUAGACAUGGCAAGAACAACAACAUAGCAUGCACGAAUCAAUAGUAACAUCCUCGGCAAAAUCGCUAAACAUGUCAACAAUCUGCCAGGAUUAUUUUAUAGCAAAAGUAGAGCUCGAUUGACUCAAUCUAGGGUGCUCCAUAAAUGCAAACAAAGACAUGGAUGGAUAGAGAACCACAAUGUUAAGAAAACAUCCUUACUGAUCAUCCUCAAAAGAGGCACAGAUCACUAGGAAACAACAUGAACAUAUGGCAUAACAACAAAAUCAGGACAAGGACUUAGUGAAAUUCUAAGUCCCUGAAAUCAGCAUUACCGAUUACGCUACUUUGCAAGCUUGUGCUAGUCACCACGAAUAUCACAAAAAUACAUGGCAAGCACCUCUGUAAACAUGACAUGACAUAUAACAAAACACAUGUAGAGCUCAGGAUCAUAGCAUGCACACAUUAAUCAUGGCAAAAAUGACAAAAGCCUAUUUGCUGAAACAGAUCUGACAAAUUCAUCACAUAGCCCUCUUCCAACAGCAUUUUGGGCAUCAAGAUGAGCUCAAAUGAAAAUGAUUCAAUGAGAUGAAAUGAUGUACUCGUCGAGGCAAACAUUUUGAUAUGCUACAUGCACAAAUCGGAGCUACAGAUGCAGAGUUAUGGCAUGCGGAAAAAUGCAAAUUAGAUAGGGUUUGGAGGGGAAAAAGUCAACCGUGAAGUUCUCAGAUCCUGAUCCAGCACGCGGUUCGAGGCACGCCGGAGACCUAUUCGCCGGAGCUAUCGCGGAGCUCGCCGGAGGAAGGACCCGAGGGAAGGAGAGGUCGCCGAGGUCUCGCCGGAGUGUGGCGGCGACGCUGGUGACGGCGCUGGUCGGCGGAGGUCUCGGGCGGCGCGGGCAAGGCCGGUGCGGCGGUCGGAGCUGCGGCUGCGGCGGGGCAGCGCGACGGCCGGUGGGGAGGAAGAAAAGCAUCGGCACGGCGGAGCAUCGCCGACGGCAAGGCGGCGCGGGCGAUUGGGCGGCGGGAAGGCGCCCUGGCGGCGCGGCAGAGGAUGGGCCUCGGGGGCCCGGAGUGGGCUUCCCGGGCCGGCGGCGGAGGGAGUGGCGGCGUGCCACUUGGUGCAACACGAUUGGCGCGGAGGCAGCGGCGGACGCUGUCCGGCGCGGAGACGAACACGUCUGGCGGCGGCGCGAGCGGAUCUAGGGUUUAGGGGGUGUUUUGACCCAGAAUUUUUGGAGGAGGGGCUAUAUAUAGGCGUAGAGGGAGCUAGGGAGCUCCAAAUGAGGUGCGGUUUGCGGCCACGCAAUCGUGAUGGAACGCUCUAGACGAUAGGAGAGGUUUAGGUGGGUUUUGGGCCACUUUGAAAGGGUGUUGGGAUUCAACACACACGAGGCCUUUUCGGUCCCUCGGUUAAACGUUGGAUUAUUAAACGAAGUCCAAAUGGCACGAAACUUGACAGACGGUCUACCGGUAGUAAACCAAGGCCACAUGACAAGACUCGGUCCAAUCCGGAAAUGUUUUACACCCACACACAAAAAGAGGUAGAAAGGACCACCGGAGGACAUAGGAGCGUCGGAAUGCAAAAUGGACAACGGGGAAAAAGCUCGGAUGCAUGAGACGAACACGUAUGCAAAUGCAAUGCACAUGAUGACAUGAUAUGAGAUGCAUGACAAAGACAACAACACACGGAGACAAAAACCCGACAACAAUGAAAUAAAAUAACUUAGUGCCGGAAAUGGCAAGAGUUGGGAUACAGAUAAGGUAAAUUACAUCUAGGGUGUUACAACACUCCACCACUACGAAAGGAUCUUGUCCUGAGAUCUAGGACUGCAAAAACUCCGGGUACUCGGAAUGGAGGUCAUCCUCGCGUUCCCAUGUGGUUUCAAGGUCGGAAUGGUGUGACCACUUGAUUUUGAGGAAUUUGAUUGACUUGUUGCGAGUCUUGCACUUAGUUUCUUCAAGGAUAGCAACGGGGUGCUCACAAUAAGAAAGGUCUUCUUGGAGAUCAAUGUCUUCGAAGUUGACGGUGCGUUCAGGGGUCUUUAAGCACUUGCGGAGCUGAGAGACAUGAAACACGUCGUGCACGUUUGCAAAGUUGGAGGGAAGCUCAAGUUGAUAGGCGAGAUCGCCUCUCUUGCUGACGAUCUUCAAAGGACCCACGUAUCUAGGGGCAAGCUUCCCUUUGAUACCGAAGCGACGAGUACCUUUCAUUGGAGAGACACGGAGGUAAACAUGAUCUCCGAUCUCGAAAGCCAAAUCACGAUGCUUACUAUGAUAGUAGCUCUUCUGACGCGAUUGCGCUGCUUUGAGGUUAUCACGAAUGACUUUGCACAUCUCUUCUACCUCUGUGAUCAAGUCAUUGCCAAGAAGUUGACGCUCACCAGUCUCUUACCAGUUAAGAGGAGUACGACACUUCCUGUGAUAGAGAAUUUCAAAUGGGGCCUUGCCCGAACUCGCUUGAAAGCUGUUGUUGUAGGAGAACUCGGCAUAUGGAAGACAAUCUUCCCACUUCAUACCGAAAGAGAUAACGCAAGCCCUGAGCAUAUCUUCGAGAAUCUGAUUGACAUGCUCGACUUGGCCGCUAGUUUGGGGAUGAAAAGUUGUGCUGAAACGGAUGUUGGUGCCCAUGGCCUUCUGAAAAGAAUCCCAAAACUUCGAGGUGAAGAUGCUCCCACGAUCUGAAGAAAUCAACUACGGAAUGCCGUGCAGAGAGACAAUUCGAUAGGUAUAAAGCUCCGCCAAUUGAGCUGCUGUGAUAGACUCUUUGAUAGGAAGGAAAUGAUCCACUUUAGUGAGUUUGUCGAUGACAACGAAGAUAGCAUCAUUGCCACACUUGGACUUUGGAAAUCCAGUCACGAAGUCCAUCCCAAUGCGGUCAAACUUCCAUUCUGGAAUGGCAAGAGGUUGGAGCAGACUAGCUGGUCGUUGGUGUUCUACCUUCACUCUUCUGCAGACAUCACAUUUAUUCACGAACUGAGCAAUCUCGCGCUUCAUUCGAGUCCACCAAUACGCCUGCUUGAGGUCAUGGUACAUCUUUGUGCUCCCAGGGUGGAUGGAGAGGAGUGAAUUGUGAGCCUCAUUCAUAAUUACUUUACGAAGGUCACCUUUAGGCACGACAAUGCGAUCCUCGAAGAAUAGAGUAUCUUUGUCAUCAAGAUGAUAGCACUUGUACUUGGGUUGACUCUUGGCAAUCCCAAUCUUCACCUUCUUCACCAUAGCAUCAAGAAGUUGAGCCUCGCGAAUCUGAUCUUUCAAAGUAGGAGAGACUUGAAGGUUUGCGAGAAAUCCUUGAGGAACAACUUGCAGAUUGAGUUUGCGGAAAGCUUCACAAAGCUCAGGUUGGUAAGGUUUGAGAAACAAACUGUUGCAGUAAGCCUUCCUGCUCAAUGCGUCAGCAAUUACAUUGGCCUUGCCUGGAGUAUAUUCGAUACUCGGAUUAUACUCUUGAAUCAUUUUGACCAAACGAGUCUGCCUGAGGUUGAGAUUAGGCUGAGUGAAGAUGUACUUGAGACUCUUGUGGUCAGUGAAGAUAUCCACUUUUCUUCCCAAUAAGAGAUGUCUCCAAGUCAAAAGAGCAUGCACAACUGCCGCCAACUCGAGGUCAUGAAUGGGGUAGUUCUUUUCAUUGGGCUUCAACUGGCGAGAAGUAUAAGCCACAACUUUCUUCUCUUGCAUCAACACUGCACCAAGACCUUGAAGAGAGGCAUCACAAAAUAUCUCAAACGGUUUGGAUUCAUUAGGAGGAGUCAGAACUGGAGCAGUGACUAAUUUCUCUUUCAGGGUGUUGAAAGCGAUGUCACAUUCAGGAGACCAAACAUACUUCACGUGCUUCUGGAGAAGGUUGGAAAGAGGCUUCACGAUCUUUGAGAAGUUCUCAACGAACCUUAGACAAUAGCUUGCGAGACCAAGGAAGCUGCGGAGUUGCUUCAUGUUCUGAGGUGGUUCCCAAUUCACAAUGGCAGACACCUUCUCAAGAUUCACCGCUAUGCCCUUGGCAGAGAUGAUAUGUCCAAGAUAGAGAACCUCAUCUAGCCAAAACUCGCACUUUGAAAACUUGGCAUAGAACUUAUGUUCUCUAAGCUUAUCGAGCACCAAAAGCAAGUGCUUGGCAUGAUCUUCCUUGUUCUUGGAAAAGACCAAAAUGUCAUCGAGGUAGACCAAGACGAAGUCAUUUGUGUAGGGGUUGAAGAUGAAGUUCAUCAUGCGAGAGAAUGUCGAGGAGCGUUGCCGAGGCCAAAAGACAUGACAAUGUAUUCAUAUGAACCAUAACUUGUUCUGAAUGCCCUCUUGGGGAUAUCUUGCUCACGAAUUCGAAUCUGGUGAUAGCCCAUACGGAGAUCAAGCUUAGAUAAUACUUGAGCACCUUUGAGUUGUUCAAACAGCUCAUUGAUGUUGGGAAGCGGGUACUUGUUCUUUAUGGUCUUCUUGUUCAAUGGACGGUAGUCAACACAGAGUCGGUCCGUUCCAUCCUUCUUCUUCACAAAAAGAACUCCACAACCCCACGGAGAAGAACUAGGUCGGAUGAGACCCAUUCGCUCUUGUUCAUCGAGUUGCUUCUUCAGCUCCUUCAAAUCUUUAGGUCCCAACUUGUAAGGACAUUUGCAAAUAGGUUCCGUACCAGGCUCAAGAUCAAUGACAAAUUCAACUGGUCGGUGCGGAGGCAUUCCUGGAAGCUCUUCUGGAAAGACAUCUUGAUAUUCACAAACGACCGGAAUUUGAGAGAUGGCAUCCAGCUCACCCAUCUCAUUGAGAGAAAACAGACGGAUGGUAUCAUCACGAGCGGCAAAUACAAUUACAUCCUCAGACGAAUGAGUUAAUUGAAUCUUCCUGGCAGCAUAAUCAAGCUGAGCCUUGUGCUUAGAAAGCAAGUCCAUUCCAAGAAUAAGAUCAAUAUCCGAGUUACCAAGGACCACUGGAAAGGAUAGAAACUUAUAGUCGCCCAACGUGAUAGUAACAUCCGGGGCCAUAGCGCUUGCAUUCAUGAAUUUACCCGGAGAAACAACUGACAACUGCCUAGGCAAUUCUUGUAAAGGCAACUCAUGCUUAGAAACAAAUGGUCUCGAGAUGAAACAAUGCGAUGCACCAGUGUCAAAAAGAACUUUUGCAGGAAUAUCAUUAAAGGAAGGUUACCCAUGAUGACAUCUGACGAGUCCUCUGCCUGAGCUGCAUUCAUCAAGUUGACCUUAGCAUACUUGGGGUUAUGCUUGACCAUAGCGGUACUUGCAGAUCUCACAGGAGGAGGAGGAAGACGCCUCUGAUUGAAGCAUUUGUUGGCAUAGUGACCCUUUUUUGGCACUUGUUGCAUGUGACCUCUGAAAGCGGACAGUGAUACGGAGCACUUGAUCUUGGAUCUUGAGACGAAGUCUUGUUCUGAAAGCCUGGGUUGGGUGGGAAGAUCCAUUGCCACCUUUGCUCUUCUGCUGAUAAGGCUGACGGAACGGAGGAGGAGGUAGCCAAUACUUUUGCUGCUUAGCCACUUGAGUUGAGGAAGAAGGAGUUGCAUCUCUGACUCGCUUCUUGGAAGCAUCGCACUUGAGUUGAGCAGUCUCUUGCUUCAUUGCCAUGUUGUAUAACUCAUAGUACUUCUUGGGCUCAAAGACGACGAGAGCUAGUUGGAGUUCUUCUCUGAGACCACCCCUGAACUGGUAUAUCAUGCUCUUCUCGGCAGGGACGUCCUGCUUAGCAAAACGGGCGAGCUUCUAAAACAUGAUGUUGUACUGGUAAACAGACAUAGUGCCUUGCUUCAGGUUGUGGAAUUCGUCAUGUUUGCUCUCAGCCACACUCUGAGGAAUAUGAUGAGCUUUGAAGUCUUGAAGGAAUUCAUCCCAGGUAAUCACACGGCCUCCUCUGAAAUCUUUGUACUACCGAAACCAUUCUACAACUUAGUCUUUGAGUUGGAAGGAGGCGAACUUGACAAAGUCCUCAGGCCUAACGUUACUGCACUUGAAAUGCUUGCAUAUGUCCACGAGCCAAUCAUCAGCGUCUAUUGCCUCAACACAAUUGCUGAAGGUCUUUGGCUGAUUAGCGAGGAACUGGUUGAGUGGAGCAAACUGAUUCUGAUUGUUGCCAUGGCCCUGGUUCCCUUGGUUGCGCUCUUGAAGAAGUUGCAUGAUCAGUUGCGUGUUUGCAUUGGUAGCGGCCAUCACAGCUUGCCAUGCUUCCGGAGGUGGAGGUGGUGGUGGCGGAUCAGGAUUCGUAGUCGUGCGCGUUGGAGGAGCCAUCCUGAAUAGGGUGACAUCCAUUAGCAUCUUGACAGACAAAUAUUGAAGCUGAAUCACAUGGGUUGAAAUUGCAACAUAAAGUCUUCACAUCCGAACAAAAUGAACGAAUGCAUUCCAAUCGAAAUGGUCACAUUUCCAUAAAUUGAGAAGCCACUUAGAAUUGAGGUAGAAGAAUAAAAUCAACAAGGUACGGACAAGAAUGAAUACUAGGUGAGGAUUACCCAAUCCCAAUCCAAAUAUCUGCAGAAGAAGAACUGGAGCUACAAGAAUUCCCACCUAUGAAACUCCCGAACCUUUCCGGUUAUGCAAUCAGGUGUUGGGGAUACAGCUGUAUCCAUCCUUCAACACAUAACCGAGAAACCUUCGGAAAUCAUUUACCUCAACCUUCGAAAAGCAUCCAUUAUACAAGUUAUGGCAAUACUCCCGAACUCCCGCCCUAGUACUAGGUGGCAUCAAGGUUAUCUCACCAACAACUGCAUAAAAGAGAUUUUCGAUGUCGGCGAAACUCAGGUAUUCCAGAAUCUCAACGAUAAAAUUGUGACGACAACACCUCGGAGCUCAACUCCUUGGGACACUGCCACAACCCCUAAAUGACAGGAGGCACCAAGAACAAUGUUCUCGUCACAAAACCAUCGGAACGAUUCCAAGAUACCCGCGUGAUCCUAAUUUUUUUUUGUGAAAUUUGAGAAGAGAAGAGUCAAAAAUCUACGCCAGGAUGCCUUACCAGAGCGAUGAAGGGACUGGGGAGUAAAAAGAAUUCCUAACUCUCCGAUAUAUAUAAUCCUAAAUGACUCAAAACAUUUUUCUAGACUCAAGAAUGCCAGCGAUUCGAUCAAGCAGGGGGCUCCUAAGGUCAGGGAAGGCUCUGAUUACCAACUUGUAACGCCGUCGAUGCGGCUAUAUCUCCUACAUGUCGAAGCACGACUUAGAUGCAUAACCGCAUUGAAAGCAAUGUCACAAGUGAGGUAAACUUCGCAAACAACCCAUGUAAUGUAAAUAAAAGGGGAAAAGAUACAUAGCUGGCUUACACUCGCCACAUCACACAAAUACAUAAAUAGCAUUACAUUCAUCCAAUACACUCAUGGUCCAACUAUGGUACCAAAAUAAAGAUCAACCCUCAAAUGCGACAAAGUCCCCGAUCGCCCCAACUGGGCACCACUACUGAUCAUCUGGGAAAGACACAUAGUAACGGCGAGAAUCUUCAUCGAACUCCCAGUUGAGCUCAAGCGCAUCAUCUGGAGCGGUAUCAUCGGUCCCUGCAUCUGGUUUUGGAAGUAAAUUGUAAGUCACGGGGACUCAUCAAUCUCACACCCUCGCAAUCAAGACUAUUUAAGCUUUUAGGUAAGACAAGGUAUGAUGUGGAGUUGCAGCAAGUGACUAACAUAUAUGGUGGCUAACAUACGCAAAUGAGAGCGAGAAGAGAAGGAAAAAGCACGGUCAAACAACUAUGAUCAAGAAGUGAUCCUAGAACAACCUACGUCAAGCAUUACUCCAACACCGUGUUCACUUCCGGACUCCGCCAAGAAGAGACCAUCACGGUUACACACGCGGUUGGUACAUUUUAAUUAAAUUAAGUUUCAUGUUAUCUACAACCGGACAUUAACAAAUUCCCAUCUGCCCAUAACCGCGGGCACGGCUUUCAAAAGUUCAAAUCCCUGCAGGGGAGUCCCAAUUUAGCCCAUCACAAGCUCUCACGAUCAACGAAGGAUAUUCCUUCUCCCAAGACAAUCCGAUCAGACUCGGCAUCCCGGUUACAAGACAUCCUCGACAAUGGUAAAACAAUUCCAGCAACACCGCCCGAAUGUGCCGACAAAUCCCGAUAGGAGCUGCACAUAUCUCGUUCUCAGGGCACACUCAGAUGAGCCAGACGUCGGGUAGGGCAGCCCAGAGUUGCCCCUGGUAGCCCCGGACAUCGCUUAGUUGGACCAACACUUAGAGAAGCACUAGCCCGUGGGGGGGGGGGUUAAAAUAAAGAUGACCCUUGAGUCCACUAAACCCAAGGGAAAAAGGCUAGGUGGCGAAUGGUAAAACCAAUUGUCGGUGUCAAAACUAGCGGAUCUCAGGUAGGGGGUCCUGAACUGUGCGUCUAGGCAGAUGGUAACAGGAGGCAGGGGACACGAUGUUUUACCCAGGUUCAAGCCCUCUUGAUGGAGGUAAAACCCUACGUCCUGCUUGAUUAAUAUUGAUGAUAUGGGUAGUACAAGAGUAGAUCUACCACGAGAUCAGAGAGGCUAAACCCUAGAAGCUAGCCUAUGGUAUGAUUGUUGUCUGUCCUACGGACUAAAACUCUCUGGUUUAUAUAGACAGCGGAGAGGGCUAGGGGUUACACAGAGUCGGUUACAAUGGUAGGAGAUCUACAUAUCCGUAUCGCCAAGCUUGCCUUCCACGCCAAGGAAAGUCCCUUCCGAACACGGGAUGAAGUAUUCAAUCUUGUAUCUUCAUACUCCAGGAGUCCGGCCGAAGGUAUAGUCCGACUAUCCGGACACCCCCUAAUCCAGGACUCCCUCAGUAGCCCCUGAACCAGGCUUCAAUGACAACGAGUCCGGCACACAGAUUGUCUUCGGCAUUGCAAGGCGGGUUCCUCCUCCAAGUACUUCAUAGAAGAUUUUGAACACAAAGGUAGUGUCCGGCUCUUCAAAAUAAGUUUCUGCAUAUUGCCAUAGAGAGAAUAAUAUUUACAAAAAUCUAAUUUGCUGAUGCAUUCCGUAGCGUGACAUCACACCACGGCCAAGUAUUUAUUCGAAUAACUUUACUGUUCCACCUCAGCGUGUUUAGCGAGGCGAUUCCCUUGGCACGUCUUGUCAAAGCAGAGAUCGUCUCCCCUUAUUCCGGGAUUCUCAUCAAUACGGGUGUGGGUAACCCAACCGCGCCAUUGAUUACGACACUUGGGAGAUAAGCGGUUUUUACCAGGCUGGUGGGGGCGCAUUGUAACACCCUGGAUAUGGCUUUCCCAAUUUGUACUCCAACUCUUGCCGUUUCCGGCGUUAAGUUAUUUUAUUUUCUCGGGUUCGGGUUUUUGUCUCCGUGUGUUGUUAUCGUUGUCAUGCAUCUCAUAUCAUGUCAUCAUGUGCAUUGCAUUUGCAUACAUGUUCGUCUCAUGCAUUCGAGCUUUUUCCCCGUUGUCCGUUUUGCAUUCCAACGUUUGUUCUCCUCCGGUGGUCAUUUCUACCUUUCUUUCGUGUGUGGGGAUUAAACAUUUCCGGACUGGAUCGAGACUUGCCAAGCGGCCUUGGUUUACUACUGGUAGACCACCUGUCAAGUUCCGUAUCAUUUGGACUUUGUUUCAUACUCCAACGGUUAACCGAAGGACCGAAAAGGCCUCGUGUGUGUUGCAGCCCAACACCCCUCCAAGUUGGCCCAAAAACCCACCAAAACCCUCUCCAUCAUCUAGAGCGUUCGAUCACGAUCGCGUGGCCGAAAACCUCACCUCCCGAAAUUCUUGGAUCUCCUCCUUCCCCAAACCCUAAAAAAAUCAUCUCCGCCAUUGGACACGUCCAGUUCCCUCCGGACUAACCGACGCUGCCAACCGGGGCGAGCCACGUGGCGCGGGCGCCCCACAUCGCCGCCAACUCCGUGCGGGGCCCAGGGCUUCGUCUCCCUCGCCCCGCCGCCUGGUACACCGCCGCCACCGCGCCUUCGCCGCUCGGCCUCGCGGCCGGGGAGCUCCACCGCGGGGCUCCUCUCCACAUCUGCCACCUCGUCGGCCACUUUGCACCCGGCCGCCGCCGACCCCGCCGACCUCGUCGCCGGCGCCUCCCCGGCCGGUCCCUCCUCCUCUCAAGGACCCUCUCCGGCAAGGCCCUUCUCUGGCGAGCUCGAGCGAACUCCGGCCGAUGAACCUCGAACCGCAUGCCCGGAUCUGGAUCUGGAUCCCGACGGUUGACUUUUUGCCUGAAACCCUAGCUCAUAUGCUCCUGUUCAUCGCAUUUUAACUUUGCAUCCGUAACUCCGUUUUGGGCAUAUAGCAUAUCAAAAUGUUCAUCUCAGAAAGUACAUCAUUUCAUUCCAUUGCAUCAUUUUCAUUUGAGUUCAUCUUGAUGCCUAAAAUGCUGUUAGAAGAGGGCUACCUGAGUUAAUUGUCAGAUCUACUACUCCAUUUAGAUAUUUGUCAUUUUUGCCAUGAUUAUUGUGUGCAUGAUAUGCCCAUGAGCUCUACAUAUGUUUUGUUAAGGGUUUUGCCAUCUUUCUAGAGGUGCAACCCAUGUAUUUUUCUGAUGUGUGUGGUGACUAGCACAAGCUUGCAAAGUGAGGCACUUGGUAAUGCUGAUUUCAGGGACUUAGCAUUUCCACUAAGUCCUUGAGCUGUUUAUCUCAUAUGGCCAUAUGUUCAUGUUGUUUGCUAGUGAUCCGUGCCUCUUUUGAGGAUGACCAGUAAGGAUGUUUUGUUAAUCUUGUAGUGCUCUAUCCAUCCAUGCCUUUGUUUGCAAUUAUGGAGCACCUAGCUUGAGUCAAUCGAGCUCUACUUUUGCUACUUCGUGAAUCCGGACAGAUUGUCUACUUGUUAGCAAUUUUGCCGAUGAUGUUGUAGUUGAUCCAUGCAUGCUAUGUUAUUGUUCUUGCCAUGUCUAGCUUGAAUUUUUUUAUUAUUGAUGGGUGUAUGCUUAUUUUAUCAUGACUUGCUCCGUAGUGAGUGCAUCGAGCUCGUAAACAUGCCUACUUGAUAUUUGUUUUCAGCAUGUUCCAGUUUUCACUAAGUCUGAGAACUGUUUAUGUUUUUGCCAUGUUCACAUGCUUGCAAUUGUAUUUUCUGAUCCCUUUUGGCUCAAGGUCACUAAGGGACUUUUGUUAAGCUCUUUGAGUAGCUCCAUGCCAUGCUUUACUUUGCCAUGUUCAGGUCCUGUAGCAUAUAGUUUUCAUGCUCCGAAGUGUGCUAUCUGAUCUGAAAUUCCAGACAAGUGUUAAUUUCACUAAGUCUGAAAUCUGUUUGCCAUAUGCAUUUUUGCCAUGCUUGUUUGAACCUGUUAAUGGAUGAAUUGGCCGUAGCUCAGUGCCAGACUUUUUCUAAGCAUCAUGAAUGCAUCCCUGCCAUGUAUUUUGUUGUCAUGUUUGGGUGCUGUAGCAUGUUCAUCUCAUUGCAUUUAGAUGGCUACUUGCUGUAAAUCGCAGACCGGUGUCAUAUUUGAAUCGCUUGCCAUUUCCAAACCGUAACUCCGAUUCCGACGUUCUUUAUAUCAGUUUCAAGCGAUUUCACCUCACCUUUCCAGUGGCACACUUGGAUUUCCAUGUUGAGGCCAGGUUCAUGCAUCCCUUGUCAAAUCUUGUAUAAGCAUCCCGCAUCGCAUCCCGCAUAACAUACCAUCCUUGCAUCAUAUUGUUUGAGCUUUGCACGUGGUUAAUUGUGUCCUUGUUGCUUGGUUGUCUUAUUUGGGUAGAGCUGGGAUACGAGUUCGCUAACGAGGAGCCCGUUGAGUUUGCUUUCGAGGAUCCAGUCAACUCUGACCACUUUGCAGGCAAGAUAAUCAUACCCUCGAAAUCACUACUAUCUUUGCUAUGCUAGAUUGCUCGCUCUUUUGCUAUGCCAAUGCUACGAUGCCUACCACUUGCUUUCAAGCCUCCCAAAUUGCCAUGUCAGACCUCUAACCCUCCAUGUCCUAGCAAACCAUUGAUUGGCUAUGUUACCGCUUUGCUCAGCCCCUCUUAUAGCGUUGCUAGUUGCAGGUGAAGAUUGAAGGUUGUUCCUUGUUGGAACAUUUAUUUACUUGUUGGGAUAUCAUUAUAUUAUCUUGUUAUUGUAAUGCAUCUAUAUACUUCGUAAAGGGUGGAAUGCUCGGCCUCUCGCCUAGUGUUUUCUUCCACUCUUGCUGCCCUAGUUUCCGUCAUAUCGGUGUUAUGUUCCCGGAUUUUGCGUUCCUUACGCGGUUGGGUUAUAAUGGGAACCCCUUGAUAGUUCGCCUUGAUUAAAGCUUUUCCAGCAAUGCCCAACCUUGGUUUUACCAUUUGCCACCUAGCCUCUUUCCCUUGGGUUUCCGGAGCCCGAGGGUCAUCUUAUUUUAGCCCCCCCGGGCCAGUGCUCCUCUGAGUGUUGGUCCAACCGAGCGAUGUCUGGGGCUACCAGGGGCAACUCUGGGCUGGCCUACCCGACGUCCUGCUCAUCCGGUGUGCCCUGAGAACGAGAUACGUGCAGCUCCUAUCGGGAUUUGUCAGCACAUCUGGGUGGUGUUGCUGGUCUUGUUUUAACCUGUCGAAGUGUCUUGAAGAACCGAGAUACCGAGUCUGAUCGGAACAUCUCGGGAGGAGGUCUAUUCCUUCGUUGACCGUGAGAGCUUGUCAUGGGCUAAGUUGGGACUCCCCUGCAGGGAUUUGAACUUUCGAAAGCCGUGCCCGCGGUUAUGGGCAGAUGGGAAUUUGUAAUGUCCGGUUGUAGAUAACUUGAGCCUUAACUUAAUUAAAAUGAAUCAACAGUGUGAGUUACCAUGAUGGCCUCUUCUCGGCGGAGUCCGGGAAGUGGACACGGUGUUGGAGUAAUGUUUGCGCAGGUUGUUCUCUAGUUUCUCGCUCGCGCUUUGCCUCCUCUUCUCGCUCUCUUUUGCAAACAGGAUAGCCACCAGAUAUGCUAGUCGCUUGCUGCAGCUCCACAUAUAUUUACCUUGCCUUACCUAUAAGCUUAAAUAGUCUUGAUCGCGAGGGUGCGAGAUUGCUGAGUCCCUGUGGCUCACAGAUUACUAUUACACCAGAUGCAGGGCCUGAUGAUUCCGCUCCAGGUGACACGCUCGAGCUCAAGUGGGAGUUCGACGAAGACUCUCAACGAUACUAUGUUUCCUUUCCUGAUGAUCAGUAGUGGUGCCCAGUUGGGGGUGAUCGGGACCGUGUCGCAUGUUGGGUUAUCUUUUAUUUUGGCGCCGUAGUCGGGCCAUGAGUGUUUGGAUGAUGUAAUGUUAUUUAUGUACUUGAUUGACGUGGCGAGUGUAAGCCAACUAUGCUAUCUCCCCUUUUUGUUAUCUAUAUUACAUGGGAUGUUGUGAAGAUUGUCUAACUUGCGACAUGUGCCUUCAAUGCGAUUAUGCCUCUAAGUCGUGCCUCGACACAUGGGAGAUAUAGUCGCAUCAAGGGUGUUACAUGCAUAGUCGCGUCCACCCAUAUAAGGGGAUAAGGAUCCACCUUUUUGGCCACGCCUUCUUCCUCCUUUGCCUAUCCAUUUCCGUGCACUCGAGCUCUAGCGCCCAAGUCCGCAAACCCCACCUCAACCUUCUCCAGCCAUGUCUGGAGCGGGAGGCAAGUGGAUGGUCUCCUCCGUCAUGGAGGGACACAUCAAAAGACUGAGGAAGGCCGGAUACUUGUCUAACGACGUUGCGCACCGGCUUCCCGAAGAGGGGCAGCUCAUCCCCACCCCUAGGCCCCAUGAGAGGGUGGUGUUCCUCCCCCAUUUCCUCUGCGGACUGGGCUUCCCUCUCCACCCAUUUGUCCGGGGGAUCAUGUUUUACUAUGGCCUGGAUUUCCACGAUCUGGCCCGAACUUUGUCCUCAACAUCUCGGCGUUUAUCAUCGUGUGCGAGGCUUUCUUCCGCAUCCGCCCCCAUUUCGGCCUAUGGCUCAAGACUUUCAAUGUCAAGCCGAAGGUGGUGCGCGGCACCCAGGCGGAGUGCGGAGGCGCCAUGAUGGGAAAGAUGCCCAAUGUCCUAUGGCUCGAGGGCUCCUUCGUGGAGUCCCUAAAGGGGUGGCAGUCGGGGUGGUUUUACAUCACCAAGCCGCGCGACCCUGAAUGGGUCGUAGCCCCCGAGUUCUGAUCCGGACCCCCUACGUGGCUCGCCUCCUGGAAAGAGACGGGCAUGCCGUGGGGUAAAAAAGGAGAGCUGACCGGACUCCAGACAUGCGUCCAAACCCUGGUGGACAAGAAGCUCAAUCUUGUCAACGUAGUCCAGGUUAUGCUCAUCUGCCAGAUCCUCCCGUGUCAACAAUGGGCUUUCAACCUAUGGGAGUUCGACCCGGCGCGGCACCGAACUCUUAGCAGGCUCUUCGACAUGACAUACAAAGAUGCCUGGAAGGUGCUUUUCAAGUGCGCCGAGGCCCCCGUAUCCGCUACCGAGGAUCGCGGAUUCAGCAUGCAGCGUCACGCUCAUGCGGUAAGCUAGUUUUACCUUCUACAGGGUAUUAGUUUUUCAUAGUUUGACUCCAUGCGGGAUCUAAGCUCCCUUACCUUUGAAAGGAUUGGCAGGAGACAUCCGGACAGAUCAAUUGUCCGGCUCCUUUGACCGAAGGCCCAGCGGACGCUCGCUUGGCGAAGCUGCUGGUUCCGGCACCCUAUGUGGUGCCGGAGAAGAAGGCCAAGAAGAAGGCCACGGGGACUCGAAAGAGUGCCCGGUGCCAGGAGGUGUCAGAUCCAUCAUCCGACGACUCCAAGGCGCACUCCUCUCGUGAAGACGAGGAGGUGGAAAAAGAGACCUCUCCCCCUCCAGUGGGGGGAGGGAAAAAAAGGAAGGCCGCCCCAACUGGGGAGGCCGAAGGGUCCAAGAAGGGGAAUACCCCUCCUCCGGACUACUCCACCAAUGCCGACGAUGGGGAAGAGGAAUGGCCGCACAGGGCCAGGCCCCUGGCGAGAUCAUAAGUAUUCAGACACUAGAGAAAUUCAUUGUGUUCCUUUCUUGCACAACUCCUCCUUACGCCGAAUAUGACUAUGCAGUCCGCCCAAGGCCGGGCUCGACGAGUCGUCGAGCGGCUCCCUGGAUUCGUCGGAUGUUAAUUCGCUUCUGACGGCUUCCUCCCCCCACCCUACCCCCCACCCUACGGACAGCGCUAAGGUGGCAUCCCAACAGGUUCCAAGCCAGGACGAGGUGGUCCUGGAGGAUAGAACCCCCAAGGGAUCCAAGUCCGGCCUUGAGCCGGACACCGCGCCGGAACCUUCAACGGUUCUGGACUCUGGUAGGCAGCCUCUUCCAAGAGGAGCAAGCCUACCAAGCCGGUGACCUCCGUCCAACCGGAGGCACCGGACAAUUUGCUGGAGGUGCUUAACGGCACCUCCAUCGACGAGGAGCACCGCACUAUUAUGAGUGCGGUGAUCCAGAAGGUUCAUUCCGCUAAGAGCGGACUGACUGAAGCCUGUGCCAGCCUUCUAACAGGCUUUGAGGUAAGUAAAGAAUAUGUAAAAAUAUUACCACAUAGACAGUAGCCCCUGAUGCUCUGUUUGGCGUUCGGAAAUAAAAGCCGAAUAGAGGAUCUAAUAACAUUCGCAGGAGUCUAACAUAAUCAAGUCAAUAUGCGUAUGCAGGCUUCGCUGCUGGCCUCCGCCGCACUGAUUGCGGAGGUGGAUACGCUGAAGCAAAACCUCGCGCGGUCCGAGAACAAGCUCGGCCAUCCCAAGAGGCAACUGGAGGAGAAGGAAGGUAAGUAAUACCUUGCGCAAGUAUAUAGAGAAGAUGUGAUUGCAAAAAAUGACAAGAUCGAAGUGAUAUUAUAGGGGCCACGACCGAGGUGGCAAACCUUAAGCAAGCGUUGUCCGAGGCCGAAAACAGAGCGGCCGUGGAGCGCACAGAGAGAGGGAAGCAGGAGGCAUGGGUGGAGGCAGUGCAGAAAGAGCUCCAGCCUCUCGUGAAAAAACACGAGAGUUUGGAGCUUGACUCAAAGACGCAAGCGUCCAAGCUUGCGGCGGCCCUCAAAAGCGCGAAGUCUACCAAGGCCGAAGCCCAGAAAGCCCUCCAAGAAAAUGAAGCGAUGAAGAAUAUAGCGGCGGGUAAGGCAUUCAUUAUGCAAAGCAAGCACGUGAAAGUGAAUUACUUGUUACUUACCCGAGUCCAGAGCUCUCUAGGAGCAUUCGCAGAUUUGCCCCACAGUGCGUCUGAUGCCGCCGCCUACUACCGAUCCGAGGAGGGGAGCUCGACGGAGAAGGUGUUUUGGUCUCAGUAUGCUGAGGCCGGACACCUGGUGCCUUUGAGCGACCAGCUGAAGCAAAUGGUCGAGCUCCACAAGGUGGCCGAACAGGCCAUAAAGGGCCUCGUAGUUCGGCGUUGGCCUGGAGAGGCUCUGCCUGGGACCUACUUCGGGCUGGUGAGGCGGCUGGUGGAUGCGUGUCCACGGCUUGAAGUAAUCAAGUGCUCCGUCUGCAUCGAAGGUGCCCGUAGGGCGCUUGCCCGUGCUGAGGUGCACUAGGGCAAGAUGGAUGCGGAGAAGCUGGUGAAGGACGGGCCGCCGCCGGGCAGGAGCAUCACGUCCCGGAAGCGUAUUACGAGGGUGUCCUGAAGGGUGCCCGGCUUAUAGUGGAUGAAUGCUCCAAAGAUGUAAUUUUUGAGUAAACUCGCAUUUGUGAUCCUGUACGCUGAAAACUUGUUCAUAUGCGCUAAGUAAUGCUUUUGAAUUUAAAAUAUUACCUUAUGUGCGGCCGUUUAUCAAAUUUCAGAGAUGGUGAGUCGUCGGCUUCUGCCCCCAUGCCAUGAGUGCUGGGGUGUUCGGGAUAAACAUGAGCACUCUUUUUCCCAUUCUUGGGUCCUUCGAGGGAGGCGCUCAACACAAUGAACAAGGCAACCGGACUAUAAUGCUUGAACACUCUCACUUAGCGAUAGAAUUCUAUAAUUUCAAAUUUUGGCGAAUCCCCUAGUGUUCGGAAGACCGAGUUCGGGUCGCUAUCCAUGCCUAGGCCGGACAAAGCCGACUCCUCGCUCUAAGCGGCAUAAGUCUUUAGGGACUCGAAAACCUCUCGAACAGCAACCAGCUCUCGCCUCAUCGUGACGGUCAGUUUUAGCUUUCUCUACUGAGGUGCUUAGCCCAGCUCAACUGGGGCACAAUCACAAUAGUUCUCCUAGUGCUACCUUAGCCGAUAUAACGGAACGUAAGGUACCAAAACAUAGGAGCCGGGAAAACCCAACUAUUGACCCAAGACAUGAUUCGGAGCCGAUGCAUAUAAUGCUAUAAGUUUGGGGUGCCGCACUUGUGAAAGUGUUCGGACUUCUCACACCGUAUUAUGGGGUACGUAAGCCCCUGGCGUAUUGGCCGUACCAAAGUGUACGGGUGCAACAUGUCAUUAAUGAACAUAUAUUCGUAAAAAAGAGUAAUGCAAUAAUAGACGGAAGCUAUGCAUUGUUUAUUUUAAAAAAAGGGUUGCGAUCAAAGCAGAACGAUACAAAUAGUGCGAUAAGCAAAAAAUGGGACUAUUUAACGUGUCCUUUCCAUAGGUAUGUGAAAUAGGUAUACUGCUUGUUAUAGAGACCAACUUAGAGUUCCAUAGUGCGGCGUAGCUUUCUGCUUCCCUGGUUGUAUCGUUUGGGUGGCAAUUGUACUUCCAGACAAGCCUUCCGAAGAAUGGAGUCCUGAAAAUAAGAGAAAGUUAAGAAAUCGGCAGCCCCUAGUGCGGUUUAAGCCGUGAUUCGGGCAUGCAGUGAUGGUGCCCCACCCCCUGUGCCCAUGGUAUUUCCAGAGCGUAGUUAUGUACGCGCAACACUGGUUUCGCAAGUUCGCGAGGGCUGGGUUUGAGGCCGCAUUGCUACGCUUGCCCAUAACGUGCCAGGUGGUCUUGUUGUAGGUUACUCCGGGCGCGCUUGACGGUGUCCAGACGUUUAAUGGCCGGACUGGAGAAUUGCCUUGAGAGGCUGCUUUGUACUUCCGUUGCGAUAGCCGCCGUAUGCUCCUCUGUUCGGAGAGAGCGUUCGGUGUUUCCAUUGACCAUGAUGACUCCUCGAGGGCCUGGCAUCUUGAGCUUGAGGUAUGCGUAGUGCGGCACCGCAUUGAACUUAGCAAAUGCGGUUCGCCCGAGCAGUGCGUGAUAGCCACUGCGGAACGGGACUAUGUCGAAGAUUAACUCCUCGCUUCGGAAACUAUCCGGAGAUCCGAAGACCACUUCAAGUGUAACUGAGCCUGUACAGUUGGCCUCUACACCUGGUAUGACACAUUUAAAGGUCGUUUUAGUGGGUUUAAUCCUCGAGGGAUCGAUGCCCAUUUUCCGCAUUGUAUCCUGGUAAAGCAGGUUCAGGCUGCUGUCACCGUCCAUAAGGACUCUAGUGAGGUGAAAUCCGUCAAUAAUUGGGUCUAGAACCAAUGCGGCGAAUCCGCCAUGACGGAUGCUAGUGGGGUGGUCCCUUCGAUCAAAAGUGAUCGGGCAGGAAGACCAUGGGUUGAACUUUGGGGCGACUGGCUCCAUCGCGUAUACGUCCUUUAGCGCAUGCUUCCGCUUCCUCUUGGGGAUGUGGGUUGCGUAAAUCAUGUUCACCGUCCGCACUUGUGGGGGAAAACCUUUCUGUCCACUGUUGUUUGCCGGCCGGGGCUCCUCCUCGUCAUCGCUAUGCAACCCCUUGUCUCUGCUUUCGGCAUUUAACUUGCCUGCCUGCUUGAACACCCAACAAUCCCUGUUGGUGUGAUUGGCUGGUUUUUCGGGGGUGCCAUGUAUCUGGCAUGAGCGGUCGAGUAUUCGGUCCAAACUGGACGGGCCCGGAGUAUUCCUUUUAAAUGGCUUUUUCUGCUGACCGGGUUUAGAGCCUCUGAAUCCAGCAUUAACUGCUGUAUCCUCAGCAUUGUCGCCGUUAAAGCGGCGCUUUUGCUUGUUGCGACGCGACCUGCCACUGUUGUCCUUGGUAUCCGAAUUACCAGGGCUCUUGGUCAUGUUAUUGCUGCGAGCUAGCCAGUUGUCUUCUCCCACGCAAAAGCGGGUCAUAAGUGUUGUGAGGGCUGCCAUAGAUUUCGGCUUUUCCUGUGCUAGGUGCCAUGCAAGCCACUCGUCGUGGAUGUUAUGUUUGAAGGCUGCUAGGGCCUCUGUGUCCGGACAGUCGAUGAUUUGAUUUUUCUUGGUUAGCAACCGUGUCCAGAAUUGUCUGGCCGAUUCCUCUGGCUGCUGAAUUAUGUGGCUAAGGUCAUCGGCGUCUGGUGGUCGCACAUAAGUGCCCUGGAAAUUGUCGAGGAAUGCGGUUUCCAGGUCCUCCCAACAACCAAUUGAUUCUGCUAGCAAGCUGUUAAGACAAUGCCGAGCUGGUCCUUUAAGCUUGAGUGGGAGGUAUUCGAUGGCGUGUAGGUCAUCACCGCGGGCCAUGUGGAUAUGAAGGAGAUAGUCCUCGAUCCAUACCGCAGGAUCUGUUGUGCCAUCGUAUGAUUCGAUGUUCACGGGUUUGAAACCCUUGGGGAUUUGAUGAUCCAUUACUUCAUCUGUGAAGCAUAGUGGGUGUGCGGCGCCUCUGUAUUGGGCUAUAUCAAGACGCAUCUCAAACUAGCUUUGUCUACUGUGUUCGGCCCGACUGGAUUUACUGUAUCGGGCGUGACGAGUACCGUCUCGUGCCGUGGGGCGCCCACAUGAUCCGUAGAUCGAUCUUGUUUGCUUUGCCUUUUCCUCCAAUAUAUCUCACAGGUCUGGCACAUUUUCCCAUGCCUUGGUAUUUUUUGAGCGGCGUCGGGGUGCGGCUUGAGUGGAGGGACGAGAGGCCUCUUUGUCGUGGCCACGGGGUGGCCGGUCGACUGCAUCAUGCGCUGGUGAUGUAGGUUUAGGUGCUUCCUCUUCUAAUUGGGGUAGCAACCUGCGCUUUGGGUAGCUCUUGGAGGGGUGUUCGAGUUCAUACUCUUCGGCCGCAAGGACUUCAGUCCAUCUGUCGGCUAGCAAAUCUUGAUCAGCUCUAAGCUAUUGCUGUUUUUUCUUGAGGCUGCUCGCCAUGGCCAUAAGCCUGCGUUUGAAAUGCUCUUGUUCGACGGGAUCCUCCGGCACGACAAAUUCGUUGUCGUCGAGGCUUGCCUCGUCUUUGGAGGGAGGCAUAUAAUUAUCGUCCUCGACCUCUCUGUCUCCCGCUCUCUCAUGAGGGCUGGCUUCUCCAUCGUCCUGUUCUGAAUCUUACUGGAGGUGGUUGUCUUCGGCACUGUCCGGGGUGUUAUUAUCUCCCGUGCCAGAAUCACCGUUUUUGCUUUGGCGGGACUUAGAGCGGCGCCGCUGACGCCGGCGCUGAGGCUGCUUCUUGGAGGGGUCAUCCUCCGCUGUUCCAUCGCCAUUGCCUUGUUUUGGGGUGUCCACCAUGUAUAUAUCAUACGACGAGGUGGCUUUCCAGUGCCCUAUAGGCGCUGGUUCUUGAUCGUCUCCUGCAUCGGCGUCCAUACCGUCGAUGUCUUCGGAGUCGAAGUCGAGCAUGUUGGUUAAAUCAUCGACAGUGGCUACGAAGUGGGUGGUGGAUGGGCUUUGAAUUUCUUCAUCAUCCGCAUCCCAACCUUGCUAACCAUAGUCCGGCCAGGGCUUUCCUGAUAAAGAGAGAGACUUUAGUGAAUUCAGAAUAUCGCCGAAGGGCGAGUGCUGAAAGAUGUCCAGGGCGGUGAACUCCAUGAUUGGCGCCCAAUCGGGUUCGAUCGGUAGGGGCGCGGAGGGCUCGGAGUCUGGAGAGGAGUCCGGCUCCUUGGAGUCACGGGCUUCGCAGAGAAUGGGGCUGGUGUUCGGCUCCAUCUCCAUAGAGAUUGCAGCCCCCGAGGCGGUGUCCAACCACCCAUCCUCGAUUGGCGCAGUUGGCUCCGAAUUAAGGGUCGGAGCUGAUGUGGGUGCGGCCUCCAGGGCACUGUUCGGCGGCAGAGCUAGAUCAUGCCCAUCGUGACAGAGCGGCGCACUCGGCUGCGGCUCGAACCCGUCAAAGAUCAAGUCUCCACGGAGGUCGGCGGUGUAGUUCAAUCUUCCAAAUCUAACCUGAUGGCCAGGGGCGUCGCUUUCGAUCUGCUCCAGAUGACCAAGCGAAUUGGCCCGCAGUGCAAAGCCGCCGAAUACGAAGAUCUGUCCGGGGAGAAAAGUCUCACCCUGGAUCACAUCGCUGUUGAUGAUCGGAGAAGCCAUCGGGCCUAAAAGUGACGACACAGAGGAACUCUCAAUGAAAGCACCAAUGUUGGUGUCAAAACCGGCGGAUCUCGGGUAGGGGCGUCCCGAACUGUGCGUCUAGGCGGAUGGUAACAGGAGGCAGGGGACACGAUGUUUUACCCAAGUUCGGGCCCUCUUGAUGGAGAUAAAACCCUACGUCCUGCUUGCUUAAUAUUGAUGAUAUGGGUAGUACAAGAGUAGAUCUACCACAAGAUUAGAGAGGCUAAACCCUAGAAGCUAGCCUAUGGUAUGAUUGUUGUCUGUCCUAUGGACUAAAACUCUCCGGUUUAUAUAGACACCGGAGAGGGAUAGGGUUACACAGAGUCGGUUACAAUGGUAGGAGAUCUACAUAUUCGUAUCGCCAAGCUUGCCUUCCACGCCAAGGAAAGUCCCUUCCGGACACGGGACGAAGUAUUCAAUCUUGUAUCUUCAUAGUCCAGGAGUCCGGCCGAAGGUAUAGUCCGCUAUCCGGACACCCCCUAAUCUAGGACUCCCUCACCAAUGUUGGGCAUUGCUGGAAGAGUUUUAUACAAGGCGAACUGUCAAGGGGUUCCCAUUAUAACCCAACCGUGUAAGGAACGCAAAAAUCCGGGAACAUAACACUGAUAUGAUGGAAACUAGGGCGGCAAGAGUGGAACAAAACACUAGGCAUAAGGCCAAGCCUUCCACCCUUUACCAACUAUAUAGGUGCAUUAAGAGAAACAAGAUGAUAUGGUGAUAUCCCAACAAUAAACAAUGUUCCAACAAGGAACGAUCUCCAAUCUUCACCUGCAACUAGCAACGCUAUAAGAGGGGCUGAGCAAAGCGGUAACAUAACCAAACAAUGGUUUUCUAGGACAUGGUGGGUUAGAGGUUUGACAUGGCAAUUUGGGAGGCAUGAUAAGAAAGUGGUGGGUAUCAUAGCACAGGCAUAGCAAAAGAGCGAGCAUCGAGCAAGCAAAGGUAGAAGUGAUUUCGAGGGUAUGGUCAUCUUGCCUGCAAAGUUCUCCGAGUUGACUUGAUCCUCGUAAGCGAACUCAAUGGGCUCCUCAUUCACGAACUCAUCUCCCGACUCUACCAAAACAAGAACAACAAGAAAACGGAACACAAUCAACCACGUGCAAUGCUGAUGCAAUAUAAUGCAAACAUGGUAUGAUAUGCGGGAUGCGGUAUGUGAUGCAUAGGCAUGAUUUGCAAAGGAAUGAUUGAACCUAGCCUCAACAUGUAAAUCCAAGAGUGCCACUGGAAAGGUGAGUUGAUUUCGGUUGAAAUCGAUAUAAAGAUCACCUGAAUCGGAUGCACGGUUUGGAAAUGGCAAGCAAAACAAAUAUGGCACCGGCCUGCGAUAAUCAGCAAGUGAUGAACUAAAUGCAUCAAGAUAUAUAUGCUACAACACUCAAACACGGCAAAAAAAUACAUGGCAGGGAUCCACUCAUGAUGCUUGACAAAAGAUGAACACUGAGCUACGGCUAAUUCAUCCAUUAACAAAUUCAAACAAGCAUGGCAAAAGAGCAAAUGAUAACAGGUUUCAGACUAAGUGAAAUUAACACAAGCCUGGAAUUUAUCAUCAGGAAGCAAUCUUUAAAGCAUGAAAACUACAUGCUACAGGAACUUAACAUGGCCAAUAAAGGCAUGUAAUAAAGCUACUCAAAGCAAUUAAGAAAAGUCCCUUAGUGACCUUUAGUCAAAAGGGAUCGUAAAAUACCAUUGCAAGCAUGUGAACAUGGCAAAAACAUAAAUAGAUUCAGACUUGGUGAAAAACUGGAGCAUGCAAAACAGAUUAGCAAGUGGGCAUGUUUACGAGCUCGAUGCACUCACUAUAGAGCAGGGCAUGACAAACUAAGUAUACACCCAUCAAGAAUACAUGACAUAGAAGCUAGACAUGGCAAGAACAACAACAUAGCAUGCACGGAUCAAUAGCAACAUCCUCGGCAAAAUCGCUAAACAUGUCAACAAUCCGCCAGGAUUAUUUUAUAGCAAAAGUAGAGCUCGAUUGACUCAAGCUAGGGUGCUCCAUAAAUGCAAAAAAAUACAUGGAUGGAUAGAGCACCACAAUGUAAACAAAACAUCCUUACUGAUCAUCCUCAAAAGAGGCACGGAUCACUAGGAAAAAACAUGAACAUAUGGCGUAAAAACAAAAUCAGGACAAGGACUUUGUGAAAUUUAAGUCCCCGAAAUUAGCAUUACCGAUUACGCUACUUUGCAAGCUUGUGCUAGUCACCACAAAUAUCACAAAAAUACAUGGCAAGCACCUCUGUAAAGAUGACAUGGAAUAUAACAAAACACAUGUAGAGCUCAGGAUCGUACCAUGCACACAUUAAUCAUGGCAAAAAUGACAAAAGGCUAUUUGCUGAAACAGAUCUGACAAAUUCAUCACAUAGCCCUCUUCUAGCAGCAUUUCGGGCAUCAAGAUGAGCUCAAAUGAAAACUAUGCAAUGAGAUGUACUCGUCGAGGCGAACAUUUUGAUAUGCUACACGCACAAAAUCGGAGCUACGGAUGGAGAGUUAUGGCAUGCGGAAAAAUACAAAUUAGCUAGGGUUUGGAGGGGAAAAAGUCAACCGCGAAGUCCUCAGAUCCAGAUCCAGCACGCGGUUCGAGGUAUGCCGGAGACCUGUUCGCCGUAGCUGUCACGGAACUCGCCGGAGGAAGGAGCCGAGGGAAGGAGAGGUAAUCGGUGUCUCGCCGGAGUGCGGCGACGGCCGCGGCCGGCGGAGGUCUCGGGCGGCGCGGGCGAGGCCGGUGCGNNNNNNNNNNNNNNNNNNNNNNNNNNNNNNNNNNNNNNNNNNNNNNNNNNNNNNNNNNNNNNNNNNNNNNNNNNNNNNNNNNNNNNNNNNNNNNNNNNNNNNNNNNNNNNNNNNNNNNNNNNNNNNNNNNNNNNNNNNNNNNNNNNNNNNNNNNNNNNNNNNNNNNNNNNNNNNAAGAAAAGCAGUGGCGCGGCGGAGUGUCGCCGGCGGCAAGGCAGCGCGGGCGAUUGGGCGGCGGGGAGGCGUCCUACCGGCGCGGCGGCGGAUGGGCCUCGGGGGCCCGCAGUGGGCUUCCCGGGCCGGAGGCGGAGGUAGUGGCGGCGCGCCACUUGGCGCAACACGAUUGGCACGGAGGCGGCGGCGGACGCUGUCCGGCGCAGAGACGGAUAUGCCCGGCGGCGGCGCGAGUGGAUCUAGGGUUUAGGGGGUGUUUUGACCUAGAAUUUUUGGAGGAGGGGCUAUAUAUAGGCGUAGAGGGAGCUAGGGAGCUCCAAAUGAGGUGCGGUUUGCGGCCACGCGAUCGUGAUCGAACGCUCUAGAUGAUAGGAGAGGAUUAGGUGGGUUUUGGGCCACUUUGAAAGUGUGUUGGGCUGCAACACACACGAGGCCUUUUCGGUCCCUCGGUUAACCGUUGGAGUAUCAAACGAAGUCCAAAUGGCACGGAACUUGACAGGCGGUCUACCGGUAGUAAACCAAGGCCACAUGAAAAAACUCGGUCCAAUCCGGAAAUGUUUAACACCCACACACGGAAAGAGGUAGAAAGGACCACCGGAGGUCAUAGGAGCGCCGGAAUGCAAAACGGACAACGGAGAAAAAGCUCGGAUGCAUGAGACGAACACGUAUGCAAAUGCAAUGCACAUGAUGACAUGAUAUGAGAUGCAUGACAAAGACAACAACACUUGGAGACAAAAACCUGACAACGAUGAAAUAAAAUAACUUAGUGUCGGAAACGGCAAGAGUUGGGACACAGAUAAGGUAAAUUACAUCCGGUGUGUUACAGGCUUCCACUUCCGCCCAAUUUGUGAACUUGUCGAUGGCGACGUAGAGAUAACGGUAGCCCCCCGGCGCUCGUGGGAACGGGCCUAGGAUGUCUAGCCCCCAGACCACGAACGGCCACAUGAGCGGGAUGGUUUGGAGGCCCUGAGCAGGCUGAUGGAUUUGCUUGGCGUGGAAUUGGCAAGCUUCGUAGGACUUCACCAGCUCGGCUGCAUCAUUGAGUGCUGUGGGCCAAUAGAAUCCGCUGCGGAAGGCCUUGCCGCCGAGGGUCCAUGAUGAUGAGUGUUGUCCACAGUGAACACCGUGUAUGUCAAUCAGCAGCUCCCUCCCUUGAUCGCUGGAGAUGCAGCGCAUCGUGACACCGUUCGGUCGUUUCCUAUACAACUCGCCGUCUUGAAUGCAGUAUGCCGUGGCCUGUUGGGCCACGCGCUCCGCGUCUUCUUCCUUCUCCGGCAGUGUCCCGUGCAUUAGGUAAUCCUUGAACUCCUUGGUCCAGCACUCCUCCUGGGGCUUGAGCACCAAGAGUAGCCAAGCUCCUGAGGUUGGGCCGCAAGCUGGGGCUGCCGUCGCCGGGGGCUGUGGGAGCUCCUCCCAAGGCUGAGUCGUUCUUGAAAGAGGUGGCAUAGCAGACGGCUUGAAGAGCCACUCUUCGAAGAUGCCGGGCUGUUGCGGUUGCUGCUUGGAUGCUCUCUUGGCGAUGUCGUCGGCUUCCUUGUUGGUGCUCUGGGGCAUGUGCUGCAGCUCCAAGCCUGUGAACUGCUUUUCCAUUUUGCGCACCUCCGAAAGGUAGGCCUCCAUGUGCUCGUCCUUUGACUCGUACACUUUGUUGCAGAAGUUGACGAGGAGCUGCGAGUCGCCCUUGACGGUAAGGCGCCUCACCCCCAGAGCCGCCACAGCCUUCAGGCCGGCUAUGAGGCCUUUGUAUUCUAUGAUAUUGUUGGAGACCUUCUCGCCGUGCUGGAAGCAGAGUUGCACGGCAUAGUAAAGCUUGUCCUGAGUGGGCGAGAUGAGCACUGCUCCAGACCCCAUGCACUGGUGCGCAAAGGCGCCAUCAAAAUACAUGACCCAGCCGUCUGGUGCCUCACUUCCUUGGGAGGUGGACAUGUCUUCUCCUUCCUCAAGAGUCGGGACAUCUGUCCAUUCCGCCACAAAAUAAGCGAGCGCGGCUCCCUUGAUGACCCUGGUGGUGCUGAACUCCAGCUAGAAUGCUUGCAGCUCGAGGUUCCAUUCAGCGACCCUUCCGGCUGAGUUUGGGCUCCUGAGUACCCUCUCCAAUGGGUAAGAUGAGACGACCUAGAUGGGGUGCCCCUGGAAGUAGUGUCGCAGCUUGCGCGAGGCCAACAAGAGUGCGAGUAGGAGCUUUUGCAACAUGGGGUAGCGUGCCCUUGCGUCUCACAGUACGGUGCUGACAAAGUAUACCGAGUGCUCGAUGAGGGCUGGCACACUGUUGAGGCUCAUGUCUUGCGGAGAUUGUGGCGUAUCCUAAGGUGGAGGGUUUCCUGAGACUUGGACAUCCUCAGGAGUUUCCGCGACGUUGCCCUGUCAAGCUUGAUCUUCCGCCGCUGAUGGCUCUGGUGUGCCUUCCUGACCCUAUUUUGCAUCAGCUCUAGCUUGGCGCGGUAAACCCUUGUCUCUGCGCUCCUCCCGAACCUCCACCAGCGACGCGCUAGGGGAGUACGGGGUGGCGGCGAGGUAGAGUACUAGAGGCUCGAGAGGUCGUGGUGCCACCAUCACCGGGGGGCUGGUGAGGUAUUUUUUGAGGUCUUCGAAGGCCUGGUCGGCCUCCGGGGUCCACUCAAAGGGGCCUUUCUUCUUCAUGAGCUUAAAGAAGGGUAAGGCGCGCUCGCCUAGCUUAGAGAUGAAACGCCCUAACGUGGUCACUCGUCCUGCUAGCUUUUGCAUCUCCUUGAGGGUCUGUGGUGGGCUCAUGUCUUUGAUGGCCUUGAUCUUCUCCGGGUUCGCCUCGAUCCCUCUGUGGGAUACGAGAAACCCCAGCAGCUUGCCAGAGGGGACACCAAACACACACUUCUCCGGGUUACGCCUCAAGUUCACUCGACACAAACUCUCAAAGGUCUCCUCCAAGUCUUGAAUCAAUGUCCUUGCCUCACGAGAUUUGACCCCUAUGUCAUCAACGUAGGCCUCUGUGUUCCUGCCGAGUUGCCGCCCCAAGGCGAUGUGCAUCAGCCGCUGAAAGGUUGCGCCCGCGUUGCAAAGGCCGAAAGGCAUGCAGGUGUAGCAGUACACCCCCACAUGGUGUCAAGAAGGCCAUCUUCUCCACAUCCUCCACCACCAUCUUGAUCUGAUGGUAUCCAAAGAACGCAUCCAGGAAACAUAACAAAUCGCACUCGAUGGUGGAGUCGACGAUUCGAUGCAUGGAAGGCGGAAAGGAUCUUGGGGGCAGGCUUUGUUGAGGUUGGUGAAGUCGACGCACAUCCGUUCCUUCCCACCUUUCUUCGGUACUACGACGGGAUUCGCCAGCCAUUCGGGGUAUCAAACUUCUCGGACGAUGAAGGCCUGCUUCUCAGUGGACUGCCAUCUUGCUUGCUGCUUCACGGGGCAUACGUUGGGGCAUACCCUUAGGUGAUGCUAGAUUACCUCUCUCGGGACCCCUACCAGCUGAUUGGGCUCCCACGCAAAUAUCUCCUUGUUCGCGCGCAAAAACCUCAUAAAAGCUUCCUCUUAUCCCGAGCCAAGGCUGGUUCCUAUGGUGAAGGUGGCUCUUGAAGACCCGUCCUCGUUGACCGGCACCUACUUGGUCUCCGCCUUGUUUUGGGUGAACAACUGCCUCUUCUUGGUGGGAGCGGUCUCCUUGGCCUCGGGCGCACCGGCGCCGGUUAGCUGUGCCGCUGCCGCGGUCCUGAAGGCGAGCAUGAGCGCCGUCACGGCCUCCUUAAUGUCCCCCUUGAUGGUGAGGACGCCCUUCCUCCAUGGCAUCUUCAUGAGGUUGUAGGCCAGCUGAGUCGCCGCCAUGAACUGAGCGAGAGUCGGGUACCCGAGGAUGGCAUUGUACAGGAGACCGAUGCGGGCGAUGUCAAAGUCCACCAGCUCGGUGCGAUAGUUGUCUCGCGUGCCAAAGGUGACAGGGAGGCGGAUCUGCCCCAGAGUGUGAGCAGCUCCACCACCCACUCCUGUGAAGGGCUUACUGAGGCCGAGCCAUUCGAGCGGCACAUGAAGAAGGUUGAAGGCUUCCAUGGAGAGCUAGUUGAGGCCGUCGCCGCUAUUGAUGACGGUCUUGGUGACGGCCACGUUGCAGAUGGUGGGCGUGCAGAGCAUCAGGAGCAUCCCUAAGCCGGCGGUGGAGCCGGGGUGGUCUUCCGAGUCGAAGGUGAGGUCCGGCUCUGGCGCAGCCCAACCCGGCGGAGCCCCCGGGCGCUUGCAGGCUGCCCCAAUCUGACGGAAGGAAGGCUUGACGUGGCGAUCUGAAAGAGGUUCUUGGGAGCCACCCAGCAGUGCCGUGACUACAUGGUGUGCCGACGCCCCAUAGCAUGCAGUGAAGAGGUCGCGGAGUUCCCCCCGGGACGUCACCGUGGAUCCCGGGAGGUUGAGCAGCCAAGCGCAUGGCUCGCCAACGAGGGCCAGGGGGAACAAAUUUGCCAUGAUCUUGUCGUCGCCUCCGGCUUCGAGGAUGGCCUCCUCGUAUGCUAGCGGGAACAACACCGAGUCUGCCGCGCCAUCAUAACGCGGCGGCAUCUCCGGCCUGAACUUGGUUGGCCACUGCACUCGCCGCAGAGCGGGGGCCAGGGCUUGGUACCCAAACUCCCUGCUGCUAUUGUUGACCACAGAGGUUCGUGGCGGGGCACCUGACAUGGGAGCAUAGUGCGGCGGCACAGGGCACUGGUUGGUGGAGAGAAGCCCUGACGCACCCCUACCUGGCAUGCCAAAUGUCGGAUGUGAAGCUUCGGCUAACCCUUAAGGUUCAAACACUGGUGUACGCACGAAGUCUUUCCCUCCUACCGAUCUAUGCUCUAGCUUGCUAAGAUCUUGCGGAUGAACUCGACGAACUCGCAACAUAGAAAGACACAGGGUUUAUACUGGUUCGAGCCACCGGUGUGGUGUAAUACCCUACUCCAGUGUGGUGGUGGUGGAUUGCCUCUUGGGCUGAUGAUGAACAAUACAAGGGAAGAACAGCCUCCUGAGGUUGAGGUUUUCUUGCACAUAUGAACUUGUGGUGUGUCUCUGGGUCUGAUCCCCCCUCACUAUGGUGGUGGCAAGUCCUAUUUAUAGAGGCCCUAGUCCUCUUCCCAAAUAUCGAGCGGGAAGGGAGCCAACAAUGGCGGGCUAAUUUGAAGGGGGACAGCUAGUAAAAGCUAUCGUGACAAAAGGUAGUCCGUGCCUGUGAAAGGCUCUGGGGGGAUGCCUUCUUGGGCUCCAUGAUAACCUCCGGCUUGUCGUCCUCCUGGUGUUGGUCUUGUUGCACCGAAAUGGCAACCUUUGCCUGAGGCCUUGGUACUCCGUGGCUGCGCUUGCCUCCUUUGCACCAAAGGGGAAACAAGGACUCUGCGCACGCUGGCGCCCGCCUGGCGCCGUUCGUCAUGGCUCACGUCACGAGUGCCUCGUGAGGUUUGCCCUGCCUUGAUAUCUCCGCUCCUCGCGAACCUGCCUAGCUAGGCCACUCCAGAGGAGGUCUUGCGUCGUCCGCCUCACGAGGCUUGGCCCCUCGUGAGGUUCUUGGGUGUCUUGUUGGUGAAGAUGGGUCGUACGGCCUGCUGCUUGACCAUGCCGCGGGCCGCAGGCAGGCAAGUUUGGGGGGCCCCGUUCCCAGAACACCGACAGUUUCAUUCCGUUUGGACUCGGUUUGAUAUUCCUUCUCGGCGGAACUCUAAAAUAGGCAAAAAAACAGCAAUUUGGGCUGGGCCUCCGGUUAAUAGGUUAGUCCCAAAAAUAAUAUAAAAGUGUAAAAAUAAGCACAUUAACAUCCAAAAUAGAUAAUAUAAUAGCAUGGAGCAAUAAAAAAUUAUAGAUACGUUGGAGACAUAUCAAGCAUCCCCAAGCUUAAAUCCUGCUCAUCCUCAAGUAGGUAAAUGAUAAAAAAAUUGAUUUGGAAUGCUUCCUAACAUAUUUCUCAAUGUAAUUUUUCUUUAAUGUGGCAUGAAUGUUCAGAUCCGAAAGAUUCAAUAUAAAAGUUUAAUAUUGACAUAGAAAUAAUAAUACUUCAAGCAUACUAACUAAGAAAUCGUGUCUUCUCAAAAUAACAUGGCCAAAGAAAGUUAUCCCUGCAAAAUCAUAUAGUCUGGCUAUGCUCUAUCUUCAUCACACAAAAUAUUAAAUCAUGCACAACCCCGAUGACAAGCCAAGCAAUUGUUUCAUACUUUUGAUGUUCUCAAACUUUUUCAAUCUUCACGGAAUAUAUGAGCAUGAGCCACGGAUAUAGCACUAUGGUGGAAUAAAAUGGUGGUUGUGGAGAAGACAAAAAGGAGAAGAUAGUCUCACAUCAACUAGGCGUAUCAAACGGGCUAUGGAGAUGCCCAUCAAUAGAUAUCAAUGUGAGUGAGUAGGGAUUUCCAUGCAACAGAUGCACUAGAGCUAUAAGUGUAUGAAAGCUCAACAAAAGAAACUAAGUGGGUGUGCAUCCAACUUGCUUGCUCACGAAGAACUAGGGCAAUUUGAGGAAGCCCAUCAUUGGAAUAUAGAAGCCAAGUUCUAUAAUGUAAAAUUCCCACUAGUUUAUGAAAGUGACAACAUAGGAGACUCUCUAUCAUGAAGAUCAUGGUGCUACUUUGAAGCAUAAGUGUGGAAAAAGGAUAGUAACAUUGUCCCUUCUCUCUUUUUCUCUCUUUUUUCCUUUUUUAUUUGGGCCUUCUUUUUUUAGCCUCUUUUCUCUUUUUUUUUAUUUUUCAUACGGAGUCUCAUCCCGACUUGUGUGGGAAUCAUAGUCUCCAUCAUCCUUUCCUCACUUGGACAAUGCUCUAAUAAUGAUGAUCAUCACACUUCUUUUUACUUACAACUCAAGAAUUACAACUCAAUACUUAGAACAAAAUAUGACUAUGUGAAUGCCUCCGGCGGUGUACUGGGUUAUGCAAUAAAUCAAGAGUGACAUGUAUGAAAGAAUUAUGAAUGGUGGCUUUGCCACAAAUACAAUGUCAACUGCAUGAUCAUGCAAAGCAAUAUGACAAUGAUGAAGCAUGUCAUAAUAACAGAAUGGUGGAAAGUUGCAUGGCAAUAUAUCUCGGAAUGGCUAUGGAAAUGCCAUCAUAGGUAGGUAUGGUGACUGUUUUGAGGAAGGUAUAUGGUAUCGGCGAAAGUUGCGCGGUACUAGAGAGGCUAGCAAUGUGGAAGGGUGAGGGUGCGUAUAAUCCAUGGACUCAACAUUAGUCAUAAAGAACUCACAUACUUAUUGCAAAAAAUCUAUUAGUUAUCAAAACAAAGUACUACGCGCAUGCUCCUAGGGGGAUAGAUUUGUAGGAAAAGACCAUCGCUCGUCCCCGACCGCCACUCAUAAGGAAGGCAAUGAAUAAAUAAACUCCGACUUCAUCACAUAACGGUUCACCAUACGUGCAUGCUACGGGAAUCACAAACUUCAACACAAGUAUUUCUCAAAUUCACAACUACUCAACUAGCAUGACUCUAAUAUCACCAUUUCCAUAUCUCAAAACAAUCAUCAAGUAUCAAACUUCUCUUAGUAUUCUAUGCACUUAUAUGAAAGUUUUUAUUAUGCCUAAAAGAAAAUUUCCAUGUUCUUCUAAAGAACUCUCAAAAUGAUAUAAGUGAAGCAUUAGAGAUCAAUUAUUUCCAUAAAAUAAAACCACCGUCGUGCUCUAAAAGAUAUAAGUGAAGCACUAGAGCAAAAACUAUAUAGCUCAAAAGAUAUAAGUGAAGCACAUAGAGUAUUCUAAUAAAUUCUAAUUCAUGUGUGUCUCUCUCAAAAGGUGUGUACAGCAAGCAUGAUUGUGGUAAACUAACAAGCAAAGACUCAAAUCAUACAAGACGCUCCAAGCAAAACACAUAUCAUGUGGCGAAUAAAAAUAUAGCUCCAAGUAAAGUUACCGAUGAACUAAGACAAAAGAGGAGAUGCCUUCUGGGGCAUCCCCAAUCUUAGGCUUUUUGGUGUCCUUGUAUUUUACCUUAGAGUGCCAUGGACAUCCCCAAGCUUAGGCUCUUGCCACUCCUUGUUCCAUAAUCCAUCAAAUCUUUACCCAAAACUUCACAGCACAAAACUGAGAAGAAAAAUCUCGUGAGCUCCGUUAGCGAAAGAAAACAAAACACCACUUCAAGGUACAGUAAGGAACUAAUUGUUUAUUUAUAUUGGUGUUAAACCUACUGUAUUCCAACUUCUCUAUGGUUUAUAAGCUCUUCUACUAGCCAUAGAUUCAUCAAAAUAAGCAAACAACACACGAAAAAUAGAAUCUGUCAAAAACAGAACAGUCUGCAGUAAACUGUAACUAACGCAAACUUCUGGAACCCCAAAAAUUGUAAAAUAAAUUUCUGGACGUUAGGAAUUUAUAUAUUUAUCAUAUUCAAAAAUAAAUAACUAAAUAUCACUCUCCAAUAAAAAAUGGCAGCAAUUCUCGUGAGUGCUAAAGUUCUGUUUUCUACAGCGAGAUCAAAAAGACUUUCCCCAAGUCUUCCCAACGGUUCUACUUGGCACAAACACUAAUUAAACACAAAAAACACAAACAAAACAGAGGAUAUAUAAAUUAUUUAUUACUAAACAGGAUCCAAAAGAAAGGAAUAAAAAUAAAAUUGGGUUGCCUCCCAAUAAUCGCUAUCGUUUAACGCCCCUAGCUAGGCAUAAAAGCGAAAAUAGAUCUAGGUAUUGCCAUCUUUGGUAGGCAAUCCAUAAGUGGCUCUCAUAAUAGAUACAUAUGGUAAUUUAACUUUCUUUCUAGGGAAGUGUUCCAUGCCUUUCCUUAACGGAAAUUGUAAUUUAAUAUUCCCUUCCUUCAUAUAAAUAAUUGCACCAAUCGUUCUAAGGAAAGGUCUACCAAGAAUAAUAGGACCUGAAGGAUUGCAAUCUAUAUCAAGAACAAUGAAAUAUACAGGCACAUAAUUCCUAUUUGCAACAAUAAGAACAUCAUUAAUCUUUCCCAUAGGUUUCUUAAUAGUGGAAUCCGCAAGGUGCAAGUGUAAAGAACAAUCAUCAAAUUCACAGAACCUAGCAACUCACACAAAGUUUUUGGGAUCGUGGAGACACUAGCACCCAAAUCACACGAAUCAUAGCAUUCAUGAUAUUUCAUUUUAAUUUUAAUUUUAGGUUCCCACUCAUCAUAAAGUUUUCUGGGGAUAGAAACUUACAACUCAAGUUUUUCUUCAUAAGAUUGCAUCAAAGCAUCAACAAUAUGUUUAGUAAAAGCUUUAUUUUGACUAUAAGCAUGAGGAGAAUUUAGCACGGAUUGCAACAAGGAAAUACAAUCUAUCAAAGAGAAAUUAUCAUAAUUAAAUUCCAUGAAAUCCAAGAUAGUGGGUUCAUUGCUAUUUAAAUUUUUAACCUCUUCAAUCCCACUUUUAACAAUUUUUGCAUCAAGAUCUAAAAACUCUGAAUUUUGGGACGCCUUCUAACUAAAGUUGACUCAUCUCUGGUCCCAUCAUUAUCAAGAAUCAUAUUGCAAAACAAAGAUUUAAUAGGGGACACAUCAAUUACUUUUAGAUCUUCAUCCUUAUUAUCAUGAAAGCUAGAAGAACACACUUUUACAAAGCAAUCUUUCUUAGCACGCGUCCUAGCGGUUCUUUCUUUGCACUCAUCAAUGGAAAUUCUCAUGGCUUUCUGACACUCAUUGAUAUCAUGCUUAGGUGGAAUAGAUCUAUGUUUCAAAGAAACAUAUCAAGACAAAUUCUAUCCACGUUCCUAGCUAGCUCAUCAAUAUUAAGCAAUUUUUCUUCAAUCAAAGCAUUGAAACUGUUUUGUGAAAUAAUAAAUUCUUUAAUAUUAGAUUCAAAAUUAGAGGGCAUCUUAUUAUAAUUUCCAUAAGAAUUUUUGUAGGAAUUACCAUAAUUAUUAGAGGAAUUACUAGGAAACGGCCUAGGAUUAAAAUUACCUCUAUACGCAUUGUUACCAAAAUUGUUCCUACCAACAAAAUUCACAUCCAUAGAUUCAUUAUUAUUAUCAAUCAAAGUGGACAAAGACAUAUCAUUAGGAUCAGUAGGAGCACUCUUAUUAGCAAACAAUUUCAUAAGUUCAUCCAUCUUUCCACUCAAAACAUUAAUCUCUUCAAUUGCAUGAACUUUUUUACUAGUAGAUCUUUCAGUGUGCCAUUGAGAAUAAUUAACCAUAAUAUUAUCUAGGAUUUUGGUAGCUUCUCCUAAAGUGAUUUCCAUAAAAGUGCCUCCCGCGGCUGAAUCUAAAAGAUUUCUAGAAGCAAAGUUCAAUCUGGCAUAAAAAAAUUGUAUAAUCAUCCAAAGAUUCAAACCAUGUGUCGGGCAAUUUUGUAUCAUUAAUUUCAUCCUCUCCCAAGCUUGUGCAACAUGUUCAUGAUCAAGUUGCUUAAAAUUCAUAAUAUCGUUUCUAAGAGAGAUGAUCUUAGCGGGAGGAAAAUACUUAGAUGGGUAGCAGGAUCUCUAAGCGAAACUAUUCCAUGAAGCAAUACUAUUUUUAGGCAAACACGAAAACCAAGCUUUAGCACGAUCUCUAAGCGAAAAUGGAAAUAGCUUAAGCUUAACAAUAUCAUUAUCAACAUCUUUCUUCUUUUGCAUAUCACACAAAUCAACAAAGUUGUUUAGAUGGGUAGCGGCAUCUUCACUAGGAAGGCCAGAAAACAUAUCUUUCAUGACAAGAUUCAGCAAAGUAGUAUUAAUUUCACAAGAUUCAGCAUCAGUAAGAGGAGCAAUCGGAGUGCUAAUAAAACCAUUAUUGUUGGUAUUGGCAAAGUCACACAAUUUAGUAUUAUCUUGAGCCAUUGUGACAAGCAAGCAAUCCAACACACAAGCAAACAAGAAACGGGCAAAAGAGGCAAAUUAGGAAGGAGAAGGGGAACGAAAAGAGAGAGCGAAUAAAACAGCAAGGGUGAAGUGGGGGGAGAGGAAAACGAGAGGCAAAUGGAAAAUAAUGUAAUGCGAAGGAUAAGAGUUGUGAUGGGUACUUGGUAUGUCUUGACAUGGCGUAGAUCUCCCUGGCAACGGCGCCCGAAAUCCUUCUUGCUACCUCUUGAGCACUACAUUGGUUUUCCCUUGAAGAGGAAAGCGUGAUGCAGUAGAGCAGCGUAAGUAUUUCCCUCAGUUUUUGAGAAACAAGGUAUCAAUCCAGUAGGACACCACGCGCGAGUAACCUCGUACCUACACACACAAAUAAGAACCUCGCAACCAACGCGAUAAAGGGGUUGUCAAUCCCUUCACGGCCACUUUCAAGAGUGAGAUCUGAUAGAGAUGAUAAUAAUAAGAUAAAUAUUUUUGGUAUUUUUAUGAUGGAAAAUAGACCCGGGGGCCAUAGGUUUCACUAGUGGCUUCUCUCAAGAUAGCAUAAAUAUUACGGUGGGUGAACAAAUUACUGUUGAGCAAUUGAUAGAAAAGUGAAUUAUUAUGAGAAUAUCUAGGCAUUAUCAUGUAUAUAGGCAUCACGUCCGCGACAAGUAGACCCAAACGAUUCUGCAUCUACUACUAUUACUCCACACAUUGACCGCUAUCCAGCAUGCAUCUAGAGUAUUAAGUUCAUAAGAACAGAGUAACGCCUUAAGCAAGAUGACAUGAUGUAGAGGGAUAAACUCAUGCAAUAUGAUGUGAACCCCAUCUUUUUAUCCUCGAUGUCAACAAUACAAUACGUGUCGGCUCCCUUUCUGUCACUGGGAUCGAGCACCACAAGAUUGAACCCAAAGCUAAGCACUUCUCCCAUUGCAAGAAAGAUCAAUCUAGUAGGCCAAACCAAACUGAUAAUUCGAAGAGACUGGCAAAGAUAAACCAAUCAUACAUAAAAUAAUUUAGAGAUGAUUCAAAUAUUGCUCAUAGAUAGACUUGAUCAUAAACUCACAAUUCAUCGGAUCUACAUGUCUCCCACAAUAUGUUGGAUUAGAUAUGUAGAUAUCUCCCAUAUCUACAUGUCUGCCCAUUUAUAGAUAUUUGAUAUGGGCAGAUAUGUUCAUUUAUAGAUAUAGAUAUGUUCAUUUAUAGAUAUGGGCAGAUAUGCCUUUUAUAGUAGACAUGGGCAGAUAUGGUCCUUUUAUAGUAGCAAAUUGUUUUGCCAUUGAGAUUGAGAUUGAAUAUUUGUGCAGUGUGACUGAACAUUCAGAUUAUUUUCUGUUUCUUUCAAUGAUUUGUGUGGUUCAGUUUCUGAAGUAAGCUGGAGAUGUUAGAAAUUUGAUGGUUGUUGUCCAUAUAUCUCCACAUAUGAACAUAUCCGUCAAAAUUUGAUGGUUUCUGAAGUAAACUAUAUAUAUAUAUAUAUAUAUAUCUCCACAUAUGAACAUAUCUGUCCAAAUUUGAUGGUUUCUGAACAUGUGCCUUAAUACCUUUUCUGUCAUUUGGUGUCCAUGGAUUGAAAUGUUGGUUGUUAUAUAUUGAUUGUAGUAUAUUUGUGCAUGUUCAUUCAGUGUUUGUGUUGAUUUGAUGCCAAUGUUUAGAAACAAUAUUUUGAUGUUUAUGUUGUUAUUCUUGUUGUGGUUACCUGAAAUGUUGAUAUUCUACUUUUUUGAAGUGCUUGUUUCCUAUUUAUGUCCAGUCCUAUUUAUGGUAACUUGUUGUUUAAUUACAAUGCUUCUUUUUAGAGAAGUGAGAUGGCUGGCUUGGAAGGUUUUGAGUUCUUCGAGAUCGUAAUUGAGAAAUCUUGCAGCAGGCAGGUAUAUUUAUCAUCACUCAUCUCUUUAUCAUCACUCUACUGUCUAGUGCUUGAUUGGCAUAAUUAACCACUACUUGACCCUCGCCGCAGAGGAUGCCUGACAAGUUUGCGAAGAUGCUCGCCGGCCGUGAGCCCCACAAAGUGAAGCUGUGGGAGGCCGGCAGCGGGCUUUGCAGGCUGUGAGACAUGUUGGUGGUGUUCAAUGACAAAGGCAACAUGUACAUAAGGCCCGGCUGGGAUCAUUUUGCCUGCGCCCAUGAGCUACAACUUAGACACUUCCUUGUGUUCCGCUACGACGGCGACGCCAUGUUCACCAUGAAGAUGUUCGACAACACCAUGUGCCGCAUGUACUACCAGCACGACGAUGAUGCCAGUGAGCUCCCUGCCUCUCUUCAUCCUGUCCUUUUGGCUUCCUCUACCAGGACGAUGACAACACCAUGUUCACACUUUGUUGCAUUUGGCCAGGCAAUGGGAGAAGCAGCGGGGAUGACGAGGAUCAGAGCAGGGAUGACGAGGAGCAGAGCGGGGAUGACGAGGAGCAGAGCGGGGAUGGCGAGGAGUAGAGCAGGGAUGACGAGGAGCAGCCUAUUCUGGCUGACGACAACCUUUGUAUGAUGGUGGCAGACGACGACCCUGCUAUGGUGGUGGCGGAUGACGACCUUGCUAUGGUGGUGGCUAACGACAACCCUGCUAUGGUGAUGGCGGACGACGACUUUGCUAUGGUGGCUGACGACGACCUCGUGAUUGUGGUGCCUAAUGAUGAUCUCACAAUGUUGGUGCCUGACAAUGACCUCGUGAUGGUGGUGGCGCCUGCAAUCCCACAGCUUGGCGACAUGACCAUGCCAAUUGUGGUAGAGGAGUACAUCUGCAUUGGGAUUC